CCAACUUAACUUUGGAACAUGUGAUGCGUAGGUUGGAUAUCAUUGAAAAUAAAGUUGCUACGAUUGAACUCAUUGAGAAUUUGGAUAAAAAGAUCCACAAUCAAAUCACUCAGUACGGAUCCAAGGUGGGAAUGGCUUUGAAAAAUCUAAAGGAGAGGGAACCCACAGUUAACAAAAACUAGGUCAUCAUUCCGCUAGGAUUGGCAAACUAGAGGAUGUUAUAACCAACUUGGGUUCCGCUUUUGCCGCUGUGCAGAACACUCCAAUUUUUACCCACAAUAAGGCCACCAAGUUUGUUUUUGUUCCUAAAAAUAGUGGUGAACCAUCUAGUAAUAUAGAUGAAGACCUUAAGAUGAUGAGGGCUAUUUAUGGUUUGAGCACCAAAGACGAGGAUAUGUGAUUCUUUCACCUUAUGCCUAGCUAAGGGCGUUAAACAAUAACGCUUGUUGGGAGGCAACCCAAUGAAUUUAUAUUUGAUUUUUGCUUUCUGUUUUGUUGCGUCCACACCAUCAUAAUUCUGUUAUGAUUGUGUCUUUUGUGUUUGAGCCAAGUAAAACCUUUAUGACUAGUUUGGUGAUGGUUGUUUGAUCCUGCUGGAAAAAGACAGAAACUUUUCGCUCACGAAAUUAUUUUUCAUUUUAAUCCAUAAAGAGAUUUUGAGUUGAUUCUUUUUGUUGCUGGUUGAUAUGGCAAUUGCCCAAACUGUCGUAAUGUUUCAGAAUUGUUGAGAUACCAGAAGUAUACGAAGUAUACAGAUUGCUACAGACUGGUCUGUUUUUGACAUAUUCUGUUUUUGUUGUGUUGGUUGCUUGUUUUGAUGAAACUAUGUAUAGUAUCGGGGGGGGCGGGUACUGAUACGUCUCCAUCGUAUCUACUUUUCCAAACUCUUUUGCCCUUGUUUUGGACUCUAAUUUGCAUGAUUUGAAUGGAACUAACCCGGACUGACGUUGUUUUCAGCAGAAUUGCCAUGGUGUUGUUUUUGUGCAGAAAUGAAAGUUCUCGGAAUGUCUUGAAACUUUACGGAGAAUAUUUAUGGAAAAUAUGAAAAAUACCUGUGCAAAGAUCCACCGGAGGGGACGGGCCAGUGGGCCACAAGCCCUGUAGCCGCGGCCUCCCCUCUGGUCGCGGCUACGAGGCUUGUGGGGCCCACGUGCCUCUGCCGCCCCCAAUUCCAGCGCUAUAUAUUCCCUUUCAUCCCGGAAAAAAUCAAGAGAGAAGAGUUCAUUGCGUUUCACGAUCCAGAGGCGCCUCCACAUCCCGUUCUUGCCCUGGAGGGCAGAUCUGGAGUCUGUUUUGUGCUCCGGAUCAAGGAGAUCGUCGCCAUCGUCAUCAUCAACCUUCUUCCCUCUCCAAUUCCAUGAAACUCUUCAUCGUUCGUGAGUAAUCUAUUCAUAGGCUCGCUGGGCGGUGAUGAGUAUGAUGAGAUCUAUCAUGUAAUCGAGUUAGUUUUGACGGGGAUUGAUCCCUAGUAUCCACUAUGUUCUGAGAUUGAUGUUGCUACUACUUGGCUAUGCUUAAUGCUUGAAACUAGGGCCCGAGUGCCAUGAAUUCAGAUCUGAACCUAUUAUGUUGUCACCAAUAUAUGUGUGUUUUAGAUCCGAUCUUGCAAGUUGUAGUUACCUACUAUGUGUUAUGAUCCGGCAACCCCGGAGUGACAAUAACCGGAACCACUCUCAUUGAUGACCAUAGUUUGAGGAGUUUAUGUGUUCACCAAGUGCUAAUGCGUUGGUCCGGUUCUUUAUUAAAAGGAGAACCUUAAUAUCCCGUAGUAUCCAUUUGGACCCCGCUGCCACGGGAGGGAUGGACAAUAGAUGUCAUACAAGUUCUUUUCCCUAAGCACGUAUGACUACACACGGAAUGCAUGCCUACAUCACAUUGACGAACGGGAGCUAGCCACAUAUCUCUCCGUGUUAUAACUGUUGCAUGAUGAAUGUCAUCCAACAAAUCACUGAUCCAUUGCCUACGAGUUUGUCCCACUGCUAUUGUUACUUGCUGCUGCUGUUACUUGCUUUGCUCUGCUGCUGUUACUACGGUUGCUGCUACUGUUACUUGCUUCUACUAUUACUUGCUUCGUCAUGCUGCUGCUGCUACUACUGUUGCUACUACUGUUACUUGCUGUUGCUGUUACUUGCUACUGUUGCUAAUUGCUACUCCUAUCACUACUGCUGUUCCUUGCCACUACUGUUACUCGUUACACUGCUGCUACCUGCUACAAUACUUUUCUGGUGCCAUUGAUACUUCAGUUAGGAAUAAUCUGUCGUCAACAGAUUCUUUCCUAGCACCGUUGCUAUCAUACUACCUUUGCUGCUUAUAUACUGCUUGCAGAUACUAAUCUUUCAAUUGUGUUUGAGCCAACAACUCAACUGCUAAUACUGGAGAAUAUCCUUUCAUUCCCAUCGUGUCGAACCAACAAAUUUGGGUUGAAUACUCUACCCUCAAAACCUGCCGCGAUCCCACACGCUGGUGGGCCAUUGCAAGACAAUUGCUAAUUGUUGAGCAACUGGAAACAACUCUUUUUUGGCACCGUUGCCGAGGAGGAAUAGCUAUAUUCUCUGAGUCACUUGGGAUUUAUAUCUUGUGAUCACUAUGAAGAAUCGGAAAGAUCUGAGAACCAAAGUCUUGCCCUCAACUCUGAGGGGAGGUAAGGAACUGCCAUCUAGCUCUGCACUUGAUUCACCUUCAGUUAUGAGUAAGUUUGCGACACCACCUCGUGCUAGAAAUCUUGAUAUGUCGCGUGUGCUAGAUGAUGCUAGAGAUGCUACUGCUAUUGAUGAUGCUUAUGAUGAUACUAUGCCUGAUACUGCUAGAGAUGCUAUGCGUGAUACUGCUAGAGAUGCUAUGCCUGAUACUGCUAUCCAUGAUGCUAUGCUUGAUGCUGCUUUGCCUGAUGAUGCUAGAGAUGCUAUUUUGCCUGAUUAUGCUAUGCUUGAUACUGCUAGAGAUACUACUUUGCCUGAUAUGCCACUAGGGGUAUUCCUUGAUGCUCAUAUUGCUAGAGUUAUUGCCAAUGCUCGUGAUGCUUCUGAAACUCUCGAUACUAUUGAGAUAGAACCUGCUUUUGCUCCUGCUAGAUCUAGCUCUCCUAGAUAUGAAUUGCCUGAUAUACCUGAGGGUUAUGUUAUGGAGGGAGAGAUAGCUGAGGAUUUUCUUGCGUGUAAGGAUGGCUAUGACGCUGAGAAAUUACUUCUCAAGUGGAAGGAAAAAUCUCUGAAAGCUAGGAUGAAAUACAACCCGAAGUUUGCCACUUCACCUAUCUUUAUCACCGAUGAGGAUUAUGAAUUCUCUGUCGACCCUGAGAUAAUCUCUCUUGUCGAAUCUGAUCCUUUCCACGGUAAUGAGUUUGAGACGGUCGUAGCCCAUCUUACCAAACUACACGAUAUAGCCACCCUUUUCACUAGUGAGGAGAAGAUCCGCUACUACUAUAUCCUUAAGUUGUUUCCUUUCUCUCUAAAGGAUGACGCUAAAUCCUAGUUCACUUCUCUUGCUCCUGGAUGUGUGAGUAGUCCCCAGGAUAUGGUCUAUUACUUCUGUGAGAAAUAUUUCCCUGCCCAUAAGAAGCAAGCUGCCUUGCAGGAAAUAUACAACUUUGCUCAACUCAAAGAAGAGUGUCUCCCACAAGCUUGGGGGAGGCUCAUCCAGCUACAGAAUGCUUUGCCUGAUCACCCUCUUAAGAAGAACGAGAGACUUGAUAUCUUCUAUAACAGACUUACCGAUGCUUCUAGAGACCACCUAGAUAGUUGUGCCGGUUGUGUUUUUAGGGAACGAAUUGUAGAACAAGUUGAGAUCCUACUGAAUAACAUCUUGAUCAACAAUAAUGCUUGGACUAUUCCCGAACCACCUCCUAAGCCAUAUCCCAAGAAAAGAGGUAUUCUAUUCCUCAGUCCUGAAGAUAUGCAAGAAGCCAAGAAAUCUUUGCAAGAGAAAGGCAUUAGAUCUGAAGAAAUCAAAAAUCUACCGCCUAUCGAAGAGAUCCAUGCUCUCGAUAACCCGAUACAAGUAGUAGAGGUGAAUUCUCUGCGUAGAUUCAAUGAGAGUGAUAUUCCUUUUGAUAAACCUGCUAGCCUAUGCUUUGAUGAAUUUGACAACUUUGUUGCCAAACAACAAAGUUUCAAUGAUUAUGUUAGCAGACAAUUGGAACAACGUACUCACAUGCUUAGUCAUUUAAGUGCUUGUGUAGAGAGAAAUGUCAAUGAUCUGAAGCUUCUGAGUAAACAUGCCUCAAUGAUUACUACUCAGGUAGAACAAGUACUUAAAGCUCAGAAUGACGUGCUCAAUGAAUUAAUGACAACUCUGUCAGAGUCAUUACUAGAGGAGGCAAAAUGACUCAGGAACCCUUGUAUCCUGAAGGCCAUCCUAAGAGAAUUGAUCAACAUUCUCAAGGUAUUAAUGCUCAUACACCCAGUCAUCCUAAGAAUAAGAAGAAGGAUGAUAGAAACCUACAUGUCAGUUCACCAAAUACUGUAACACCUGAAGAACCAAAUGAUAUUUCUGCGUCUGAUGCAGAAACACAAUCUGGUGAUGAACAUGAACCUGGUGACAAUAUGGACAGCGAUGUUCAUAAUAAUGCUCAACCUAGCAAUGAUAAGGAUGUGGAGAUUGAACCUACGGUUAAUCCUGAUAACCCACAACCUAAGAGGUACGAUAAGAAUGACUUCACUGCUAGGAGGCAUGGUAAAGAAAGGGAGCCAUGGGUUCAGAGACCCAUGCCCUUUCCUCCUAAGCCAUCCAAGAAAAAGGAUGAUGAUGAUUUUGAGCGCUUUAUUGAAAUGUUGAGACCCGUCUUUCUGCGUAUGCGGUUAAUUGAUAUGCUCAAAAUGUCUCCAUAUGCCAAGUACAUGAAAUAUAUCGUGACCAAUAAACGGAAGAUACCAGAUCUUGAGAUCUCCACCAUGCUUGCCAAUUACACUUCCAAAGGUGGAACUCCUAAGAAACUUGGUGAUCCCGGAGUGCCCACUAUACCUUGCUCCAUUAAAGGAAACUACGUAAGAACUGCCUUAUGUGACCUUGGAGCCGGUGUUAGUGUUAUGCCUCUCUCUCUCUUUAUCGUAGACUUGAACUGGAUAAGUUGACACCCACUGAAAUUUCUCUGCAAAUGGCCGACAAAUCAACUGCUUUCCCUGUCAGCAUUUGCGAGGAUGUGCCUGUUGUGGUUGCUAACGUUGCUAUCUUAACGGACUUUGUUAUCCUGGAUAUUCCUGAGGAUGAUGCCAUGGCGAUCAUUCUUGGAAGACCAUUCUUAAACACUGCAAGGGCUGUUAUAGAUUGCAGCAAAGGCAAUGUCACCUUCCAUGUCAACGGUAAUGAGCAUACAGUGCACUUUCCAAAGAAACGAUAUCAAGUACAUUGCAUCAAUGCUAUCGAAAAAACAUCAUCGAUUCUUAUUGGGAGCUUUGAAUUCCCUAUUCCUCGUGUUAAGAUGAAGUAUGAUUUGCUUGUUGGGGAGAUUCAUGUCCCCAUUGAGGUGACUUAGUGGCUAUUCGACAAUUCUCUGUUUCCUUUUGCGAUUCGAAAAGGUUUUGUCGAGGGGAUUUGAUCAACCCCAUUGACGGAUUUCUUUCGAUGACCAUGAAAUGGAUGAAUCAAGGAGUCACAUACCUCUGUUUUAAGCUUUCACUUUCUGUUGUUUAGAAGGAAAAAUGAUAGAUUUAGUUUAGUUUUUCCUGUUUUCUGUUUUAGCGUCCCAGAGAAAAGUAUCCCGAAAAUAGAAGUUCUACGAUGGCCCUGAAAAUCAAAUAUGAUUUUUUCUGGUUUUUUUGAAAAAUACUGGGACUGAGAGCUGGCCUGGGAGCCACACCAGUGGGCCACAAGCCCUGUAGCCGCGGCCUCCCCUGGCCGCGGCUACCAAGCUUGUGGGGCCCACAGGGACCCCCUCCACUCAUUCUAGCUCCCAUCCUCUUCUUCUACCUCCAGAAAAAAUCGUUUUACAGCUCCAACCCGUGCUCUUGCUCAUUUGGCUGUGAUUUUCGAUCUCCUUGCUCAAAGCACCAUUCUACGAACCGUUUUGGGGAAAUUACUCCUUGGUAAGUGACUCCUCCAUUGGUCCAAUUAGUUACUCUAGUGCUUUAUCCUUCGCGUAUUCUUUCUACCUUGGUGACCCUGUUCUUGAACUUGAAAUGUUGAUUUUAGUUCGUCCCAAGUAGUUUUAACGCGUGAUACGGUCUCUAGGCACUAGUAGGAGUAGUUGCUACAAGGUUUGGUUGGUCUUUAUUCACUUUUCUCUUGAACUUCAAAAAUUUCAGCAAAAAUAAAUUAUGUUUAGGAGGAAGUUUCAUGGUGGUUCCUCAAGUAAGAAGGGUCCCCGUCUUUCUAUUAAGGAGCCCGAUCCUUAUGAACUAAGGGACGCACCGGUACAACCAUGUGAAUGGCCUUCCGAUGAGUUCAUGAUCGAAGCAGGCUUCAAGGAUGAGUUUGAUACACUUGUCCACAAUGCCGAGUUAGAAGAAUUCCUCUCAGAUAAAUGUGAACAGUAUGCUAUGCUCACUGCCUCUUUCAUGCGUAGAUUUAAAUUUUUAGUUGGCCGUGACUCAUCCAUACUGUUUGAUCUGUAUGAUAAAUCCUACACCAUGGAUUUGGAGGAUUUCAAUAGGAUUUGCAAGAUACCCGAUGGGGGUAGUCUUAAUGAUCCUGCUAAGUCUUCGGUUAGAUAUUUUUUUUCUCUAGUAUAACUGUUGGAGAAACUAGAGACAUCACGCAAGCUACCAUAGGAAGCAUUCAUUUCCCUGCCUUGCACUACUUUGCCCUCUUCAUAGGUAGAUGCAUUAACGGCAAGGUUGAACAUUGUCACCUAUGCGCAUCCGACCUUAGUAUCCUUAAGAGCGCAAUAACAGGUGACAGGAGCUUCAACAUGGGAGCUAUAAUAGCAAGGAGGCUGAAUAAUAAUGCCAUUGAUAUUAGUUUACCGUGAGACCUAUGUGUCACUUGCUUAUGUGGUUAACUUGUGAUCUUGCUGAAAUUCUGGUUAUGAGUUAGACAUAGUUGCAACAUCAAGAUCAAACAGAGUUUGUCAAAGUUUUUCGUUCUCUUUUAGUUUGUCAACUGAGUUGCUUGAGGACAAGCAAGGUUUUAAGCGUGGGGGAGUUGAUACGUCUCCAUCGUAUCUACUUUUCCAAACUCUUUUGCAAUUGUUUUGGACUCUAAUUUGCAUGAUUUGAAUGGAACUAACCCGGACUGACGCUGUUUUCAGCAGAAUUGCCAUGGUGUUGUUUUUGUGCAGAAAUGAAAGUUCUCGGAACGUCUUGAAAAUUUACGGAGAAUAUUUCUGGAAAAUAUGAAAAAUACCUGCGCAAAGAUCCACCGGAGGGGACGGGCUAGUGGGCCACAAGCCCUGUAGCCGCGGCCUCCCCCCUGGUCGCGGCUACCAGGCUUGUGGGGCCCACGUGGCUCUGCCGCCCCCAAUUCCAGCACUAUUUAUUCCCUUUCGUCCCGGAAAAAAUCAGGAGAGAAGAGUUCAUCGCGUUUCACGAUCCAGAGGCGCCGCCACAUCCCGUUCUUGCCCUGGAGGGUAGAUCUGGAGUCCGUUUUGGGCUCCGGAUCAAGGAGAUCGUCGCCAUCGUGAUCAUCAACCUUCUUCCCUCUCCAAUUCCAUGAAGCUCUUCAUUGUUCGUGAGUAAUCUAUUCGUAGGCUCGCUGGGCGGUGAUGAGUAGGAUGAGAUCUAACAUGUAAUCGAGUUAGUUUUGACGGGGAUUGAUCCCUAGUAUCCACUAUGUUCUGAGAUUGAUGUUGCUACUACUUGGCUAUGCUUAAUGCUUGUCACUAGGGCCCGAGUGCCAUGAAUUCAGAUCUGAACCUAUUAUGUUGUCACCAACAUAUAUAUGUGUUUUAGAUCCGAUCUUGCAAGUUGUAGUUACCUACUAUGUGUUAUGAUCCGGCAACCCUGGAGUGACAAUAACCGGAACCACUCCCGGUGAUGACCAUAGUUUGAGGAGUUCAUGUGUUCACCAAGUGCUAAUGCGUUGGUCCGGUUCUUUAUUAGAAGGAGAACCUUAAUAUCCCGUAGUAUCCAUUUGGACCCCGCUGCCACGGGAGGGAUGGGCAAUAGAUGUCAUACAAGUUCCUUUCCCUAAGCACGUAUGACUACACACAGAAUGCAUGCCUACAUCACAUUGACGAACGGGAGCUAGCCACAUAUCUCUCCGUGUUAUAACUGUUGCAUGAUGAAUGUCAUCCAACAAAUCACCGAUCCAUUGCCUACGAGUUUGUCCCACUGCUAUUGUUACUUGCUGCUGCUGUUACUUGCUUUGCUCUGCUGCUGUUACUACUAUUGCUGCUACUGUUACUUGCUUUGUCAUGCUGCUGCUGCCACUACUGUUGCUACUACUGUUACUUGUUGUUGCUGUUACUUGCUACUGUUGCUACUUGCUACUGCUGUCACUACUGCUGUUCCUUGCCACUGUUGUUACUCGUUACACUGCUGCUACCUGCUAGAAUACUUUUCUUGCGUCAUUGAUACUUCAGUUAGGAAUAAUCUGCCGUCAACAGAUUCUUUCCUAGCACUGUUGCUAUCAUACUACCUUUGCUGCUUAUAUCCUGCUUGCAGAUACUAAUCUUUCAGGUGUGGUUGAGCCGACAACUCAACUGCUAAUACUUGAGAAUAUCCUUUCACUCCCAUUGUGUCGAACCAACAAAUUUGGGUUGAAUACUCUACCCUCGAAAACUGCCGCGAUCCCACACGCUGGUGGGCCAUUGCAAGACAAUUGCUAAUUGUUGAGCAUCUGGAAGUAGGUACUAGCCAUGGAAAAGUGAGAAUACAGUAAUCUAACACCAAUAUAAAUAGAAAUCAAGUUUGCUACAGUACCUCAAGAGGUGGUAGUUUGUUUUCUUGUGCUAAUAAUAUCACGAGUUUCUGUUUAAGUUUUGUGUUGUGAAGUUUUCAAGUUUUGAGUGAUGUUCUCAUGGCCAAAGGGAUAAAGAGUGGAAAGAGCUCAAUCUUGGGGAUGCCCAAGGCACCCCAAGACAAAUUCAAGGACACCAAAAAGCCUAAGCUUGGGGAUGCCCCGGGAAGGCAUCCCCUCUUUCGUAUUCAAUCCAUCGGUAACAUUACUUCGAGCUAUAUUUUUAUUCACCACAUGGUAUGUGUUUUGCUUGGAGCGUCUUGUAUCGUAGGAGUCUUUUAUUUUUGUUGUGUCACAAUCAUCCUUGCUGCACACCUUUGGAGAGAGACAUGCACUCAUCCUGAUUUUGCUAGAAUACUCUUUGAGCUUCACUUAUAUCUUUUGAGUUAGGCAAUUUAGCUCACAUGCGCUUCACUUCGAUCUUUUAGAGCACGACAGUGUUAUAUUUUGGAGAAAUAAGGACUCUCGAUCUUCACUUAUAUCUUUUUGAGAGUGAUCUCUCUGAGUAACUUGGUAGUUGGCUUGUGCUAUGAAAGUAGUCCCAAAGGUGAUAGGAAUCCAAAGAGCAUACGAUGAAACUUCCAUCUUCUUGUUCAUUGAUUAGAAAGAGAAGUUUGAUUCCUCUCAAUUAGUUUUGAGAUAUGGAUUUGGUGAUACUAAGAGUUAUGUUAGUAGGGUGUUGUGAAUCUAGAAAUACUUGUGUUGAAGUUAGUGAUUAACGUAACAUGCACGUAUGGUGAACCGCUAUGUUAGGAAGUCAGAGCAUAAUUGAUCUAUUGAUUGUCAUCCUUUGUGUUGCGGUCGGGAUCGCGCGAUGGUUAACACCUACGAACCCUUCCCCUAGGAGUAUGCGUUUAGCACUUUGUUUUGAUUACUAAUAAAAACUUUCGCAAUAAGUAUGGGAGUUCUUCAUGACUAACGUGAGUCCAUGGUAUAGAUGCACUUUCACCUUCCACCAUUGCUAGCCUCUUUAGUGCCGCGCAACUUUCAUCGGUGCACAAACCCACCAUAUGCCUUCCUCAAAACAGCCACCAUAAGUACCUACUAUGGCAUCUUCAUAGCCAUUCCCAGAUAUAUUGCCAUGCAACUCCCACCGUUCCAUCUCAUGACUUGUGCCGUCACUUUCAUAUUGCCAUUGCAUGAUCGUAAGAUAGCUAGUGAGUCAUAUGCCAAGCUAGAUCGUUGCACAUCCCGGUACAUUGCCGGAGGCAUUUCCUAUAAGAGUCAUCAUUGUUCUAAGCAUUGAGCUUUUAGUAAAUUAAAGUGUGAUGAUCAUCAUUAUUAGAGCAGUGUCCCAUGUGAGUAAAUAAAAAAAAGGCCAAAGUGGCCCACAAAAAAAUAUAUAUGGAAAGAGGCCAAAGAGCCCCCAAAAAAGGAAGAGAGAAAAAGAGAGAAUGGACAAUGCUACUAUCUUUUUCCACACUUGUGCUUCAUAAUAGCACCAUGUUCUUCAUGAUUGAGAGUCUCUUGAUUUGUCACCACCAUAUGCUAGUGGGAAUUUUCGUUAUAUAACUUGGCUUAUAUAUUCCAAUGAUGGGAUUCCUCAAAAUUGCCCUAGGUCUUGACGAGCAAGCAAGUUGAAUGCACACCCACUAGUUCUUCUUUUGAGCUUUCACAUACUUAUAGCUCUAAGUGCAUCCAUUGCAUGGUAAUCCCUACUCUUUCACAUUGAUAUCUAUUAAUGGGCAUCUCCAUAGCCCUUUGAUACGCCGAGUCGAUGUGACCAUCUCCUCCUUUUUGUCUCACAACCUCCACCACACUCUAUUCCACCAUAGUGCUAUAUCCAUGGCUCAUGCUCAUGUAUUGCAUGAGAGUUGAAAAAGGUUUGAGAACGUAAGAGUGCGAAAACAAUUACUUCGCCAAUACCGGGGUUGUGCAUGAUUUAAAUUAGUUGUGUGGGGAUGAUGGAGCAUAGCCAGACUAUAUGAUUUUGUAGGGAUAACUUUCUUUGGCCUUGUUAUUUCGAAUGUUUAUGAUUACCUUGCUAGUUUUCUUGAAGUAUUAUUGUUUUCAUGUCAAUAGCAAGCUAUUAUUUGAAUCUUACGGAUCUGAACAUUCAUGUCACAUGAAAUAAGUUACAAAGGACAAAGAUGCUAGGUAGCAUUCCACAUCAAAAAUUCAGUCUUUAUCACUUCCCUACUCGAGGACGAGCUGGAGUUAAGCUUGGGGAUGCUUGAUACGUCUCCAACGUAUCUAUAAUUUUUGAUGGUUACAUGCUAUUAUCUUGUCAAACUUUGGAUGUUUUGUAUGCCUUUUAUAUCUUUUUUGGGACUAACUUAUUAACUCAGUGCCAAGUGCCAGUUCCUAUUUUUUUCGUGUUUUUGACCCUUUUCAGAGGAGAAUAUUAAACGGAAUCCAAAAGGAAUAAAACUUCCGAAAAGGUUUUUUCCGGAACAGAAAAUACGCAGGGGGCGUGAGAACCAAGGUAGAGGCCACCAGGGGAGGCCACAAGGCCCCUAGGCGCGGCCAGGGGGGCCUGACUCUGUGACAACAGACCUUCCCCUGCAACGGCACCAGAAGAAUGCUGCUAGCACUCCCCGGCAAUCGAAACUAGAAGAAUAUUGUUGACGGCCCACCAGCGCGUGGGAUCGAGGCAGUUUUCGAGGGUAGAGUAUUCGAACAAAAUUUGUUGAUACGCCAGUAGGAGGUGAGACGAUACUCUCAAGUAUUAGCAGUUGAAUGUGUCAGAUUCAACCAGACGUGAAAGAUUAGUAUCUGCAAGCAAAGUAUCAUCAGCAAAGUAGUAUGAUAACAACGGUGUCAGAAACGAUCUGUUGACGGCAGACUAUUCCUAACGAUUGUAUCAAUGGUGCCAGAAGUUGCCCGUUGACGGAAAUUGUCUGUUCCCGUCAACGCCGAGCGAACAAAAAUUGUAACAGGUAGCAGCAGUGAAACGAGUAACAGCAGUGGCAAGGAACAGCAGUAGUGACAGCAGUAGCAAGUAGCAACAGUAGCAAGUAGCAGCAGAGCAAGCGACAGUAGUAACAGCAGCAGUGGGACAAACUUGUAGGCAAUGGGUCCGUGAUUCGUUCGGAUGAUAUUCAUCAUGCAACAGUUAUAAGACGGAGAGAUAUGUGGCUAGCUCCCGUUCGUCAAUGUGAUGUAGGCAUGCAUUCCGUGUGUAGUCAUACGUGCUUAGGGAAAAGAACUUGCAUGACAUCUAUUGUCCAUCCCUCCCGUGGCAGCGGGGUCCAAAAGGAUACUACAGGAUGUUAAGGUUCUCCUUUUAAUAAAGAACCGGAACAACGCAUUAGCACUUGGUGAACACAUGAACUCCUCAAAGUAUGGUUAUCAUCAGGAGUGGUUCCGGUUANGCCGCAAGCUUCUGUCUCCGCAAGAUCCCAUCUGGGGCACAUUCUGGUGCCCUGUCGGAGGGGGGAUUCGGAUACGGAGGGCUUCUUCAUCAACACCAUUGACUCUCCGAUGAUGCGUGAGUAGUUCACCAUAAACCUUCGGGUCCAUAGCUAGUAGCUAGAUGGCUUCUUCUCUCUCUUGGAUCUUCAAUACAAAGUUCUCCAUGAUCUUCAUGGAGAUCUAUCCGAUGUAAUCUUCUUUUGCGGUGUGUUUUUCGAGAUCCGAUGAAUUGUGGAUUUAUGAUCAGAUUAUCUAUGAAUCUUAUUUGAGUUUCUUCUGAUCUCUUAUAUGCAUGAUUUCAUAUCCUUGUAAUUCUGUUCGAGUUGUGGGUUUUGUUUGGCGAACUUGAUCUAUGAUUGUUGCAAUGGGAUAAGUGCUUUGUUUUGGGUUCAUACCGUGCGGUGACCUCACCCAGUGACAAAAGGGGUAGCGAGGCACACAUCAUGUUGUUGGCAUCAAGGGUAAAAAGAUGGGGUUUAUACCUAUUGCAUGAACUUAUCCCUCUACAUCAUGUCAUCUUGCUUAAAGCGUUACUCUGUUUGUCAUGAACUCAAUACACUAGAUGCAUGCUGGAUAGCGGUCGAUGUGUGGAGUAAUAGUAGUAGAUGCAGAAAGAAUCGGUCUUCUUGUCUCGGACGUGAUGCCUAUAUGUAUGAUCAUUGCCUUAGAUAUAAUUUGCCCUUCCGACCCGCUGCAUGCCACCCUUGUCGAGCUGACUACUCCCAUCGCCCCAACGGCUAAUACAACGCUGACUAGGGCUGAGGUGGAAGAGGCUCGCAAACAACUACUAGUGGAGGGCACCGCCCUUGCCACCUCCAAGCGCUGGAUGAAGGCGGCACGGCGUGAGUACAACUCCGCUUAUGGCUUCACCCCAGCCGCUGACGGACCCAGCCGGCUCGGCGACCUCCGCUGUCGCGGUCGGGUUGUUGCCGAAAUCCUAGGCGGCCAGCUACCCAUCUAUGACACUCCUGCGGCAAACAUGCGGGCCGCCCAGGCGGCCCAUGAAGAGAUGGAUGCCCUGCAGGGCGAGGAGCGGGUGCGUUAAGAAAAGUGCGUCAAGGACCUCCUCACUGCCGCCAAGGAGCAACAGGAUCGCCUCGAUCCUGCCCGUGCUUUCUCCGUAUCUCCGGCCUUCGACAUCGAAGGUUAUGAUGUCCCCAACGACCGUCAGCAAGCUCAGCAUUCUUCCUCCCAUCGUAAAUCCGACCAGAAGGCCGAGGGAAGCCGUGAGUAGCAUUCCCAACGCCGGAGAGAGCAUCACGCAGUAUCUAGCCGGCUCGGCGAGCCGGCUGGAACUAGAGGAGGCUCAGUUCAUGAAGUUCCCCCGCCUGAGCGGUGGGAGAAGGCCAGCACACCCGUGCCCGCAAUCCGGCCUGAGCUCGCGGCUUGGAUCGGCCCUCGCGUCCUUCGCAGCAAGAGCGAUGCUCGCACACGCAUCGACCUUCUGGCGCAGUCGGCCCUCCUGGAGGAGGAGGGUCCCAUUGGUCCGACGUGCUUCGGUCCUCGGAUCCGAGGGGAGGCGUUCCCGUCCGGCUUCACCGUCCCCCGCGAUACUACGAAAUACAACGGCUCUGGCAAGCCGAAAGACUGGCUGAUCGACUACAUCACUGCAGUCGGCAUUUCUCGGGGCAACAAGCGUGUUGCCGUCUGCUACGUGACACUCAUGCUGACCGGCUCGACAAGAACUUGGCUUAACAGUCUGCCAGCUGGCAACAUCAACUCUUGGGUUGACUUUGAAGAUGCUUUCGUCCGCAACUUCACUCGCACCUACAAGCGCCCUGGCCACGCCCGUGAGCUGGCCAUGUGCGUUCAGAAGCCCGACAAACCCCUCUGUGACUACAUCAUGCACUCGACGGAGUUGCACAACUCCUGCGAAGGAGUGCAUGAAGUACAAGCCAUUCAAUACUUCACUAAAGACUGUCGAGACGACACCCUUCUCAAGCACAAACUCAUGUGCUGCGAACCUACCUCUUUGGCAGCACUCAUGGACAAGGCGGAUAAAUACACUACUGCCAACUCUGCCAUGAGGAUCAAGGUCAGCGCGACGGACAAACCCGACCAACCGCCGGCUACAACUAAGCCGGUGGCGACAACUGAGGCGGGCAAAACAACAAGCGCAAGGCGGAUCAGCAAGACCCGUGAGCUUGAAGCAAGCAGGUGGCAAACAUGGAGGAAGAGCAGCCGGCUGCGCAAGACGACGCUCAGCAACAACGAACCGGCAAGAACACCUGACAGCCCAAGCUCACAUUCGAGUAGAUGCUCGACGCGCCUUGCAAGAUGCAUUCCGGGGCAAAGCCAGCCACCCACACACUCCGGUAGUGCAGCUUCUCACAGCGCCUGGCCCGCUGGCGGCUCCCCCGGGGGUGGCUCCUCGAGGUCCGACUCCCGGGCCGGGUCCGGCUCCAGCUCAACCGCCCCCAAUGACGGCCGUCUUCAUGACCAAUUCCCCAAGAAGGACGGGCCUACAUCGUCUUUACCAGCGAGGGCGAUGACAAGCAUAGUGAGCGUCAGCGCCGACAUGAGGUGAAUGCAACGGUCCUCUCGGUUCCCCAAUACACGCAUUGGUCUAAAAAGCAAAUUACAUGGAGCCAGGCGGACCAUCCCGCGGUGAUGCCGAAUCCUGGCACAUACGCGCUCGUCCUCGUCCCCACCAUCGCCUCCAAGAGACUCACAUGUACGUUCUCGCAGGUGCUCGUCGACGGCGGUAGCAUCAUGAACAUCCUCUACCGUGACACCAUGCUCGAGCUCGGGCUGAAGGAGAAGGACCUACAACCGACCAGGACUGUCUUCCACGACAUUGUGUCGGGGCAGUCUUGCUCGCCUAUCGGCAAAAUCCAGGUGGACUUCCUCUUUCGCGACAAGUCGCACUUCCACCGCGAGCCGGUCUGGUUCAAGGAGGUGGACCUCAACAACCCGUACCAUGCGCUGCUAGGAAGGCCGGCGCUGGCCAAGUUCAUGGCUAUCCCCCAUUACACCUACCUCAAGAUGAAGAUGUCGGGUCCCAAGGGCAUUAUCACUGUUGCCGGCAACUCCAAGAAGUCAAUCGAGUGUGGGUGCAACAGCAGCCGGCUGGCCGAGGCACUGGUGAUUGCACAGGAGAAGAGGCAGCUCAACCGGCUCAUGGCUGAGGCUACCGAGCAGCCGCCCGUGCCAACUCCUCCGUCCCAAUCAGACGGCGAGGCCUCAUUCGAGCCGUCCAAGGGAACCGGGCAAGUGCCACUCGACCCAGCCAACCCCAAGUAGUGCGUGACCAUCGGCGCCAACCUUAGCCCCAAAUAGGAAGGUGAGCUCGUCGACUUCCUCAGUGAGAAUCGAGAUAUCUUUGCAUGGUCCCCCAAGGACAUGUCGGGAGUUCCAAGGAACUACGCCGAGCACAAGCUUCAUGUGCAACCUAAUGCAAAGCCGGUCAAACAACCUUUGUGCCGCUUUGCUGAGGGGAAGCGACACACAAUCGGAGAAGAGAUCGCUUGGCUACUUGCAACCGGCUUCAUCAUGGAAGUUUCCCACCCGGACUGACUGGCCAACCCAGUCCUGGUGCAGAAGAAAAACAAAACAUGGUGCAUGUGUAUCGACUACACAAGCCUGAAUAUGGCAUGUCUGAAGGAUCCCGUCGCCCUGCCACGGAUAGAUCAAGUGACUGACUCCACGGUCGGCUACGAUUUGUUGUCCUUUGUGGACGCUUAUUCCGGCUACCACCAGAUCAAGCUGGACCCGGCCGACCGGCUCAAGACCUCCUUCAUCACACCUUCUGGAGCCUACUGCUACACGAUGAUGACAUUUGGCCUAAAGACUAUAGGCGCCACCUUCCAGCGUUGCAUGCAAUAAUGCCUCCUGCCGCAAAUCGGCAGGAACAUACACGUCUGCAUCGACGAAAUCGUCGUCAAGACCAAGAAGUAUUUCAGUCUCCUUGACGAUUUGUCGGAGACCUUUGCCAACUUGCACGAGUACAAGAUCCAUGUCAAUCCAGAGAAGUGCGUAUUCGGAGUACCAACCGACAAGCUCCUGGGUUUCUUCGUGUCGGCUCGCGGCAUCGAAGCUAACCCCGAGAAGACCAGAACAAUCGAGUGCAUGGCCAAGCCGGCUCAACUCCUCGACGUCUAGAAGUUUGCCGGCUGCCUAGCAUCCCUCAGCCGGUUUGUUAGACGGCUGGGUGAGAAGGCACUACCACUCUAUCAGCUGAUGAAGAAGACAACCAAAUUCGAGUGGAAUGAUCAAGCGGACGAAGCAUUCCGCGACCUCAAGUGCGUGAUCUCCAGCACGCAAAUCUUGGCCACGCCGGCGGAGAGGGAACCCAUCCUCAUCUAAAAUGCGACAACCAUGCGCGUGGUCAGUGUCGUCUUGGUGGUGGAGCGAAAGGAGGAGGGCAAUGUGCUGCUGGUCAGCGCCCUGUCUACCAUCUAAGCGAAGUCUUGUCCGCCUCCAAGCAAAACUACCCCAUUUUCAAAAGAUGUGCUAUGGCGUGUAUUUUGCCACCAAGAAGCUGAAGCAAUACUUCCAGGAGCAUGCCAUCACGGUGGUGAGCACAACUCCACUUUCAGAAAUCAUGGGCAACUGUGAUGCUAUGGGCCAGAUUGCCAAGUGGUCCAUCUCCAUGGCCGACCAUGACAUCCGCUAUGAGCUGUGCACCGCCAUCAAGUCUCAAGUGGUGGCCGACUUCCUCGUCGAUUGGGCCGAGACCCAGUUCCUACCACCGCCUCCUGACUCCACACAUUGGCGGAUACAUUUCGACGACUCCAAGAUGCGAACCGGCCUGGGAGCCGGCAUUGUCCUGACGUCCCCGAAAGGGGCCAACUCAAAUAUGCUCUGUAGAUACACUUCGCCUCCUCCAACAACGUCACCGAGUACGAGGCACUUGCACACGCCCUCUGACUUGCUAGAGAGAUCGUCAUCCAGCGGAUUCUUUGCUUCAGCGACUCUGACCUCGUGGUGCAGCAAGUCUUUCGCGAGUGGGAUGCCAGGGACGCCAACAUGGCCAGCUACCGCUUCCCCAUCCAGCAGCUUAGUGGCCCUUUCGAGGGCUGCGAGUUCCAUCAUGUCCCCCGAGCAGACAAUGAGGCAGCAGAUACAUUGGCACAAAUGGGCUCCACAAGGCAAGCAAUCCCGACCGGCGUCUCCCUCGAACAGCUGCACAAGCCUUCCAUCAAGCCGUCUCGAGCGUCGUCAUCGAUCUUCGUGCCUGCAGACCCGUCCGUCCCAAUGACUUUAGGUACGAAGACGCUUCAUCAACUCCGCCGGCUCGGCCCGUUCUGCCAGCUCCGUCAGCUUUGCUGGCUCCGGUUACCUUGCCGACACCAACUACUCUGCCGGCUAUGCCAAACCUCGAACCCAGUCGGCUCAACACCCAGUGGGUGGCCGUCAUGGAGGUUGAUGGCAUGCCGGCUUCCACGACGACACCAGAGACAGAAGGUCUCGAACCCAGGACCACAAUGACAAACUCGGGGGCCUCAGCGGCCCCUGGCCUUCAGGCCGAGCCAGAAUCGGCUCGUGUGUCAGCUCCCACAUGGGCACACCCCAUCCUGUCUUUCCUCCUUUGCGGUGAGCUCCCUUAAGACAAGGUGGAAGCACGGCAAAUCCAGUGCCGAUCUCUCACUUACGCCAUCAUCAACCGUGAACUGGUUCGACACAGUGUAACAGGCGUACUUCAACGCUGCGUCGAAUCAGAGAAAUGAAAAUAAAUUCUCAAGGACAUACAUCAGGGUGAGUGCGGGCAUCACGCCGCCUCCAGAACCCUGGUGGCCAAGGCGUUCCGCCAUGGAUUCUAUUGGCUCACGACCCUGGAAGAGGCCACCACUCUGGUCGACAAGUGUGAAGGAUGCCAGUGCUUCAACACGCAAAGCCACUUGCCGGCCUCAGCUCUAAAGACCAUUCCCCUCUCAUGUCCCUUUGUCGUCUGGCGUUGGACAUGGUAGGCCCAUUCAAGACCGCUCGAGGCCGCAUGCCGCAUCUCCUGGUAGCCGUUGACAAGUUCACCAAGUGGAUUGAGGCCAGGCCAAUAAAGAAGCUUGACGGUCCCACGACCGUCAGGUUCAUCAAGGACAUCACCGUCCGCUAAGGUGUCCCCCACAGCAUCAUCACCGAUAAUGGCACCAACCUCGCCAAAGGUGCAAUGGCGCUCUUCUAUGCCAAGGAGGGCAUUCGGUUCGACCUUUCGUCGGUUGCCCACCCGCAGUCUAACGGCCAUGGGAAGGGCAAACAACCUGAUCUUGGCCGGCAUCAAGCCAAGACUCGUGGCACCGAUCGUCAGGUCAGCCGUCUGCUGGAUCAAAGAGUUGACGGCUGUGCUGUGGAGCCUCCACACCACACCGAACCGGUCAACUGAUUUCACGCCAUUCUUCCUCGUCUACGGGUCCGAGGCAAUCAUCCCCGCGGAUGUCGAGUUCGACUUGCCUCGCGUCACCCUGUACACGGAGGCAGAUGCAAAAGAGGAAAGAGAAGACGGUGUCAAUCUACUCGAGGAGGCACGGGAGCUGGCCCUGAGCUGGACGGCCAUCUACCAGCAGAAGAUGAGACACUACCACAUCAAAAAGAUCAGGCCUCUCUCUUCCCAUGAGGCGGACCUAGUACUUAGAAGAAUCUAGCAAACAGCCGGCCAACACAAGCUCUCUUCCCCAUGGGAGGGACCCUUGAUCAUCAGCAAGGUGCUGCACAACAAUGCGUACUAUCUAAUAGAUGCUCAGAAGCCGCAGAAGCGCAAAAGAGACGCCUCCGGCGAGGAAACGGAGCAUCCAUAGAACGCGGCACUGCUUCGCCCGUUCUAUUGCUAGAACAAGAGAGAAAAUGUGUACGUAUGUAUCCUUUACCCUUUUGGGGUCUCAACGAAUGCAAUGGGUGUCUCAAGAUAGCACUUGGGGCAUACCUAUUUGAUUUCAUAAAAAGAGUUGUCAUUAGAAGAGUGGGCUUCCCGAUCUGACUCCUCGGGCUCGGGGGCUCGCUAGCCGGCCCAAGCCAACUUCCUAGUCGUAGUUGAACAUAUAGUGCAUGUCGAGCCGAAACCCUUACCACCUUGUGCAAGCUAGAGACCGGCUCCGGACUGUCCGGCUAACAUGAUUGUGGAAUGGAAGGCUGGUUGCACGUAAAAUUUGACUACAAAGAGGUUGUCGGCUCAGGUUGGUCUGAUCGCUUCCGAUCUUCAUUUCUAGCUAGCCUGUGCUAACUCGCUCCAAGUCUAAGUAUCUCCGCGACUUCAAGAAAUUCGAGGAUGGCGCCUUCGUAGGCAGAAGCCCCAUCCUAGUCACAAACCGGCUCCCUGCUGUCGGAUUGGCGGGGUGGAUGCUGGAGGAGGCAAGCUGUUGGAUAGACGGAAGCCAAAGGGGAACGUAAGAUAAAAAAGCGAGUCGGCAAGCACAACCUUCGCAGGCACAAUUCAAGCAAACAAGCAUAUAUUAUAUCAAAAGACAUGUAAAGGCCGACGACCAAAGUUCAUUACAUUACACCCCAAGUGCGUGGAACUGUUGGAUUAACAAAAAAUGCAGAAAAGUAGAAAAAACUUUAUUUGGUGGUGGCUCCACCCUUGGCUCCGACAUCGCCGGCAGCACCGGAGGUCGAGGAGGCUCCACCCAUGGCUCCGACAUUGUUAGCAGCACCUGAGGUCGACGCGGCUCCACCCUUGGCAUUGGCAUCACCAGCGGCACCUGACGUGGAGGCGCCGUCGUCUGCUCGGGUGCCUUUGGCACUGCCCUUUGUGGCGGAGUCAACAUAGGCCUCGCCGCUCAAGUCGGCAUCCUCGAAUGCCGUCUCAUCGGAGCUGCCAUCAGGGUCGGCAAGCUAGCCCAUAAUGACCCUCCGGGAUCAGGCUUCUGUCAGCACUCCGCUCCAGGGAAUACUCAUUCCAUGGGCAAAGGAGGCAAUGCCGCUCGGCCGCACCUGCAGCUCGUCUUCGACGGCGGCUGACACGUGUCCAACGUAUCUAUAAUUUUUGAUGGUUACAUGCUAUUAUCUUGUCAAACUUUGGAUGUUUUGCAUGCCUUUUAUAACUUUUGGGACUAACUUAUUAAUUCAGUGCCAAGUGCCAGUUCCUGUUUUUUCCGUGUUUUUGACCCUUUUCAGAGAAGGAUUUUAAACGGUGUCCAAACGGAAUAAAAUUUUCGAAAAGAUUUUUUCCGGAACAGAAGAUACGCACGGGAUGUGAGAACCAAGGCAGAAGCCACCACGGGAUGCCACAAGCCCCCUAGGCGCGGCCGGGGGGGCCUAGCAGGCUUGUGGGCCCCCUGUGACUCGUCUGCACUACCUCUUCUGCCUAUAAAUUCCUGAAAAAUCCAAAACUGCGGGAGAGAUCCACGAAAAUACUUUUCCGCUGCCGCAAGCUUCUGUCUCCGCAAGAUCCCAUCUGGGGCACGUUCUGGUGCCCUGCCGGAGGGGGGAUUGGAUACGGAGGGCUUCUUCAUCAACACCAUGACCUCUCCGAUGAUGCAUGGGUAGUUUACCAUAGACCUUCGGGUCCAUAGCUAGUAGCUAGAUGCCUUCUUCUCUCUCUUGGAUCUUCAAUACAAAGUUCUCCAUGAUCUUCAUGGAUAUCUAUCCGAUGUAAUCUUCUUUUGCGGUGUAUUUGUCGAGAUCCGAUGAAUUGUGGAUUUAUGAUCAGAUUAUCUAUGAAUCUUAUUUAAAUUUCUUCUGAUCUUUUAUAUGCAUGAUUUCAUAUCCUUGUAAUUCUCUUCGAGUUGUGGGUUUUCUUUGGCCAACUUGAUCUAUGAUUCUUGCAAUGGGAGAAGUGCUUGGUUUUGGGUUCAUACCGUGCGGUGACCUCACCCAGUGACAGAAGGGGUAGUGAGGCACGCAUCAUGUUGUUGCCAUCAAGGGUAAAAAGAUGGGGUUUACAUCAUUGGUUUGAGUUUAUCCCUCUACAUCAUGUCAUCUUGCUUAAGGCGUUACUCUGUUCGUCAUGAACUCAAUACACUAGAUGCAUGCUUGAUAGCAGGGGAUGUGUGGAGUAAUAGUAGUAGAUGCAGACAGUAUCGGUCUACUUGUCUUGGACGUGAUGCCUAUAUGUAUAAUCAUUGCCUUAGAUAUCGUCAUGACUUUGCGCGGUUCUAUCAAUUGCUCGACAGUAAUUUGUUCACCCACCGUAAUAUUUGCUACUUUGGGAGAAGCCUCUAGUGAACACUAUGGCCCCCGGGUCUACUUCACAUCAUAUUUUCAGCCUUUAACUUUUACUUCGUUGUACUUUCCACCUUCAGAUCUCACUUUGCAAUCAAUCUUGAAGGGAUUGACAACCCCUUUAUAGCGUUGGGUGCAAGCUCGUUUGUAUUUGCGCAGGUACUCUGUACACUUGGAUUGAUUCUCCUACUGGAUUGAUACCUUGGUUCUCAAACUGAGGGAAAUACUUACUUCUCCUGUGCUGCAUCACCCUUUCCUCUUCAAGGGAAAACCAACGCAAGCUCAAGAGGCAACAGAAGGAUUUCUGGCGCCGUUGCCGGGGACUUCUGGCCCCGUAGCAGAAGGAUUUCUCGCGCCGUUGCCGGGGAGGAUCAAGUUCUAGGUGAAGCUUAUCCAAGUAAGUGUCGAAAACUCAUCUCUUGCAUUUACUUUUUUGCCUUUCGUUUUCCUCUCCCCCAGUUUUGAAAAACAAAAAAUUACAAAAAUAUUUGCCUUCUUCGUUUGCCUUUUUCGUUCGCCCUUUUAUCUCGCUUGCUUUCUGUUCGCUUGUGUGCUUGUUUGCUUGUCGAAGUCACCAUGACUAAAAACACCAAACUCUAUGACUUCUCGAAUACUAAUAAUAAUGAUUUUAUUAGUACUCCGAUUGCUCCCGCCACUAGUGCGGAAUCAUACGAAAUCAAUGUUGCCUUGCUGAAUCUUGUUAUGAAAGAGCAAUUCUCCGACCUUCCUAGUGAAGAUGCCGCAUCCCAUCUUAAUAUCUUCAUUGAGCUUUGCGAUAUGCAGAAUAAGAAAGAUGUGGAUAAUGAUGUGAUUAAAUUGAAGCUUUUUCCUUUCUCGUUGCGAGAUCGAGCAAAAACUUGGUUUUCAUCUUUGCCCAAAAAUAGUAUUGAUUCUUGGAACAAGUGCAAAGAUGAUUAUAUAUCCAAGUAUUUUCCGUCGGCUAAGAUUAUCUCUCUCCGUAAUGAUAUCUUGAAUUUUAAGCAACUUGAUCAUGAACAUGUUCCACAAUCUUGGGAGAGAAUGAAAUUGAUGAUUAGAAAAUGUCCCGCUCAUGGCUUGAGUCUUUGGAUGAUUAUACAAAUCUUCUACGCUGGUUUGAAUUUCGCUUCUAGAAAUAUCUUGGACUCCGCCUCAGGUGGAACAUUCAAGGAAAUCACAUUAGGAGAAGCCACGAAACUCCUAGACAAUAUCAUGAUAAACUACUCUCAGUGGCACACUGAAAGGUCACCUACUAGUAAAAAAGUACACGCUAUAGAAGAAAUUAACUCGUUGAGUGCUAAGAUGGAUGAUUUAAUGAAUUUUGUUGCUAGUAGAAGUGCUCCUUUAGAUCCUAAUGAUAUGCCCUUGUAUUCCUUGAUUGAGAGUAGCAAUGCGAGCUUGGACGUUAAUUUUGUUGGUAGGAAUAAUUUUGGCAACAACAAUGCUUUUAGAGGAAACUAUGUUCCUACGCCUUUUCCUAGGAACCCCUCUAAUAACUUUGGCAACUCCUACAACAAUACUCAUGGAAAUUACGAUAAAUUACCCUCUGAUCUAGAUAGUAAUAUCAAAAAGUUUAUCAACUCGCAAAAGAUUUUCAAUGCGUCCAUAGAGGAAAAACUACUCAAAAUUGACGAUUUGGCUAGGAGCGUUGAUAGAAUGUCUAGUGAUACUGAUGCUUUGAAAGUUAGAUGUGCUCCUCCCAAGAUCAACAUGGAUGAAACUUUGAAACCCAUGCGUGUUUCCAUGAGUGAGAGCAAAGAAAGAACCGCCCAAAUUCGUGCUAGACAUGAAUGGCUUAAAAAGGCGUGUUCUCGUGAUAAGAAUCACGAAGAUCUUAAAGUGCUUGGUGUGACUCCCAUUGAAUCUUUGUUCUCUCGUGUCAAACCUAAUGAUGAUGGGGCUGGAUAUGAAUCUACUUUGGUUGAAAAACGCCUCAAUGAUUCGGAGUCCAUCUAUCUUGAUGCUAAAAGCAUUGAAAGUGGAGUAGAAGAAAUCAAAACUUUGAGUAGUAAUGAAAGUACUACUUUGGAUUUCAAGGAAUUCAAUUAUGAUAGUUUCUCCUUGAUUGAAUGCAUUUCCUUGAUGCAAUCCAUGCUAAACUCUCCACACGCUUAUAGCCAAAACAAGGCCUUUACCGAUCAUAUCGUUGAAGCUAUGAUAAAAUCUCUUGAAGAGAAACUUGAGUUGGAAGUUUCUAUUCCUAGAAAGCUUCAUGAUGAGUGGGAACCUACUAUCAAAAUCAAAAUCAAAAACUAUGAAUGCAAUGCUUUGUGUGAUUUGGGUGCUAGUGUUUCCGCGAUUCCAAAGUCUUUAUGUUAUGUUCUAGGCUUUAAUGAGAUUGAGGAGUGUUCUCUUAAUUUGCAUCUUACGGAUUCUACUGUCAAGAAACCCAUGGGAAGGAUCAAUGAUGUUCUUAUUAUUGCAAAUAGGAACUAUGUACCCAUGCAUUUCAUUGUGCUUGAUAUUGAUUGCAAUCCUACAUGUCCUAUCAUUCUUGGUAGACCUUUCCUAAGGACUAUUGGUGCUAUCAUCGAUAUGAAGGAAGGGAAUAUUUGAUUUCAAUUUCCUUUAAAUAAGGGCAUGGAGCAUUUUCCUAGAAAGAAAAUAAGAUUGCCUUAUUAAUCAAUGAUGAGGGCUACUUAUGGUUUGAGCACCAAAGACGACGAUACGUGAUUCUAUCGCCUUAUGCCUAGCUAAGGGCGUUAAAAAAUAGCGCUUGUUGGGAGGCAACCAAAUGAAUUUAUUUUUUUCUUUCUGUUUUAUUGCGUCCACACUAUCAUAAUUCUGUUAUGAUAGUUUUUUGUGUUUCUUUUUGUGUUUGAGCCAAGCAAAACCUUUAUGAUUGGUUUGGUGAUGGUUGUUUGAUCCUGCUGGAAAAAGACAGAAACUUUUCGCUCACGAAAUUAUUUUUCGUUUUUAUUCCGAAAGAGAUUUUGAUUUGAUUCCUUUUGCUGCUGGUUUAUAUGCCUUUUUCCCAGGCUGUCGUAAUGUUUCAUAAUUUUUGAGGCACCAGAAGUAUACGAAGUAUAAAGAUUUCUACAGACUGGUCUGUUUUUGACAGAUUUUGUUUUUGUUGUGUUGGUUGCUUGUUUUGAUGAAACUAUGGAUAGUAUCGGGGGUACUAGCCAUGGAAAAGUGAGAAUACAGUAAUCUAACACCAAUAUAAAUAGAAAUCAAGAUUGCUACAGUACCUAAAGUGGUGGUAGUUUGUUUUCUUGUGCUAAUGAUAUCACGAGUUUCUGUUUAAGUUUUGUGUUGUGAAGUUCUCAAGUUUUGGGUGAUGUUCUCAUGGACAAAGGGAUAAAGAGUGGAAAGAGAUCAAGCUUGGGGAUGCCCAAGGCAUCCCAAUCUAAAUUCAAGGACACCAAAAAUCCUAAGCUUGGGUAUGCCCCGGGAAGACAUCCCCUCUUUCGUCUUCAAUCCAUCGGUAACAUUACUUGGAGCUAUAUUUUUAUUCAGCACAUGAUAUGUGUUUUGUUUGGAGCGUCUUGUAUCGUAGGAGUCUUUUCUUUUUGUUGUGUCACAAUCAUCCUUGCUGCACACCUUUUGAGAGAGACAUGCACUCAUCGUGAAUUUGCUAGAAUACUCAUUGUGCUUCACUUAUAUCUUUUGAGCUAGACAAUGUUGCUGUGUGCUUCACUUAGAUCUUUUAGAGCACCGCUGUGCGUAACUUGGUAGUUGGCUUGUGCUAUGAAUGUAGUCCCAAAGGUGAUAGGUAGCCAAAGAGGAGACAAUAACACUUCCAUCUUCAUGUGUGUUGAGUAGAAAGAGAAGUUUGAUUCCUCUCAAUUAGUUUUGAGACGUGGAUUUGGUAAUAUUAAGAGUUAUGUUAGUAGGGUGUUGUGAAUCUAGAAAUACUUGUGUUAAAGUUAGUGAUUCCCGUAACAUGCACAUAUGGUGAACCACUAUGUUAGGAAGUCGGAGCAUAAUUGAUCUAUUGAUUUCCAUUCUUUGUGUUGCCGUCGGGAUCGCGCGAUGGUUAACACCUACUAACCCUUCCUCUAGGAGUAUGCGUUUAGCACUUUGUUUCGAUUACUAAUAAAAACUUUUGCAACAAGUAUGUGAGUUCUUCAUGACUAAUGUGAGUCCAUGGUAUAGAUGCACUUUCACCUUCCACCAUUGCUAGCCUCUCUAGUACCGCGCAGUUUUCGCUGGUGCACAAACCCACCAUAUGCCUUCCUCAAAACAGCCACCAUACCUACCUACUAUGGCAUUUUCAUUGCCAUUCCGAGAUAUAUUGCCAUGCAACUCCCACCGUUCCGUCUCAUGACUUGUGCCGUCACUCUCAUAUUGCCAUUGCAUGAUCAUAAGACAGCUAGCGAGAUGUUUCAACGUCAUACGCCAAGCUAGAUCGUUGAACAUCCCGGUACACUGCCGGAGGCAUUUCCUAUAGAGUCAUCAUCGUUCUAAGCUUUGAGCUGUGAGUAAAUAAAAGUGUGAUGAUCAUCAUUAUUAGAGCAUUGUCCCAUGUGAGGAAAUAAAAAAAUAGAGGCCAAAGUUGCCCACAAAAAAAGAGAUAUGGAAAGAGGCCGAAGAACCCAAACAAAAAAAAGAAAAAGAAAAAAAGAGAGAAAAUUAGAGAAGGGACAAUGCUACUAUCUUUUUCCACACUUGUGCUUCAUAAUAGCACCAUGUUCUUCAUGAUUGAGAGCCUCCUCGUUUUGUCACCACCAUAUACUAGUGGGAAUCUUUAUUAUAUAACUUGGCUUGUAUAUUCCAAUGAUGGGCUUCCUCAAAAUUGCCCUAGGUCUUCGUGAGCAAGCAAGUUGGAUGCACACCCACUAGUUCUCCUUUUGAGCUUUAACAUACUUAUAGCUCUAAGUGCAUCCAUUGCAUGGUAAUCCCUACUCUUUCACAUUGAUAUCUAUUAAUGGGCAUCUCCAUAGCCCUUUGAUACGCCGAGUCGAUGUGACCAUCUCCUCCUUUUUGUCUCACAACCUCCACCACACUCUAUUCCACCAUAGUGCUAUAUCCAUGGCUCAUGCUCAUGUAUUGCAUGAGAGUUGAAAAAGGUUUGAGAACGUAAGAGUGCGAAAACAAUUACUUCGCCAAUACCGGGGUUGUGCAUGAUUUAAAUUAGUUGUGUGGGGAUGAUGGAGCAUAGCCAGACUAUAUGAUUUUGUAGGGAUAACUUUCUUUGGCCUUGUUAUUUCGAAAGUUCAUGAUUACCUUGCUAGUUUACUUGAAGUAUUAUUGUUUUCAUGUCAAUAGCAAAUUAUUGUUUUUAAUCUUAUGUAUAGGAACAUUCAUGUCACAUGAAAGAAGUUACAAAGGACAACUAUGCUAGGUAGCAUUCCACAUCAAAAAUUAAGUCUCUAUCACUUCCCUACUCGAGGACGAGCGGGAGUUAAGCUUGGGAUGCUUGAUACGUCUGUAACGUAUCUAUACUUUUUGAUGGUUCCAUGCUAUUAUCUUGUCAAUCUUUGGAUGUUUUGUAUGCCUUUUAUAUCUUUUUUGGGACUAACUUAUUAACUCAGUGCCAAGUGCCAGUUUCUGUUUUUUUCGUGUUUUUGACCCUUUUCAGAGGAGAAUUUUAAACGGUGUCCAAACGGAAUAAAACUUCUGAUUUUUUUUCCGGAACAGAAGAUACGCACGGGACGUGAGAACCAAGGCAGAAGCCACCAGGGGACGCCACAAGCCCCCUAGGCGCGGCCAGGGGGGCCCGCGCCUAGCAGGCUUGUGGGCCCCGUGUGGCUCGUCCGCCCUACCUCUUCCGCCUAUAAAUUCCUGAAAAAUCCAAAACCGCGGGAGAGAUCCUUGAAAAUACUUUUCCGCCGCCACAAACUUCUGUCUCCGCAAGAUCCCAUCUAGGGAACGUUCUGGUGCCCUGCCGGAGGGGGGAUUCGGAUACGGAGGGCUUCUUAAUCAACACCAUGACCUCUCCGAUGAUGCAUGAGUAGUUUACCAUAGACCUUCGGGUCCAUAGCUAGUAGCUAGAUGGCUUAUUCUCUCUCUUGGAUCUUCAAUACAAAGUUCUCCAUGAUCUUCAUGGAGAUCUAUCCGAUGUAAUCUUAUUUUGUUGUGUGUUUGUCGAGAUCCGAUGAAUUGUGGAUUUAUGAUCAGUUUAUCUAUGAAUCUUAUUUGAGUUUCUUCUCAUCUCUUAUAUGCAUGAUUUCAUAUCCUUGUAAUUCUCUUCGAGUGAUGGGUUUUGUUUGGCCAACUUGAGCUAUGAUUCUUGCAAUGGGAUAAGUGCUUGGUUUUGGGUCCAUACCGUGCGGUGACCUCACCCAGUGACAGAAGGAGUAGCGAGGAACGCAUCGUGUUGUUGCCAUCAAGGGUAAUAAGAUGGGGUUUACAUCAUUGGUUUGAGUUUAUCCCUCUACAUCAUGUUAUCUUGCUUAAGGUGUUACUCUGUUUGUCAUGAACUCAAUACAAUAGAUGCAUGCUGGAUAGCGGUCGAUGUGUGGAGUAAUAGUAGUAGAUGCAGACAGUAUCGGUCUACUUGUCUCGGACGUGAUGCCUAUAUGUAUGAUCAUUGUCUUAGAUAUCGUCAUGACUUUGCGCGGUUCUAUCAAUUGCUCGACAGUAAUUUGUUCACCCACCGUAAUAUUUGCUACUUUGAGAGAAGCCUCUAGUGAACACUAUGGCCCCCGGGUCUACUUCACAUCAUAUUUUCAGCCUUUCACUUUUACUUCGUUGCACUUUCCGCCUUCAGUUCUCACUUUGCAAUCAAUCUUGAAGGGAUUGAUAACCCCUUUAUAGCGUUGGGUGCAAGCUCGUUUGUGUUUGCGCAGGUACUCUGGACACUUGGCUUGAUUAUCCUACUGGAUUGAUACCUUGGUUCUCAAACCGAGGGAAAUACUUACUGCUCGUGUGCUGUAUCACCCUUUCCUCUUCAAGGGGAAACCAAUGCAAGCUCAAGAUGCAGCAGAAGGAUUUCUGGCGCCGUUGCCGGGGACUUAUGGCGCCGUAGCAGCGGCCAACUCCAGUUCCAUGCUGGCGCGCUGCGCCGCGAGCAUGCCCAAGUUUAGGUUGCGAUACCAGGACUUGGCAAGGCGAAGCACCAUAUAUGCCCCAGCUUGUGCAGCUGACGCACACGAGGCGUCCAGCUGGGAAGUUCCUACCUCGAGCCAUCAGGACAGCCGGCUCAUUGACGCUGGCUCCACCGUGUCCGGCCAAAGGGCAUUCACCAUCGCCAACCCGGACUCCUGGAGCGAGGUCAGGGACUGCAACAGCUCCCACAUAUGGGCCCUGGCGGCAAGGGCCACCUCCUCCGCGGUCUAGCCGGCACUAAUAUUCACCAUGGCGCCGGCGGCACGUCGUUCUUUGCGAUGAGCCUCUACAGCCGUGUCCACCGCAUCUCAAUUCCCUAGAAAGAGAUGGUGGGGGGCAAUGGCGGGGUCAUGGCGUAAAGAAGGAGAAAAAAGAAUUCAACAAUAAAAAGACAAGAUGAGGCAGGGACGACUCACGGUUGAGAAGGAUGUCGACUUCGCCCGCCUCCUCCUCAACCUCGCGGUCCUGGACCGCACACUCCUAAGCCUGGCGAGCGAGCUUGUUCCCCAGGGCCUGUGUCGCCUUAACUUCCUUCGCCAGUUGAGCUUUCAUGUCCUUCAUGGCGGCGUCCUGCUGCGCCUUUUCGUCAAGGCGCAGCUUCUCCAAACGUUCAAGCUCGAUGGCUUGGGAGGCAUCCUUCCGCAACAUGUUGUCGUUGUGUCCGACGCGCAGCCGCUCCAGCUCCGUUUGAUGGGCCGCCUCGUGGUCCUUCUUCUCCAUCUGGAGAAGCUCUACUUCCUGACGUAGCCGGCCGCCCUCACCGCGCAAGGCGUCGCGCUCCGUGACGGCUCGGUCGAGCCGGCCUUGAAGGUCGCCUGUUUGUUCUAUGUAAUGAUCAUUGGCAUGAAUAAACAUUGCAUAACUAUGCGCUUUUAUACCAAUUUACCAACAAUAAUUUGUUUACCACCGUAUGCUUUUCUACCAAUUUAACAACAGUAAUAUGUUCACCCACCGUAUGUUUCCUACGGGAGACAAGCCUCUAGCGAAAACUAUCGCCCCGGGGUCUAUUCACAAAUAUAUUUACAAAAAUACUAAAUACUUCUUUGAAUUUUAUUAUUUGUAUUUAUUUUUUAUAUUUAAUAUAUUUUAGCUAUCUAUAUAUCACUACUUACCGUUUGCAAGUAACUAGUUCAAGGCGAUUGACAACCCUCUUGCUCGCGUUGGGUGCAAUUGUUUGCUAUUUUGUGUGUAGGCGCUGAACACAGGAAAAUGUGUCGUUCUUCUAUUGGUUUAAUAACCUUGGUUCUCACUGAGGAAAUACUUAUCUAUUCUCUGCUUCAUCAACUCCUCUUUGGGGAUAAAUCCAACGCAGAUCACAAUUAUCACGCGUGCGUUCCCACCCAACAUCGGCGGCCCACAUUCAUACCGAUGUAGAGCGGUCGCUCCGCAUUGAAGCCAUCCCGGAGCGGAUGUGGCAUCUCACUAGCACCGACGUUGAAGCGGUGCAUCGACCGACAGUGCCGCCCAUUGCACACCCGUGUGAGCAUGCCUCUUCGCUGCACUCAAACGCCUCUAUUAAACCCGCAUGUGUGCCAAGAAACCUAUUAUAGUAACAUGUCCAUUUGCGAGAUAGUCGGCCUUAAACACAACACCGGGAAAGCUCCCUGCGCCCGCCUGCUAUAUAAAGGAGGCCAGACGCUGGUAAAGGAUCGCACCACUCCUCCACUCCACAUCUCCCCCUUCCACCAUUUUCCCCCCCUUUCCAUGGCAUCCGACGAGUAGGAAGAGCAGUUGUCCAGUAUAAAAGUUGGUUGGGUGGCUCGCUGAGCCCUCUAGAUACGAACUAGGCAACUUGCUGCUCCUCCUCCCUCGCCGAGCUCGACAAAGAAAGUGGCCGCACCAAGCCGGCGCCUAGUUCAACAACUCUCUAUUCCAAGCCAGCUCACAGAGGAGUAGAGAGUUGCUCCAGACCGGCAUGGUGGAACUGACAUCAUGGCUGCCAUGGACGAGGCCAGGCGCCAAGCCAUCCAGCGUCGACUUUCGCGGAACCGCGUCGUGCUUGUGGACAAAGAAACUAGCUUGGAGAUUGACAAGGCUGCGGGGUUCGUGGGAGUUACCCGCAACUCUCAUACCAGUCGUGCAUGGCAAAAUUUUAGUCAUCGACUUGACUCAUUCCCGUAACCCACGGUGCCGCGCGGCGCAACGCGGCGCGGCGUGGCGAGGAGAGGCGGGCGACGGAGGAGCGCGCGUGUAUGUCUCUCUUGUUCUCAUGCUCAUACAUGUGUGAAACAUCAUCCCUUAUAAGGAGGUCCAACUCCUACCAAACUAGCAACGUGGGACUAAACUUUAGUUCCACCUCUUUCCUUGCACGAAUGGGAUAAGUGGGCCUCUAGGAUUUAUUGGAAAUUCUGAAGAAGAUCAUUGGGCUAGCCCAAAAUUAUUAAAUUCCAGCAAUCCCCCACCAGAUCCUAGAGGCACAAAAAAAUUGCCUUUGGUUCCAAAACACUGUUUAUAUACCGGUACUGCACAGGAGACUAUUAAGUUUAACUUCCACCUAGAACUAUAUGUUAUACUAGUAAGCAACUUGAAUAGUGGACUAUGCCUUGAACUGCAAGUUUUCUGUGAAUCUAGUUUCACAUAGAGCCUUGACUGAUACUAGGCUACCGUUGGUGGAGCUUAUGCGUCAUACUCCGAGGACUUUCAUAAGUUUACUAGAGAGCACCCUACUCUCAUAGAUUGCGAUGUUAACAAUCAGACUCAUGUAGGUGUGUUCUUCAAAAGAGUUCUGUAGGACAACAUCUCUGCUUCAACAAGACAUUUAGAACAUAUAAAGAUAUAUAUCAACCUUCCAUGCAUAUUAGGAAAGUAUUGCAUCUUCAUGGAGUGGUAUUAUCAAUGGUAAGGAUACUUUCCUCUCACUUGACCAACAACUUGUCUUCCACAUCUAAUUCACGGGAUCUCCGGUCACAUUGAAUAGUUUAGCACCGUGAACAACUCAUAUUGUGGGUCUCAUACCCAUCCCCUUCGAUGCAUUAUAUAUCACAUUACAAGAUAGACCCUUAGUAAAAGGAUAUGCCAAAUUUUUAGAUGUUUGGAUAUAAUCCAAUGAAAUAACUCCGGAGUUUCUCAUUUUCCUCACAGAGUUUAACCUUCACUGAACAUGUCUUGAUGACUUCAUGUUAUCCUAUGAACUACUCACUUUUGCACUUACAGUUUGAUUGUUGUGGUUCAUAAGAACACCUGGUGCAGGUUUCUCAACAAACUAUAAGUCAUUCAAGAGCCGACGAAGCCAAUCUUCUUCGCCAUAGCUGUAUCUAGUGUUGUGAGUUCUGCUUCCAUUGUUGACCUCGUUAAGAUUGUUUGCUUGCAAGACUUCCAAGAAACAGCGCCACCACCAUGAGUAAAUACAUAUCCGCUCGUGGCCUUUAUCUCAUCAGCAUGAGAGAUCCAGUUUGAGUCACUAUACCCUUCAAGUACCUUUGGGUACCGAGUGUAUUGAAUUCCAUAACUCGUAGUGCCCUUCAAAUAGCGCAUAACUCUUUCUAGAGCUUUCCAAUGAUCAUCUCCUGGUUUUGAGACAAACCGGCUCAGCUUGCUAGCAGCAAAAGAGAUGUCACGUCUCGUAGCGCUUGCUAAAUACAUGAGCGAGCCAAUUAUUUGGGAUUAUUUCAAUUGAUCUCUAGCAAUUAUUCGAUUCUUUCGAAGCAACACGCUAGCAUCAUAAGGUGUUGGAGAAGGCUUGCAGUUAGUAUAACCAAAGUGACUCAAGAGAUUUUCCACAUAGUGAGAAUGAAGCAAAGUAAUCGCACCGUCAUCACUUCUCAGCAGCUUGAUAUUCAGAAUAACAUUAGCUAAUCCUAAAUCCUUUAUCUCGAAACAACGAGAUAGGAAAUCCUUGACUUCCUUAAUAACAUUCAUAUUUGUUCCGAAAAUCAAUAUGUCUUCAACAUAUAAGCAGAGGAUAACUCCCUCGCCCCCACCAUGGCGAUAGUACACACAUUUGUCAGCUUCGUUUACAACAAAGCCUACACCUAUUAAAGUUCUUUCAAACUUCUCAUGCCACUUCUUAGGUGCUUGCUUAAGUCCAUACAAUGACUUCAAAAAUUUGCACACUUUUCCCUCAUGACCGUCCAUUAUAAAUCCAUAUGGUUGUUCCAUAUAAAUUUCCUCGUCCAACUCUCCAUUUAGGGAAGCAGUCUUAACUUCCAUUUGGUGGACGAGAAUACCAUGUGAAGCUCCUAGUGAAAGAAGUACUAGAAUAGUGGUCAGUCGAGCCAUAGGUGAGUAAGUGUCAAAGAAGUCUUCACCUUCCUUUUGGGUAUAACCUUUGGCCACGAGUCAUGCCUUGUACUUCUCAAUAGUACUAUCAGGCCUAAGAUUCUUCUUGAAUACCCAUUUGCAGCCUAUAGGUUUGCACACAUAGGGACAAUCAGUUAUCUCACAAGUUUCAUUUGCGAGGAUGGAAUCCAUCUCACUACAAACCGCUUCCUUCUAGUAGUCAGCAUCUUCAGAUACAUAAGCCUCUGAAAUAGAACUGGGAGUGUCUUUUAUGAGAUAUACAAGAAAAUCAUCACCAAAGGACUUUGUAGUCCUUUGACUCUUGCUCCUUUUAGGAUUCUCCUUGUUGUUCUCCACAGGAUCUUCAAGAUGUUGUGUUGCAAUAGUCGGUUCAGAAGGUGCACCUACAUCUUGACUCGAUAAGCUAGGCAUCUCCUGAUUUGAUGCGCUAGCCAUAUCCUUAAUGGGAAAUAUAUCUUCAAAGAAGGUCACAUCAUUCCACUCCAUGAUUGUGCCAACAUGCAUGUCAGAUACCUCAUAUUUUAUAAUCAAGAAUCUACAACCAAUGCUAUGAAAAUAUACCCCAGGAAAACAUAAUCCACAGUUUUUGGCCCAAGCUUUCGCUUCUUUGGAAUUGGUAUAUUGACUUUUGCCAAGCAGCCCGAAGUUCAUAGGUAAGAGAGUUUUAACCUUUUCUUCUCCCAUUCCUCAAAUGGAGUUAUCUCUUUGUUCUUUGUGGGAACUCGGUUUAGGACAUGACAUGCAGUCAAAAUCGCAUCCCCCACCAUGCCUUGGAGAGACCUGAUAUGACUAAAAUGGCGUUAACAAAAUCAGUUGGAGUGUGGUUCUUCAUUUCAGCUACCCCAUCUGACUGAGGUGAAUAGGGAGGCGUUCUCUCAUGGAUUAUACCAUGUUCGGCACAAAAAGAAUCAAAUUCAUUGAAAAAAUACUCUCCACCAUGAUCAGACCUAAGCCUCUUAAUUUUCUGAUCAAGUUUGUUUUCCACUUUAGCUUUAUAGAUCUUGAAGAAAUUCAAAGCCUCAUCUUUAGAUUUUAAAAGAUACAGAUGGUACCAUCUAGUGGAGUCAUCGAUUAAUGUCAUAAAAUAUGACUUUCCACCUUUCGUCAAAAACACUGUUCAUUUCACAAAGAUCUGAAUGUAUGAGUUGUAGUGGCGCAAGAUUUCUUGUUUCUGCAGUUGCAUGAGACUUACGAGGUUGCUUAGCUUGCACACAAACUUGACCCUUAGAUCCCUUGAUAGAAGUGAAGUUCAGGAUCAAGUUCAACUUGACUAGCCGCGUCAUAGAACCAAAAUUAACAUGACAAAGACGUGAAUGAAAGACAUUUGAUUCUCUAUUAUUGCAAACGUGAUUAAACCCUUUAUUACAAAACAUCUAAUAAAGAUAGUCUGAACAAGCCUCCUGACUCAUAACCUUUACCAAGAAAAGUUCCAUACUUGGAUAUAAAAUUUAUUGGACUGAAAGACAAACUUGUAGCCAUCUCAACAUAGAGGAGAUCCACUAACAAGAUUUUUAUUAUCGGAGGGUACAUAAUGCAUGUUCUUCAGCCGCAUUAUUUUUCCUGAAGUAAACUUCAGAUCGACCGUGCCAACACCACGAACAUAAGCACUUGAACCGUUUCCCGCCAGGAUGGAGGUAGUCCCUGCGGCCUGAUAUGAAGAAAACAUAGAAAUAUCACCGCAUAUAUGCACAUUAACACCCGUAUCAAUCAACCAAUCAGGAGAACGACAUAGUGAGAGAAUAGUGGGAAGUAUACCAUACCCAACAUCCUGCAUCUCAGCAUCACCAAUGAUAACAUUAGCAAUCUUGUCGCCUUUCCCAUGUUGACGCUUUUCAUAACGGUUAGGGCAACUAGGUGCCCAAUGAUGAGGAUCUCCGCAAACAUGACAAACACCUUUCUUUUUGUCAGUCUUCUUCUUGAGUGUGCUGUGAAGCCUUGUUCUUCCCAUCAAACUUUCCCUUACCAUCAAAUUUGCCCUUGUUAUUGAACUUGUGGGGUUGGAAGUUUUUCUUCUGCACCAGAUUGGCACUAGAACCUCCUUCCAUACCUCAAGCAUGUAUGUCUUGCCUUUUCUUCCACAUCAAGAUUACCAAUGAGAUCCGGAACGGAAAACUCCUUCCUCUUAUGAGUGGGAGAGGUAGCAAAGUUCCUCCAUGAAGGAGGAAGCUUAGUAAUAAUACCUCCGGCAACAAACUUCACCGGUAACAUACAAUUGAAGUUCUCAAGUUCUCCAGCAAAUGAUUGUAUCUCGUGAGCUUGUUCAACCACAGAACGCUCAUCAGUCAUCUUUAUUCAUAGAAUUGUUCCAUGAUAUACAGCUUAGUGCCAGCAUUCGAGACUCCAAACUUGGCCUCGAGCACGCUCCACAUAUCUUUCCAUUGUCAAUUGACGCAUAAGCAUCAACAAUGUUCUCACCAAGAAUACUCAAGAGAGCAUCCUUAAACAAGGUAUCAAUUUUCUGAAAAGCGAAUUCCUGUUGAGGAUCAAGAAUUCCUUCAGGUUUGCCAAGAGUGGCAUCGUAGCAGCUCAUGGUUUGAAACCAUAGAACAUCCCUUACACACCAUCUCUUAUAGUGCACACCCUCGAACAUAGGAGGCCUCAUGGAAGCAGCAAAACCACUCGGGGUAAAUUUCCUAAAAUAAGGUCUUCGGAUUGUUGGAAAUAUGAGCGAUUUACCAAGUGAUUUUACUAGCAGAAAUAGUAGAUGAAUCAUGACUACCAUAGCAAUUAUAAGACAAGCCAGUCGAUUAUACACAGAGUAUGCAAGUAGCAUAUGAAGUGAUGAGCAGGAACGAAACAUAUCUAGAAAAGAAACUAUAACAAGAAGUUGUGGCAGGAACUCAAACAAGAAGAACACGAGAACAUACUGAGUUGGAGCAGCAGCUAUAGUGGGAUUUGCGUUGACGUCGUCAUUGGCCAUGUUGCCGAAGAGGCUGUCGAUGUCGGGGAAGAAGUCGUCAUCCGGGAAGUAGUCGUCAGCGUUCGUGAUGGAAAAGCCAGUAGUCGCAUUGAGCGCUCCCCAAAAACCUUAUCGCCCUUCUCCAGUACAUGACUCAAAGAGACGGGGUUUCGGAGGCCUACUGUUCCGACCUGCGGUGCACGUCGCAAGCCGGGGCGGGGAAAAGCUAGCAGUAGCUCAGAGAUUGGAACUCGUUGGCAUGAGGAAGAUGGUAUUCUCGUGUGUCUCUCUGGAGAGGAGCGACCUGUCUUUUAUAGGCCCAUGAGAAGGAGGCAGGCACGCAACAUCGGGAGGCGAAGCAAAAGAGAUUGCAGUCAGGUUGAUAAUAGUCGAGUGACAUUACUUCGUCGGUCCAAACUAAGGAAUCUGUUAUAAAUGUUUUGAAAUAGAUAUUGUUCUCUCUUUGAUCAGGGAUUGCUAUAUGAAAAUAAGUGGAGUUUGAAAAAGGGAACGAAAUGCUCAAACCGGAACUGCUAGAGGAACGAAUUUUCAAUAGCAUAACUUGGGCUCCUAGAAUAUGGUGCCCUUGAGACAAUCUAUUUGAUUGCAGGGUUUUGUUCUGAAGCAAAGAUAUCCGCAGAGGACGGUUCGUUCGUCCUAUUCUGAUAUUCAGGACCAAGAGGUACUGCAUUCUCUGGCUGAAAUGCCAACGGAACUCUGUCUAUUCUCUAAUUCACCCGAUCCGAUAGUACCUGUUUUUGGAACGUCCAGUGCCAAAGUCAUUGAAUGGGUAAGUCACGAAUCCAAUCCCUUUGACAAAUCGGAUGUCAUAUUAUAUAUCAUAUCCUAUAUAUAUAUAUAGAAAUAUCAUAGAUACCCCGUUUCGUGACGAGGCGAGACGGGCGGCGGAGGAGGAGGAGCGUGCGUGUAUGUCUCUCUUGUUCUCAUGCUCAUACAUGUGUGGAAACAUCCUUUCUUAUAAGGAGGUCCAACUCCUACCAAACUAGCAAUGUGGGACUAAACUUUAGUCCCUCCUCUUGCCUUGCACGAGUGGGCUAAGUGGGCCUCUAGGAUUUAUUAGAAAUUCUGAAAAAGGUCAUUGGGCUGGCCCAAAAUUAUAAAAUUCUAGCACAUAAUUGGGGGGGGGGGUAUACCUCUGGGGCUCCCGAUAGUCCGAUGAGCAGGCUGCCGGACAUGAGGCAGACAAAGGGAUCCGCAGCGCUCGGCCAUAGAUUAGUGUAGGGUAUCCAUGUCGUUAGAAUGGAGCUCCACGCGACCAGACGUGCACAUAGUUUUACCUAUUUUAGUUCAAAUAUGUCCAAAAUGCAAUGAAUUUAGUCCGGUUUAUAUGAAAUCCGUUGUGUUUGCAUGAGUUUCAUCUGCUUUGUUGGAAAAGUGUUUGAAAUAUACUUCCUCCGUUCCAAAAUAUAAGACCUUUUAGGAAUUUCACUAUAAGACUACACACGGAGCAAAAUGAGUGAAUCUAUACUCUAAAAUAUGUCUAUGUACAUCCGUAUGUAGUUUAUAGUGCAAUCUCUAAAAGGUCUUAUAUUUAGGAACGGAGGGAGUAUGUGAGUAACGAUGGAUGACCGACAACACUCGAGAAUAUCAUUUUUGGUGGUGCUCCUCAGGUGCCGAGUCAUCACUUUCAAGGUGAAAACCUAAGGUCUAACUUUCGUUUUGUGCCUUAUAUUAGAGUAUUUAACCAAAAACCACCAUAAUUCAUGGAAACGUGCCUAGAAACUACUACUAUACGUUUUUGUGCCGAAAGCUACCAUUUUUAUCCUAAUCAGUGGCAAAAAACUACCAAGUGUGAAUAUUGCUCCAUUAGCCUCUUUGAAAUGCCUUUUAUCCUAAUCCGUUAACUACUCCAUUAACCUACCUGGCGCAGCCCCGCCGCCGUCGCCAUGGCCUCGCCCAAAGCGGCGGCCGCCCCGUGCCUCGCCGUCGGCAGGCCUCCUUGUCGCCGACCACGUCGCCGUCGGAUCCCGGCGUCCUGCGAACCGCCCCACGCUGCCAGUCUCCAUGCCCUCGCACCGAGCGGCGGCCGCCCCGCGCCUCGCGGCCGAAGGCCUCCCGUCGUGGACCCUGCCGUGGUUGGAUCCCACCGCCUCGCCUCCCUGGCGCAGCCUCGUUGCCCCGUGAACCGCCCCGCGCCGUCCAUCGCCAUGGCCUCGCCUCGAGCGGUCGUCGCCAGCGUCUCGCCGUCACCAGAUCCGGCAGGCGUCGCCCUGGUUCCGCCUCUCCCGGACCUCCCCGCCGCCCUGCUCAUGCCGGAGUGCUGCGUGUAGAUCGCGUCGUCUCCUCCAGAUCCGGUCGCACCGCCGCCGUACUUCAUCUUCUCCACCUCCGGUGAAGGCCGCCGCCGUCUCGAUCUCUUUCUCCGGUGACGGCAAACUUAACGGUGCUGACUUUUCCGUCCUGACAUGUGGGCCAACCCUGUCAUAAUGAGUUUAAACGAGCCAAAUGAGGCGUUUUGCAGACUUGAUUGUUUUUAGUCACAGAUUAGCAAAAAAAAAUUGAUAGUUUUUGGCGCAAAAACGAAUUGUGAUAGUUCCUGGGCACGUUGGCGUGAAUUGUAGUAGUUUUUGAUUAAAUACUCCUCAUAUUACCUUGAUGAAGGUAUUGUUUCGAGAGCUCGGUCUUUUUAAGGGAGAAAACCUAAGAUCUUGGAUCGGACGACGAUGACGCUUGUGCACCGAUUUUUUUUUAAAGGCAUCAUUUUUUAGGAUGGUUUGAGUGUCGCUGCUGCUGAGAAGAGUUGUUCACUGUGACGAGUAGUUGAAAAUGCUCUUACUAUUACAUUUUUCUUUCAAACACGUUACAGUUUACUCCCACCUCAAGUAGUUCCGAGCUACUGUACGUAGUAGCCACACACAUGGAGCGACUCACUCACCUCCAACCAAUUUAACUUUCGUGAAUCUUUGAUCGCUUUUCAUUUGGCCCAGCUCGACGUCACGCGGAUGUCCCCGAUGGAUCUCGCCGGCCACACGCCCCUCGACGACGACGAGAUGAGCAGCGUGUGAUCCUCGUCGCCCCGUCCAUCCAACCGAAGAUAAGACGCCCACUCCCUCCCCUCCACAUGGCACCCACCCUCCAAUCCCUUACUUAUUCCCGCCCCCCUCACUCCUCCAUCCCCUAGCUCCACCUCUCAUCCGCUCCUCAGCCACACCUAGAGCAUCUUAGCUCCAGCUAGCCACCAAUGGCCGCCGCACUGAGCCUCCGCGCGCCCUUCUCCGUGCGCGCUGUGGCGCCACCGGCGCCCCGCGUGGCCCUUGCGCCCGCGGCCCUCAGCCUCGCCGCCGCCAAGCAGGUGCGGGGAGCCAGGCUCCGCGCGCAGGCGACGUACAAGGUGAAGCUGGUGACGCCCGAGGGCGAGGUGGAGCUGGAGGUCCCCGACGACGUCUACAUCCUGGACCAGGCCGAGGAGGAGGGCAUCGACCUGCCCUACUCCUGCCGCGCCGGCUCCUGCUCCUCCUGCGCCGGCAAGUUGGUGUCCGGCGAGAUCGACCAGUCCGACCAGAGCUUCCUCGACGACGACCAGAUGGAGGCAGGGUGGGUGCUCACCUGCCACGCCUACCCCAAGUCCGACAUCGUCAUCGAGACCCACAAGGAGGAGGAGCUCACCGCAUAAGCUGCUUACCCUGCCUCUCUUUGCAACAAGAUCGAGCUGAUAUCAUAUUAUCUCCCAUCAUGCAUGCAUGCAUGGAUAUCGCCAGAUACACCGAUUUGUUUGUGCUCGAAUGAAUUGCUCGAUGCAUGGUUUGCUCCAGUAAUAAUGUCUUCGAAUUACUACCUUUUUGUACCGUAAGAUAUACUACUGUCGUAAUACUAGCGUGUACUUAAUUCAACGUACUGAAAUGAAUCCUGAUGGCUGAGGUGUCUCUCUGAUUAAUAAUAUCUUCUUUUUUACUUAAGAUAAGAGACUGCUGAAUGUUGGUUGCUAACGGUGGUGGUUGAUGUUGAAGUUUUGUUGCUGCAAGUUGAUUGCUUCGCCGCGUUAUGCCUUGCCUUGUUUCUCAUUUAUGUAUUUUUGAUGAUGCAUCGUCGCACUAGGUAGCUCUUGAAUUGUGUUUGGGGGCACCUUGAAAUUAAUAAACAGUAAGGUAGGUCACAAUGUCUUCAACCCCCUUUCUAGAAACCACUCUAACAUCAAAUAGAAUAUUACUCUAUUGAUUAGUACAGAGAUGCUAUAUACACUUUGUCACAGUUUGUACAGAGAUUGUAGGUGAAUGCAAUUGAAUUAAACCAUAUGUGACAUGCACCGUGAAGUCGAAACCUUGCAACAUAGUGUCAGAAAUAACAAAUCGAUGUCUUACUUCAUUAGAUGUGGAACCAUCUACCCUCGUUGUUGAUCAUCAUAAUGGUUUUAUAAACCCCCAACAUGUUGUGUUUUAAAACGAUUGUACCAUGUUCUUGUUUCGACUGCCGGGGGGAGGGCUCGUGAUGACCUACUCUUUCUCAAGUUAUCAUGUUAGUCACUUGGAUGACUUAGGCCCUGUUUGGAACUAUAAUACUCCCUCCGUUCCAUAAUAUAAGUCUUUUUAAAGAUUCCACUAAAAAACUACAUACAGAUGUAUAUAAACAUACUUUAGAGUGUAGAUUCACACAUUUUGCUCCGUAUGUAGUCCACUAGUGAAAUCGCUUAAAAGACUUAUAUUUAGGAACGGAGGGAGUAGAUUAUAAUAAUCUAGAUUAUGAAGAUAGAUUAUAUAAUCUGGUUUAUAAAAAUAAUCUAGAUGGACAUGUUUGGAGGCCGGAUUAUAUAAACUGUAAUCCAGAUUUUACAUUGCAUAAUGACCUGUCUGCCCUCUGUUUAAAAAAAAAAAAGGGUGGCGGUGGUAGGAAUGUAAUUAUCUCCAACUUUACAAGGGUAAUAGAUCAUUAGCAAUCCAUAAUCUGAUUUUAGCUGGUAUAGACUAGAUUAUGAGUUUUUAAUAAUAUAUCCAUCUAGUUUUUAUAAUCUACACCAUAAGCUGUCCUGUUUGAAGACAAAAUAGAUUAUAGAAACUGGAUUAUAUAAUCUGGAUGGUUCCAAACAGGGCCUUAGAUGGAGAUAAUGCACACCAUUGAAAAAAUUAUACUUAUAGAUAGGGUCACUUUAGUGGCUGGAAUAGUCUCGGACCUGUCACUCGUACUUCGGUCCAACAACGUACAUGCCAUUGCAAUUUACUGAGCAGGGAUUGCCGCCCGCCACUGAUUUUCUAGUCCCACAUUGGCCAUGGGGAAACCUUUUCAGUGGCGGGCGGUCGGGUACAACCUACCACUGGCAGUGAAGUUGUCACUGGCAGGCACCGGUUUCCUCCAACCAUUAGUGCACCACAUAUGUAAUUUUCUAAUUUCCUGCAUUUGUUUUUACAUUUUAGUGUGGUAUUCUUUUGUGACUUUGUUACUGUAUGAGAAUUGUUUGACCUUUGUAGUAUCUUUAUUUGCUAUAUUUUAGACAUUUUAUUAAUAAAGUUGUAUUUAAUUGAAUAUAAUUAUAUUUUUUGAACUACAACUAUAUAUUUUAAAUUACUUUCAAAGGUUCGAAGACAAAUAUUUAUGUCUCGUGAAACAAUAGUAUUGUUUCACCAAUAUUUGAGCAGUUUUUCAGCAUAUGUAGUUCAUAUUUAAUUUAUGUCCAUUAGAUAAACUAAAAAUGCAUUUAAUGCCCCAAAUAUAUCAUAUAAACCUAGAAACGCAUUUAAUGCCCCAAAUAUAUCAUAGAAAACUAGAAUAGUCCUGAAUUUGACCAAGGAACUUGUAAUGGUGUAUACCAAAAAUAAAAAAAGUUUCUGUUAAAAAAUGAUGAAAAAAUUGUGUUCCCAUUCAAACCCAACAUUUUCCCUUAGAAACGUUGAUACUUCCGUGGAGACUGUUAUUUCUACGUGAAGUGCAUCGGAUUUUUUCUGUGAGUCUCUAAUUUUGUUACCACACCUUCGGUUUCAUAUCAUGACACCAUGCAAAGUUCCAUCAUUUUCAAACUGAAUUUACAUCUAUGUAUAAAAAAAAUCAAUACUCUUAAUAGCUAGAAAUUGAUCUGAUGCUUAAAAAUAGCAAAUCAACCCAAAAGGUGAUAAAGUCUAUCAUGAGUCUUUAUGAAGUAAAUUCAACCCCACAAAAGGUGGAAAUUAAAUUCUACCCCUAAAGCAGUAAAGCAAACAUAUUGCAAAAAAUGCAAAAAAGUAGCGUGCGACCAUAAACACCCUCCAUUGAUUGAUUUUGGUCACAUUCCCGCGAGUGAGUGGGACAUGCCCGCACCUUCAACCUGCAAAUGUGGUUGCCUUAUCCCCCAUUGUCGACCUCUCCCAUCCGACUCUACCCAAUCCCUAGCUUGCAAUCACCAUUGCUGCACCCGUCGUUGUCGCCGGCGAGGGAAUCAUCGUCUUUUUCAUGGGUUGUCAUUGUUGCAACAACCCCGGUCAGCGUGGCCGAAAUGCCCACCCCAUGGCCUCCUCCACCAGCAAUGGUGGCCUAACCCGCUGCCACUAGCCUCCUCUUCCUCCAAGCCCGAUGCCUUUAACUCUCCCCAUGUCUCCUUGCGCGUCGGUGGCCCCAAUCUCCUGGUUGUAUUUUGCAAUUGCAAAGGACAUUGUAUUCGUUGUGAGAUACUUAAAUCUGUUGAAAGGAUAUCGAAUUCUAUAAGCAACAUGCUUCUUGCUUGUGGAAUGUGCAGGCUAUUCUUUCAUGGAAAAUUUGGUCUUAGGAUACUUGGGGAUAGGAAAUAGAGAAUUAAUCAAGGUAGAUUGUUGUUAAUCCAUUUUGCUUCAUAUCCUUCUAUUGAUGUAUGAUUAGCUCGUUCUUUCUAGACUACGCCAUAUACAUCAUUUCUUUAGCAAAUUUAUUUACUCCUGCUUGCAUAACUAUGUCGUAUGCAUCAUUAUGCUUAGCUCCUGCUUGCAAGAUUACUUGAGGAUAAUAGGAAGCAAUUAUGGUUUCAGAAUAAACCAAUCAGAAUAAGAAACACAUCCUCUAUACUCACAUCAUCUUUUAUACCUCAAUGCUUGUAGGUGUAGUGUUUUUUGCCCCAUGCAAAUUUGUGUUACGUCAUCUUUUAGAUACAAAUCAUGGUACCCUUGUUCCUGUCUUGACAUCAUGGUCAUGUUUUAAAAAAAGCAUUUUCUUAUUUAUGUUACACCCCACAUGUAUGUAUACAUAUAUUUCUUUUUUAUGUCUCUUUGAAGGUUGUUAGUGCCACAUGUAGGUGGGGUUGUAUUUUUUUAUUGGUGAAAGUUGUUGGUUCUACAUGUUGUGUCACCUUAUAUAAGGUGUAUUACACUUUAAAUAGUAAUGUGCAUAUCUCCAAAAUUUGUAGGGCUUCAAAAUGAGUGCCAAAAUUCUGGCGAAAUGUUGAUUUAUUUCCAUUUCACCACAUUUUGAGCACUCAAUAUUUUCAAUUUUUUUAGCAAAACUAUGCCCAACUUUUCCAAUGAUUCAUAAUUGUUUACCCUUAUUAUUUUAUAGAUGUACUGGCUAUACUAUAGUGUAUAAAUGAUGCGACGAACUAUGUGUUUUCUAUUUAAUUUCUCAACAUGAAUGUAUGCAAUCAACCAUGUAUACCCAUGAUGUGGUAACAUCAACGUAGGUGUGUGCCACAGGUGCUUAUCAACUCUAAGGAAUUCUACGUAGAUCUUGACGAGAACUUUCCACAGAGGAUUGUACGUUUUAAUUCAACAUGUGUUGUGGAUGCUGAAUUGCUCACAUAUAUAAAAUUACCCAAAAAAUGUCUAUUUUUCAUAUUUCUCCAUGCAUCCCUUGUUAUGCAAGGCUCACUUCCUACAUAAAGUGAACGUGCCAUAGAGGAGAAGGUUACAUUUGAGCUCAAGAUGAUCAUGUUAAAAAAUGGCACAACCUUCAACCUUACGGUCACCAACGAGGCACACGGAACCUUUCAGUUGCCCAUGUUGAAGAGGGAUUGCAACCGAAUAAAUGAUGCAAAAUGCGAAGGCAUUCUUGUUUUUUUAGCGAAGGCGUUCUUUGUCGUUUCUUGGCGAACAAGAUGAUGAUGACAACAUCUAUAUGUGGUUCACACCGCCCCCACCACCAUAGUUGUUCUUGGUGGAAGGAUUCGGAGUUCAUAGGCAUAGUUUUAUCAUGCACUUCAUUUAAUGCAUAUGUUAUAUCUUUUUAUAAUCAUCCAAAUUUAUUCCUCAAAUAACGGCUAUAUCAUUUAAAAUUAAAAGAGAAAUAGAGUUUAGGGGACUAGAAUCCCAAAUAGAAGAGGGUCUAUAGGUAAAACUAGUCUUUGCUAGAGAAUCUGCUAUUUUGCUUCCCAAAGCAAUGGGCAAAAGAUGUGCCAGCAAAGUCCAUCACCAGAAAAUAGCAUUCCACGAUAGUGGCUGCAUCUGGCUCGAAAUUAUUCGUAUGCCAGUUCACAACCUCCACAACUAGGAUACCCAUGAUGUUUCGAUAAUCACAUUAGGUUUCCAUCACAUUAUUGCACACAAUGUUUCCAGCCAAACGAGCCCUUUGCGAAUGGCACUUAACUCUAUCAAAUCGGCACUACUGACAUGAGGCAAAUACCAUGUAACAGUGAAUGACACUUAACUCUAUCAAAUCGGCACUACUAACAUUAGGCAAAUACCAUGUAGCAGUGAAUGGCACUUAACUCUAUCGAAUCGACACUAUCGACAUGAAGCAAAUACCACAUAGCAGCGAGAGAAAGUUGCCUUUGUCAUCACGUACAAUAGCUCCCAUCGCACUCGAUUGUGUUUCAUAACGGAAAGAAGCAUCCACACUAACAUUAACACUUCCCAUGUUAGGUCUCUUCCAUAUAUGAUAUUUUUUUCAUACAGCUGAUUUGAAGUUACUGCUCUUAUGAAAUCUUUGGCCAAAACAUUGAUAGAAACUGCUCCCUUUUAGGGUUUUGGAGAGUGUAGGAUCGAAAGUAUGUCUAGUGGAGGGGGCUUCAUUAGACUACUUGAUAAGAUAAAAACUGAACCUUUUUCCUAAUUUUAGUUGUGGGCUAGUUUUAGCAAUUAUGACUAGUCAAGUUCAUCCUACUCAUGCAUAUCUAAGAUUAUAGCAGCGGAAAGUAAAGACAUGCAAAUGUAAUGAAGAGGGUAAGGUAGGAAGAUCAAAUGCAAAGGUCGACACGGUGAUUUUUGGCGUGGUUCUGAUAGGUGGUGCUAUCGUACAUCCAUAUUAGUGGAGACUUCAACCCACGGAGGGUAACAGCUGCGAGAUUACACAAAGGGCUCCACCCACAAGGGCUCCACGAAGAAGCGGCCUUGUCCAUUCCACCAUGGCUUACGUCCACACAAGACUAACCUCACUCACGGUAGAUCUUCACGAAGUAGGCGAUAUCCUUGCCCUUACAAACUUCUUGGUUCAACUCCACAACAUGAAGUAGGAGGCUCCCAAGCGACACCUAACCAAUCUAGGAGGCACCACCCUCCAAAAGUUAAUAGAUGCAAUAGAAGGAUGAACUCCUUGCUCUUGUGCUUCAAAAGAUAGUCUCCUCAACACUCAAUCACUCUCUCAUAGAUUUUGCAUGGGUAGGAGAGAUUGAUCCCAUGGAAAGCAACUUGGGGAGGCUAGAGAUCAAGUUUCAAAUGGUUGAAUUGGAAUCUCUUGAUCUUAACACAUGCAUGAGUAGGUGGCUUUCUCUCAGAAAUAUGGAUCUGGCAAGUGGGUGUGUGUUCUCAGUGCUUCCUUUUCGAAUGCGAGGAGGUGGAGGGGUAUAUAUAGACAUCUCCCAGAAUCCAACCAUUACCACAUUAUUUCCCAAUGCGGUGACACCGAAAGGAAUCUUAGUGGUACCAAGUUGCAAUAAAUGUGGCACCUUUUGAAUUCUUGGUAGACCAAUAUAUGAAUCUCGAUGGUAAAGAUACGAUGAUCUAGACCAGUUUCCAAAUCUCGGUGAGACCAAUUCCAAUCUCGGAAAUUCUGAUUGUUGGAAUUUUCUCAACAGAAAGUUGGUCAUUGAAUCUCGGUGGCUCUCAUAUGAAAGUUUGUGGUACCGCCAGAUUAGAGUCUGGCAACGGAUCCAUUGGGUGGAAAAUUAGUAGGGCCAAGUGGAAAAUAUUGGUGGCACCGAUUUUGCUCGUUUAGCUUUGGACAGGGAUAUCUUGUGGGAGAAUGGCUUAGUAGUUUUGGUGGCUAUCUCUAAGCACUUGAGCAACCAAUUCACCGUAAUACCUCACCCCCUUUAAAUAGUAUUGGCCUUCCUAUGGACUCAAAGUGAUUUAUCACAUAUGUAAAAUGUAGAGUCUUCUUGCUUGAAGCUUGAGCUAAUCCUAUUCCUUCCUUCAUCAAGGGGUUUCUCCACACAAUCCUUUAGCCAAGGCAUCUUUGAACUUUUCUAAAAUAUACUUGGAUAACAUCAUUAGUCCAAUGAUGCAUAUGUUGUGAUCAAUUAUCAAAACCACCUUAGGGAGCAAUUGUGCUUUAAAUCUCUCCCUUUUUGGUAACUGACGACAACAUAUAGAUCAAAGCUUCAACAAAAGGUAUAAUCAAUUAUUAGCAUCGACGCUUUGAGAAGUACGUGGAAAGCAAGAGAUGCCCCUAUAUUUGUGCAUUAUUUUAUAUUUGCAUUGGAAUGCAAAUGCACAAUCGAUUAGGAUCAUGGGUCACUCUUCCAUGUCACAUAUAGCUUGGUGGUGCGCAUAAAUGAUAUGAAUAAAUAGUAAUGCACAUAACACCAAACAAGCAAGUGAAUGAUCAUCAAGUAGAUGGCUCCAAGGUAAUAACGUGGUAGCAGCAAUCAAACAAAGUAUAGAUCAAACACUUCUCCCAAACACAUAAAGUCAACCAAAAGACCAAAAAAUUGAAAAACCAAAUGAGACCAAAUAAAAUGCAAACCUCUCCCUCUCGAAGACUAUUUGAUCUAUACACUUGUCCUCCUUUGGCGACAAGUUACCAAAAAGUUUGAAGGUCUAGAACUAAUUAUCUCUCUGGCUUGAACUCCUCCGGUAGAUGAUGAUGGAGUGGAUAGGAGAGCGUCGAUGAAGGCUUUUGCACAUGUCCCUGGAGCUGGAGGUGUUGACACUAGAGGUGCAGGAGCAGGAGUUGAAGGUGCUAAAGCUUGAGCUGAUGAAGAUGGUCUUGCUUCCAGAACUGGCAUAGUUGUUGACCUAGUCUGGGUCGUGAACUGAGUAGUAGUAGGAAGAGGCGACUCUUCCUCAUCACUUCUAGAGCGGGAUAUAUGCACAGAAUCAACUUUAUGCUGGAGCUGCUCAACAGUGGUAGUCAACUCCGUUACCUUAACCUCCAAGUCAUGGAAUUUUGUCUCCACGAUCCUCUCAAGUCUCUUCUGGUUCAGCAAGAUCUCGGAAAUUUUCUUCUCCAUCCCUUGGAUGGUACUGACCAAGAAUGACAUCUGCUCAUCUCUGGUCCUGAGCUAUGCGGUUGAAGCUGGAGCAUUCCUAGCAGCCGCUGUCUCUGCUACCUCUGCUGCCGCUUGAGCUGUAGCUGAGCUAGGAUGGCUAGGGUCCAUCACAACUUCAUUAUCUUCAAACUCUGGCUGAAGUGGCAGGUGGGGACGAUCAAGUAGAUAUGCAUGCUUGCCAAUCUUGGCAUUGAUGAGCAUCUGAAUAUAUGGAGCAUAUCCACAGGAUUUCUUUUGAUCUACAGCAGUCUUCCUCACAUGCUCAACUAUCAAGUCCAUCAUUAUGAACCGGAAGUGGGUGUCUAGAUGAUCCAACAUGUUGAUGGAAUAACCUCUAAUAAUCUUAUCCUCUCCUGAUUUGGGCAUGAGGGUGUAUCUCAUAAUGGUGUUUGUAGUAGGUAUCCCUGCUUGCAAGAAAUAGACAAAUCCAAACUUGUACAUCUGCACAUAUUUAUGAGGCACUGGCUUGUACAUUUUGCCGUAGAGUUAUGAUUCAUCUUGGGUUCUGAGUACACAUCCAGAUCUCCUUCUUGUGCCUUUGGAUCACCAAUUGUAGUGGCUCACUCAUACAUAAUAGACUCAUACCGGUGACCUUCAGUCAUCCAUACAAUCCUUCCGUCAGAACAGAAAUUAGCGAUGGAAUAGAAUUGCAUGAUCAUCUCAUCAUUCCAAGCAGUCAUCUCUCUGCCAACAAAAUAUUUAAUAUCGACUAGCCUGAAGUUUUCUCUCACAUGGGGAAAAUAAUGCUCACUGGCCUUGAUAUAUUCCCAAUGGACAUAUCUCAUAUCGCUGACUGCAAGACUCUUAUCAUGAAACACACUCUCAUAGAAAUCUUGUUGCUCCUUUAUGUGAAAGCGGGGAUCAACAACAGUUCUCCGUCUCACAUCAUAUGGAUCAACUGAUCUCCACUUACUCACUCCUUGAUCUCUCCUCUUUUGUAUGUCCUGAGCAGUUGGUGAGCAACAUUGUGUAGUGGCAGAUGAGCUCAAAGCUUCAUUAGAACAGGGGCACCCUCUUCCUCUUCUACCGCAAACUCUCUGGAUGCAGAGCCUUUGUUCCUCUGUGCUGCAGGAAUGUCCUUGGUAGUCUUCUUGGGAGCUACAGACUUCUUAGGAGUUGAGAACUUCUUGGGAGCAGAAGGCUUCUUUGGCAUAGCAUCAACCAUCGGCUUUUUCUUCAUAGGAGGAGGGACCUUAUGUGGAAUUUAUUCCUCCUCCUCAUCAACAACUUCUUCUGGGUCUUCAUAUAUUGAGGUUGGCCUUCCAAUAACAUAGUCAAUUCUCUUUCUUGCUCUCGUAUGACAUGGCUUCUUUGCAAGCCUAGCUUCUGGAGCUUUCAUGUCAGAACGUAUGGCAUAUUCCUUCCUCACAGUCUUCCUGACUGCGGUCUUAUCUUUCUGCUUCUCAGGAACAGAUUCCUCUGGAAUAAAGUCAACAUCUUCUUCAUCCGAAUUGAUCUUCCUUCUGGACCUGGUAGCUGCCUUGGACAAGCUAUGGGAGCUAGGUGUCCCUGGGUCAGAAGGUGUCCUCCUAGGACUAGUGCCUGAAUCCAUCUCAGCACUUGGCUCAGUGAAGUUGUUCUGACUAUCCUCUGAUCCUGACAUACUGUCACAGAGCCAAGUAGACAAUCAAACCCUAUGAAUAGAUAUACAAGAUCUAGAAGGGAUGAGCAUCACAAAAAUCAGAAGUUUUGGAAAAAUCGAACUCUGAAAAGUUAGGUUUAACAUUUAGCAAAAAAGGAUUUGUGUUCCAUCGAGACAAAAAUUUCGGAGGCACCGAUACUGACGUACUAAUUAACAGAAACUUGGCACCCUUUUCCGUUCCACUGAAAAGGAGAACUCACUUUCACCGAGACCGUUCUCGGUAGCCCUAAAAAAUCGUUAAGACCAACUUUUCUAAAUCGGUGACACCGAGAUUCAAUCUUGCGGAUGGCUAACCCUAAGAAUUCCAUUGUUCUCUAAUCUAUGGAAUUUUUCUUCUAGAUAGGAUGAGUGUAGAAGUGGACAAAAUUCAUCAAAACCUUAAUGCACAAGAAUCAGAAUUGGAGCGCAUAAAGGGGUCGGAUCCGUACCCUAGCUUGGUGAUGUAUCCGCUACGGCAACGACGACGGUGAAGAUUCCUGUUGACAACGAAGACUCCGGUGGUGAGGGCGCACGUGAGAAUUAAGGCGAUGUCCACGGGACUAGGGCGCGGCAUCGAGGAUGUGCGUCACGCGACGUUUGAAGUGAUUUUCCAAUCAUCGGGUCCGUGAGAUAUAUAUAUCUCCUAGCUGUCGGUGACACCGAUAUGGAAUUUUUGGUGCCACCGAGUUCCACAACUGUCAACUGAAAGUGAAAAUAGGUGAGGCCGGAAAGAACAACUCAGUCAUACCAAGUUAAGAAAACCUGAUCAACCCUAGGCUUCGGUGGGACCGAGAUUUUGUGGUUGGUCACACCGAGAUGCAAUUUGGGAGGUUUUGGGAUUCAGCACUUGUCGAGACGGAUCUAUCAAGCACUUGUGUCCCUAAAGUUCUUGCUCAAAUUUUGUGUUGUAGCAUGAAUAGAAUUUGAGACGAGAAAGCAUAGAUAGCUAGAGGGAAGUACUUAGGCAUUCUUGUAUAUCCAAUUGGCCAAAUGAAAUAGAAAGACAAAUAACAACAAUUGGAUAUCCUCGAAUGAGAAAAAUAUGCAUACCAACAUGCUCACACAAUAAGGUGUCAAAUAAAACAUGGUGAACAUGCACGAACAUUCUAGCAUCUAUCAAGCACUUUGGCGAUAAGGAAUUCAUCUAUAUAUGAGUAUAUUGACAUAGGAGCCAAGUAAGAGUACUUGACAAUAGGUCAUACUCAUCGAUUAAGAACAAGUGGGGUUAUCACUUUUACAUAAAACAUUAAUGUGCUCACAUCAUUUAGGAGACGCUUAUACUCAAGUCUUAGAGUAAAGCUCCUCCUAGAUGUGACAACCCCCUAAGAGGGAUAAACUAACCUUAGGUUUUGUAGUAGAAGAUUUCAAGUAGGUGUAGUAGUGGUGCAUGCUCAUUGUUGAUAAAGAUCAUCUUUGAGUUGGGAGCAAUCCUAGUUGUUUCUUACCCUUCUCACCUACAUGGGUUAGUCCCAAAGCAAAAGGAAUGUAUGCAAGAAUAUCUAUGGACAUGGCAUGAAGUGCAUGAGAGGUGAUGUAAAAAUAUGCAUUAAUUACCUUGUCCUUUGCUUACCUUUGAGGUAAUGUGUGACUCCUUGAACUAAUGCAUAUGGUUGGAGUUGAUUGCAUAUAGUUCUUGCCAAAAUGAAUAAGAGUGAAUUUGAUUGGUAGAGUCACCCCCUCAAGAAGUUUCUAGUUCUUCAUCUUAGGGACCCACAUCAACUUGAUGGGGAUCCUUGGAGUUGUGAUAGCAGUAGAUGAGGUAGUGUUAGUUGUGUCCAUGGGAUUCCACUCGACCUUGGCUUGGGUUUCUUCCUCAAAUGAUUCAAUCUCCUCUUGAAGCUUUCCCUUGCCCUUGUGAUCUUGUGGUUGAAGGUCAUGUUGAGAGCUUGUUCCCUUGGGAAGAGUAGGAUCAUACUUUUCCUCUUGAGGAACGAACUUCGGUAUGGGAUAUAGACCUUCUUCCCAUUCAUCUCCGUUGGCAUUGAGGUAACCAACACCGUGCUUCUUCCGAUGUCCUCCUAGCUUGCGCAUAAUUUACUCGAAUUGCUAACUUUCGGCAAGACUCUUGAAGACACCUCUCUCUUCCUUUCCAUAAAUCAUUUUCUUUCUCAAGUGUAACUUGGCUAAGAGAAUCAUUAGUGGAAUCAAGAGAGCUACUAGAAACAACAUCAUUUGAUCUAACUUUAGCAUUUUGUUACUAGAUGAAGAAACUUUCUUGCAUUUGUUACUAGUGUUCUUAGGUUUGACUUGUGGAAUAAAAGUAGAUAAGAUUAAUCAUUUGAAUAGAUAAGAAUAACUCUUCUUCCGAAGAUCAUCAUUGAUUGCUCUUAGAAACUCAUGAUCUUGUCCUAAAUUUAGCUUCUCGAAGCAUAACUUCUCAUGAGUUCUUGCAAGCUCCCUUUGAUCUUCUAGAGUAGUUUCACGAGCUAACUUAAGAGUGUUAAAUACUUUAGUUAGUUGUUGAGUAUCUUUCUUAUCAUCAUCAUUCGAUUUCUCUUGACUAGCAUGAUUAUGUUCAAGUUCAUUUUCAAUGUUCUCACUAGUCUUAUCAAGGAGCAAGUCAUCUCCUCCUAACAAGUCAUCCUCAUCACUAUCAGAGUCAAAGUAAUUGGGGUGUGAUACCUUGGGGCCUUUUUCCAUGAAGUUGUUUCCAGUCCCUUCAUUUGGUGAAUCAAAUAAGUCAUAGGAGUUGGAGGAAACGAGUUCAAGACCGACAACACCUUCAUCUUGACUAUAGUCAGAGUUGGAGUGGUAGCUUCUCUCAGAUUGGUUGUCAGACUCGGAGCCGGAAAGCCUUUCACCAACAUGAUCUUGAUGUCUUGUUCUUGAGAUGCUCUUGGUGUACUUGUCCUUCCUCUCCAAUUCCUUUCCUCUCUGGGAGUGUCUUCGUUCAUAAUGAUCUUCUCUAAUCCUUCUCUUUGUGAGAGGUGACUCAUCUCUUGAGCUUCGUCUUCUAGGUGACUAUUCUCUUCUUUUGUGGGGAGCCGAGCACUCAUUGGAAUAGUGUCCUGGGUUUCCAUAGUUGUAGCAGUAUCGGUCACGACUAGACGAACGCUUCUCAUCAUGUAUUGAGCUUGAGCUUCUCUCCUUGCAUCUACUUUUGUAGAACUUGUUCAAUUUUAUGACCAUGAGGUUGAUCUCUUCAUUCGUAACAAAGUUGUCAUUUGAAGUAUCUUGAGUAUAACUUGAAACUCUGUAAGUACCGCUUGACUUGUUGUGCAACUCAUCUUUGUCCUUGAGUGACAUUUCAUGAGCAACAAUCCUUCCAAUAGCUUCAGUUGGCUUGAGAUCCUUGUAGUUUGGCAUCAUUUGAAUUAAUAUACACACGGUGUCGUAUCUUCCAUCCAAGGCUCUAAGUAUAUUCUUGAUGAUGAAUUAGUCGGUCAUCUCUUCACUUUCUAAGUCGGCAAUCUCAGCGACUCCCUCACCAUCCUUCAUCUUGAACUUGUCAAGAUGACUUUGAGGCACAUCCAACUUAGAUUCCAUGACAAAAUCAGCACCUUCGUGCAGAUGAAUCAAAGUAUCCCACGUGCAGAUGAAUCAAAGUAUCCCAAAUUUUCUUUGCAUUCUCAAGGCUUGAGAAUUUUAUUGCAACAUGUUCAAUUCUUCCGAUGUCGCAUCACGAUCCGGUUCCCUUGCUUCUCCAAAUAAAUCACCUUGCACACCAACACGAAUAACAGCCCAAACGGUAGGAUUAUGACCAAGAAUAUGCAUUUUCAUCUUAUGCUUCCAACUAGCGAAGUUUGUACCAUCGAAAUAUGCACCUCUACAGUGAUAAUUUCCCUCACUAGGCGCCAUACUCUCCUAGGUUGUGAAACCAAUGCAAUGGAGGCCAAAACUUUGAUACCACUUGUAGGAUCGAAAGGAUGUCUAGAGGGGGGAGGGUGAUUAAACUACUUGACAAGAUCAAAACUUAGCCUUUUCCCAAUUUUAGUUGUGGUCCAGUUUUAGAAACUACGAGUGGUCAAGUUCAGCCUACACAUGCAUAUCUAAGAGUAUAGAAGCGGAAAGUAAAUACAUGCAAAUGUAAUGUAGAGGGUAAGGUAGGAAGAUCAAACACAAAGGUUGACACAACUAUUUUUGGCGUGGUUCCGAUAGGUGGUGCUAUCAUACGUCCACAUUAGUGAAGACUUGAACCCAUGGAGGGUAAUGACUGCGAGAGUCCACGGAGGGCUCCACCCAUAAGGGGUCCACGAAGAAGCGGCCUUGUCUAUUCUACCAUGGCUUACAUCCACACAGGAGACAAGACUAGCCUCACUCACGGUACAUCUUCAUGAACUAGGCGAUCUCGUUGCCCUUACAAACUUCUUGGUUCAACUCCACAACACGAAGUAGGAGGAUCCCAAGCGACACCUAACCAAUCUAGGAGGCACCACCCUCCAAAAUGUAAUAGAUGCGGUAGAAUGAUGAACUCCUUGCUCUUGUGCUUCAAAAGAUAGUCUCAUCAACACUCAAUCACUCUCUCACAUAUUUGGCAUGGGUAGAAGAGAUUGAUCUUGUGGAAAAAACUUGGGGAGCCUACAGAUCAAGUUUCAAAUUGUUGAAUUGGAGUCUCUUGAUCUCAACAGAUCAGUAGGUUGCUCUCUCUCAGAAAUAUGGAUCUCGCAAGUGGGUGUAUGUUCUGAGUGCUUCCUCUAUGAAAUUGAGGAUGUGGAGGGGUAUAUAUAGGCAUCUCCCAAAAUCCAACCGUUACAACAUUAUUGCCCAACUCGGUGACAUUGAAAGGAAUCUUGGUGGUAUCGAGUUGCACUAAAUGUGGCAACUUUUGAAUUCUCGAUGAGACCAAUAUAUGAUCUCGGUGGUACCGAUACGAUGACCUAGACCAGUUUCCAAAUCUCAGCGAGACCGGCUCCAAUCUCGGAAAUUCUGAUUCUUGGAAUUUUCAUAACAGAAAGUUGGUCACUGAAUCUCGGUGGCACUGAUAUGAAAGUUGGUGGUACCGAGAGAUUAGGGUUUGGCAAAGGAUCUCUCUGGUGGAAAAUCAGUAGGGUCGAGUGGAAAAUAUUGGUGGCACUGAUUUUGCUGGUUUAGCUUUGGACAAAGAUAUAUUGUGGGAGAAUGGCUGAGUAUUUUUGGUGGCUAUCUCUAUGCACUUGAUCAACCAAUUCAUCAUAAUACCCCACCCCUUUUAAUAGUAUUGGGUUUCCUAUGGACUGAAAGUGAUUUCUCACAAAUGUAAAAUGUAGAGUCUUCUUGCUUGAAGCUUAAGCCAAUCCUAUUCCUUCCUUCAUCAAGGGGUUUCUCCUCACAAUCCUGUAGCCAAGGAAUCUUUGAAUUUUUUCCGAAAUAUACUUUGAUAAGCUCAUUAGUCCAAUGAUGCAUAUGUUUUGAUCAAUUAUCACGACCACCUUAGGGAACAAUUGUGCUUUCAGAGAGUUUCACCCCUCACAAACUGUUGUCGUUGCCACCAUAUAAACUAAGAAGCCACUACAAUCAGUUAUGAUGUUGGCAGCUCCCCUACUUUGGAUUGGUUUCUCUCUAAAACCUCAAUAGUUACAGAUCCUGACCGGUCCUCACAAACUGCCUUAUGGAUCACAUCUUUCACUCCAAGCUUUUUCCAAAUUCUAGAAGCACAACAAGAGGUGAAUAAGUAGUUAGAUAUCUUCAAACCCAACAUUGACUAGUAACAUGUAUGUGACAGCCAGUGAGCACUCCAAAGCAUGGUCGAAUUCCCCUCAGAACCUUCCAUGCAAAGGGUUUAACUUUGCGACAAACUCGAAGCCUUCAAGUAUGUUGUGUGUAAGUGUUAAACAUAAGAAAGUUGUUAAACUAAAUUGUGUUCUUAAUUUGUGCUAUAUAACUAGAUAUUGUGCCUUCUAUGAUACUACAAUUACUGUUAAACUGAAAAGCCCGCCACGACAACCAAAAAUGUUGACGUGUUCACUUGGCCUGACAAACAAUACUAGUGGCGGGCAUGUAUAAUAAACUGCCACUGGUACAAACAUUAGCAGUGGUGGACGCCCUGCCUGCCACUGAUGACUGGUUAGUAGCGACAGACACCCUUCACAAUAACCCUGCCAUUGGUAGGCAUUUUGUGUCUGCCACUGCUAGCCUGUUCUCCAGUAGUGACAAGGGUUUUCCUCCAAGACUAUAUCAUUCAUACCUAGUAUGCGUAGGAGUUAUCACCCGAUUUAAUGCAUGCAUGAUAGCAUGAAUCCUUUAGGGAUAAUUUGGAAGCAAGGUAAAGAAAAUGAGGGUAGCAAAUCCUCCCUUAUCACAUGAAUUUAAACAUCCCAUGUUAUUCACUUUAUUAAGUUGCCCCAUUUCAUUAAGUAAAAUUGUGCCCCUCAAAUUCACAAGAUUCCAAAGUUGUGGGAAUGAAAAGUACAAUGAGACGUCCAACUAAAUCAUAUAAUGUUUGUGAAUUUUGAAUCAAAGUUUUUUGAUUGUGCCACAGAAAGAACAAGAAUAUUAUUUACACUUUGUUUGAGCCAAUGCAAUUUUUCUUAUGUAAUGCAAGCAAAAUUGAAUCUGAAGGAGAAAAAUUUCCAAUAGGAUACGACUUUGGGGAUCAAAUAACACCCAUAGUAAAAAAGCAUAGGUCUAUUUAUAUCACAUCUAUAUUAUCUCACAUCUAAGUUAUGACAUCAGCGAAAGUCAAUGCUUUUCCAGCCCACCGCAUUUUCUUAUAUUUAUUUUUUUGCGACAUUUUUUCAUUCGUUUUUUUAUUGGAGCGUGCUAAAAAAUGCAAUAAGACUUGCCUAUGAAUCGAACUCAAGACUAGAUGGUGGUAGUUGAGAGCUCCCACCAGUAUAACCAUUACAUGCAUUUGAUAAAUUCUAAGCGGCAUAUCUUUAAGAAAAUACAACAGAGUUGAUAUUAGAAGAAAUUUUCAAGAAAAAUGUAAAAAAUUUUAAAUGUAAAAUAUUUCUGAAAACCAAAGAAAACUUGAAAUUUCCAAAGUAUUUUUCAAAUAUAAAUAAAGUUUGUAAUGCCAAACAUUUUUUGAAAAAUUAGAAAACAAUUUGAUAUUCCGAUUUUCUUAAAAAAGAUGACACUUUUUGAAAAAUUCCCGAACAAUUUAUAAAUCAGGUACACCUUUUAAAAUUCCAAUUCCUUUAAAAAACAUGGUUAAAUGAAUAUAUUUUUAUUGUAAUCAUAACUUUUCAACAAAUGUUUUUUUGCACCAUUAAAAGAAUGAGGGUGCAAAGAAUGUUCAUGUAGUUCACAAGAAUGUCCGUGAUGUUUAAUAAAAAUGUAUUAUACAAUGGAAAAUAAUCAUAACAUUCAAAUAAUUAUUAUUUACAAUCUUUUAAAAGAAACUUCACGCAUUUAGAAAAAUCAAAACAUUUUCUAGAAAAAAUAUUUGUCCGAUGUAAAAAAAAUGUUCACGUAUUUUUUUAAAAAUCAUACAAUUUAGAAAAAUGAUUUAAAAAAUGUUUACCAUGUAUUCUAAGAAUGCUUGGGCCUGUACUUGGAAAAAAAUAUUCAUCAUGCAUUUUUAAACAAUGGUAUGUGUGUUAAAAAAUGUUCCUAGUGUAUACAUGAAAAUGUACAAUGUGCAUUACAAAAGUUGACAUGUAUUUGUGAAAGCUAAAUUGCUCCCUAAGGUGGUUUUGAUAAUUAGUCACAUCAUAUGCAUCAUUGGACUAGUGAGUUUAUUCAAAUGCAUUUAAAAAAGUUCAAAGAUGCUUUGGCUAUAGGAUUCUGUGGAGAUACCCCUUUGAUGCAAGGAAGGAAUAUGAUUGGUUCAAGCUUCAAGCAAGAAGACUCUACAUUUUAUACUUUGUGAGAAAUCACUUUGAGUCCAUAGAAAAGCCAAUACUAUUAAAAAAGAGUGAGGUGUGAUGAUGAAUUGGUUGCUCAAGUGCUUAGAGAUAGCCACCAAAAAUACUGAGUCACUUUCCGACAAAAUAUAUAUGUCCUAAGCCACAUAAGCAAAAUCGAUGCCACCAACAUUUCCUACUCGUCCAUACCGAUUUUACACUUAGACAAAUUAUAUGCCAAACCCAUCAUCUCGGUACAACCAACAUUCCUAUCGGUGCCACCGAGAUUUGGUGACCAACAUUCUGUUGAGAUGAUUUCAAGUUUCGGAUUUUUUGAGUUUGAAUUUUGUCUCACCGAGUUUUGGAAACCAGUCUAGGUCAUCGUAUCGGUACCACCAAGAUUCUUAUAUCGGUCUCACCGAGAAUUCAAAAGUUGCCACAUUUAGUGCAACUUGGUACCACUGAGAUUCUUUUUGGUGUCACCGAGUUGGGCAAUACUGUUGUAACGGUUGGAUUUUGGGGGAUGCUUAUAUAUACCCCUCCACCUACCUCUCAUUCGUAGAGGAAGCACUCAGAACACACUUACACUUGUGAUAUCCAUUUUUCUGAGAGAGAGACACCUACUCAUGUGUUGAGAUCAAGAGAUUCCAAUCCAUUCAUUUGAACCUUGAUUUCUAGCCUUCCCAAGUUGCUUUCCACAAAAUCAAUCUCUCUUACCCAUGCCAAAUCUAUGAGAGAGUGAUUGAGUGUUGAGGAGACUAUCUUUUGAAGCACAAGAGCAAGGAGUUCAUCGUUCUACCACAUUGAUUACCUUUUGGAGGGUGGUGCCUCCUAGAUAGGUUAGGUGUCUCUUGGGAGCCUCUUACUUCGUAUUGUGGAGUUGAACCAAGAUGUUUGUAAAGGCAAGGAGAUCGCCUACUUCAUGAAGAUGUACCGUGAGUGAGGCUAGUCCUUCGUGGGCGGAAGCCGUGGUGGAAUAGACAAGGUCACUUCUUCGUGGACCCCUUGUGGGUGGAGCCCUCCGUGGACUCUCGCAGCCGUUACCCUCCAUGGGUUGUAGUCUCCACUAACAUGGACGUACGAUAACGCCACCUACCGGAACCAUGCUAAAAAUCUCCGUGUCAACCUUUGUGUUUGAUCUCCCUACCUCACCCUCUACUUUUUUUUGAUGGGAAACUGUAAGCAAAACCCCUCACAACGAGUUUUUUUUGAAAUAAUAAGAACUCAAAUUCGCGCCCGUGGGGACUUGAACGUGGGUGGCUGGGUUGUACAUCUACUCCACUAGACAAGUGAGCUAGGCUCACUUCCUUUACUCUUGCAUGUUUUACUUUCCGCUGCUAUACUCUUAGAUAUGCAUGUGUAGGGUUUACUUGACUAGUUAUAGUUGCUAAAACUGUCCCACACUUCAAAUUGGGAAACAACUAAGUUUUUAUCUUGUCAAGUAGUCUAAUCACCCCGCCUCUAGACAUACUUUCGAUCCUACAAUUUGGAAAAAUAACUAUAUAGGGGUACUGGGUUGGGAAUGAUUUGCAUGAGGAGAGUGGACAUGCAACUAUGUCGGACAUGAGCUGCAUGACUGAGUCGGGUGGGUUUACGUGUUGGGGUGGAAUGGAACUAGAUAGGGGCCGAGGCAAGUUGCGUGUUGAAAAACAAAACACAAGCUUACUUGUGCAUUAAGGGUGGACUUGCAAUUGGAAGAAGAGCUAGGUUGUGAGUGGAGGAUAGACUUACAUAUGGGACAACUACAAAUUGAGACCAAUUGCGUGUCAAUGGUUGACUUAAAACUGGGAUAAAACAAACUAUGGUUCAAGUUGCGAGUUAACGGUGGAUUUGCAACUAGGAUGAUGACAAAAAUAUAGGCUCACUUGCGAGUCAUUUGUGGGCUUGCAACUGGAAUAAAACAAACUAUGAGACUAGUUGCGAGUCGAUGUUGGACUUAUAACCGAGACAAGCAUAUAAACUAUGAUACGAGUUGAGAGUUGAGAGUAAACUUGCAAUUGAGAUGAAAAACAAAACACAUACCCAAUUGCGUGUCGAGGAUGGACUUGUAACUGAGAAAACAAAAAUAUGGGCCCGACUGCGAAUCGAGGAUGGACUUGCAACAGGGACAACAAAAAAACUAUGAUCCCACUUGUGAUUCGAGGACAAACUUGCAAUUGAGGCCCCUACAAGUACAAAGCCCUUAGUUACGAGUUGAGGUUGGAUUCGCAACUCGGGAAACUACAGGUACAGAAAGCCCAGUUGCGAGUCGAGGAUGGACUUGGAACCUUGAAAAUACGACUACAAAAAAGCCUCUGUUCCGAUUUGAGGGUGGACUUGCAACUGGGGCAACUACAUGUACAAAAAGGUCCCAGUUGUGAGUCGAGGGUAGAUUUUCAACUACGAUAACUACAGGUACAAACCUCGAGUUACGAGUCAACGGUGGACUUGCUACUAGGGUACCUAAAAUUACAACGCCUCGAGUUACGAGUCGGCGAUGGAGUUGAAGCUGGUGCACCUACAACUACAAAGCCUCGAGUUGCGAGUUGAGGAUGGACUUGCAACUAGAUUAACUACAAAGUACAAAAGAAAACCAGUUGUGAGUCAAGGGUUGACUUGCAACUAAGACAUCCACAGUUACACAAAAACCCCUAGUUGCAAAUCAAGGAUGGACUUGCAAGUGGAGCAACAAUAGGUACAAAGCCAGUUGUGAGUCGAUGGUAGACUUGCAACUUGGCCAACCACAACUACAAUACCUUCAAAAGAAGGGUGAAACUAUGAAAUUGGGAUGAAACCAACUAUGGGACCAGCUGCGUGUCGAGGGUGGACCUGGAACCGGGAUAAGAAAAAAAGUACAAGCUCAAGUUGUGAACCGAUGAUGGGGUUGAAACUCGAACAACUACAGGUUCAGUUACGAGUCGAUGAUGACUCCAAACUUGCACAACUACAAAACUAGGAGCCCAGUUGCGAGUCAUGGGUUGAUUUGCAACUAGGAUAAAACAAACUACUGGACCAGUUGCGAGUCAAGGGUGGACCUGCAACCGGCAUGAGAAACUAAACACAGUCUGAGUUGCGGCUCAAGGGUGGGCUUGAAACUGCUAUGAAACAAACUUCAUGCCUAGUUGCGAGGUCAGGAUGUACUUGUAACUGGGACAACUACAUGAAACUAAGAUAUGAGUUGCAAGUCGAGGGUGGACUUGCAACACGGACAAACUACACAAAACUACGAUACGAGUUGUAGUCGCGAGGGUGAACUUGUAACUGGGACAACUACAAAACUACGAGUCGAGUUGCAAUUCAAGUAUAUCAUUGCAAUUGGGAUGAAACAAACUACGGGCCUAAUUGCGAGUCAAGGGUGAACCUGUAACUGGGAUGAAAAACUACACAUAGACCGAGUUGCGAGUCAAGACUAGACUUGCAUCUAGGAUGAAAUAAACUACGGGCCUAGUUGUGAGUCAAGUGAGUACUUGCAACUCGGGAAAAUACACAAAACGACUACGAGUAGCGAUUCAACAGUUGACUUGCAACUCGGACAACUAAAUGAAACUACGAUAAGCGUUGCGAGUCCAGGGUAGACUUGCAGCUGGGACAACAAUAAGGCUAUGGGCUCAGUUGCGAUUCGAAGGCAAAUUUGCAAUUGGGACAACUACGAAACCAUGAGCCCAGUUGUGAGUCAAGGGUGAACUUGCAACCAGGAUGAAACAAACUACAUGCCUAGUUGCGAGGCAAGGGAGGACUUGCAACUCGGCAAGUACACAAAACUACCAUACUAUUUGGGAGUCAAGGAUGGACUUGCAACCGAAACAAUAACAAACUACGAGCCCAGUUACGAGUUGAAUGUGGACUUGCAACUAGGAUGAGAAAAACACAUAAUGAUUUAUGAGUUUAGGGUAAACUUGUAACUAGGAAAACUAAAAAUUCAUUUACGAGUUAAAGAUGGACUCUACAAAUUCUCGGUCAUGCCAAAAAAACACACAACGAAAAUGAACAAAAAAUAUAAAGGGAUCGCGCCUCCCAAGCAACGAUAAAAGUAACAUGAGAACAUGCGAGCAUAAAACAAAAUGGAACAAGAGGACGCGCGACAAGAGAGAAAGAGCUGACACGGACGCACAUGAUCGACUUUGUGCAAACAUCAAACAAAUCAGAUGAUUAUAACUUGAUAAGACAUCACUAAAUCUCAUCUAAAUAAGAUUUAGCAAAUCUAAAAAAUAUCUAGUUACACUCUCCUCUACUACACAGUCAAACUAAAAUAAACAUAUAACCCACAAAAAGCUAGUACACACAACGUAAAAGGGCACACUAAAAAAAGUCAUAUAUGACCUCACUGCUUAACGAGGAGCGAAUGAAAAACACGACACAUCAACAAUGAAAGUGAAUCAUAAGCAUAUGAAUCAGAUGAGACGUUGUUAACUCACAUUUACUCCCUCCGUACCUAAAUAUAAGUCUUUUAAUAUAUUUCAUUAGGUGUCUACAUACAAAGCAAAAUGAAUGAAUCUAUACUCUAAAACAUGUCUAUAUACAUUUGUAUGUAGUCCAUUAGUGCAACAUCUAGAAAGACUUAUAUUUAGGAACGGAGGGAGUAGAUGAGAAUUAGACGUGAGUUAACAAAAACAAUAAAAAAAGAAACCCCUGGAUCAUACCGUAGUGACCCACCAAAUGACGCACGUAGAAGUAGGUAAGUAAGUAAGUAUCUUGGAUUACCUGCGAUAGUGGGAGCAGAUAGGAGUGAAAGCUUUGAAUACUUUUGUGACAAAAUCAAGAAGCUUCUGAAGGGGUGGAUGGAAAAGCAACUGUCAACAGGAGGGAAAGAAAUCUUGUUAAAAGCAGUGGCUCAAUCCAUCCCUGUCUUCGCUAUGUCAGUUUUCUGUUUGCCUAAGGGAACUUGCAAGGAUAUCACGGAUGUAAUUGCUCAGUAUUGGUGGGGAGAUGAUGAAGAAAACAAAAAAAUGCACUGGUUCUCGUGGUGGAAACUAUGCAUCCGAAGUGUGAUGGUGGCAUGGGUUUCCGCGAUCUUCACUCUUUUAACUUGGCCCUUCUUGCGAAACAAUGUUGGAGAUUGAUCACAAGGUCGGAGUCCAUCUGUGCUCGCAUCUUGAAGGCAAAAUACUACCCAAAUACAGACUUGCUACACGCUGGACCAAAGAGCGGAUCUUCGUUCACAUGGCAAAGCUUGAUGGCGGGCUUGACUGCGUUUAAAAGAGGGUACAUUUGGCGAAUUGGUUCGAGGGAAAAUGUAAGUAUAUGGAAUGAUCCAUGGAUACCCUCAAGCCCGGACAGAAGGGUGAUAACUCCUCGGCGGCAGAUUCUGAUUUCGAGGGUGGUAGAGCUCAUUGAUCCAGUCACCGGCCAAUGGGAUGAACAAUUGAUACGAGACAUCUUUUACCCAGUCGAUGCAAACAGAAUCUUGCAGAUACCUUUAAAUUUUCAAGCAUUUGAUGACUUCAUUGCGUGGCACCUCACAAGGAAUGGUAUUUUCUCGGUGAGGAGUGCUUAUCAUGAACAAUGGUCACAUAAGCUCAGGGGUCAAUCCCUUGUGAAUUCAGUGUCCACCAGUACUAUGCAGGCAGCUAUUUGGAAGAAGCUCUGGGAGUUACAAGUGCCAUGGAAAAUACAGAUUUUCUUUUGGCGGGCGUUGCGUGGAAUUGUACCACUAAAAUCCAUUCUUGCUAAUAAGCACAUCCCUAUUGAUGGGGAGUGUCCGGUGUGCCAUAGGGGACCUGAAGACAUGCGGCAUAUGUUAUUCCAGUGUGAUUUGGCGAGAAGGUUGUGUGCUGGACUAGGGCUGAUUGAUCGUAUUGAACAAGCAGUUCAAGUGGAUCGCUCAGGGUCAGCCAUCUUAGAAUUUCUCCUACUAGAGCUGGACCAACCAAUGUCGAUCAUGUCAAGUAUUAAUGACAAAGAGGUAAUAGCGGCUGGCUGCUGGUAUCUCUGGUGGCUCCGCCGGCGACACACCCAUCAUGAUUCUUGCCCUCCAUCCUUCAGGUGGCAUACCUCAAUUCUAGCAAUAGUGGGAAAUUACAUAAAAUCUUUAUCAAAGAAGAGGGAACCGGUGGAACACAAGUGGAAGAGACCAGAGGCAAGAUUUAUAAAGCUAAAUGUGGAUGCUUCAUUCCAUUCAGAUGAAGGAUCGAGUUCUACUGCAGGUAUCUUACGAGAUGAAAAGGGUGGCUUUAUUGCAGGGUUUUGCAGAUUCAUUCCCUUUGCAGCUGACGUUGUCACGAUUGAAGCAAUGGCAAUGCGAGAUGGUUUACAUUUGGUGAACUCCUUGGGCUUUAACAGGGUAGAAGCGGAAUCAGAUUCUUUGAGCGUCAUCAAGUGUUGCCAAGGGCAAGAUCAGUGGUGGGAUGCAGCAGCGGCUGUCUUUGCUGAGUGCAUAGAUAUGGCUACAUCUAUAGGAAAGGUCAUCUUUUCUCAUUGUUUUCGUGAAGCUAAUUCAGUAGCUCAUGAGCUAGCAAAGUUUAGUUUCUGUAAUAAAGUUGAGCACAAUUGGACUAAUGAACCUCCUGAGUUCUUAGUUAGCCAAUUGAUGAAUGAUGUUUUGAUUAUUUGAGUUAAUAAAGCUAGCCAUGAUGGCCUUUCCUCAAAAGAAAAAAGGAAACGCAUGUACGCGACACUAGAUGCAGCAACAAAAUAAUCCAUGAUUAAGAUUUGAAAAAAUGUAAAACAAACAGAUGAGAGUAUGUUUUUCAUGAAUAUUAAAAAAAAUGGAAAACAAGAAAAUACAAAUAUAAAUAAAAGAAAACCAGGAAACUAAAAUACUUGAUAAUUUGAAACAAAUAAUAAAACAGAAAAAAGAAAAAGAAAAAGAAGAAACAACAAAAGUAAUGCGGCAGCCGAUAUAGGCUACAGCCCAUAUAACAAGAAGAACCUAUAGGUACGAGGGCAGCUACCUAACAUACCGUUGGCGAUCCUAAAAAAAGUGAUCCUCAAACGCAACAUUCGUUUCUUCAAAAACAGGGUUGGGGGGGGGGGGAUAACAUAGUGUAUGAAACAGAACUACUAGACGGAUGAAAAAAGCAAAUCAAUCCGUGGUUGGAUGAUUGGAGAGACAGUGAUAUCCCAGCACAUCAGGGUUUAAAUCCUGAUGCUACACUAUUUUUAAAUUUAUUUCAGGAUUUCCGACAAUAUGCUUUCAGUGGGAGGAGACAUUCCCGUCGAGGAUAAGAUGCCUACAGUGACUUUGUAAAUCUCAAGACGAUAUACUCGCUCAGUCUUUGAGAGAUGUUCAUAGGGAUAAGAUGUGUGUAUGUUCGGUUUAGGAGUUAAAUCUGAGAUAAGUAUUUUACAUCUAGAUGUGAAAUAGCAAUUUCAAAAAUUCAUAUGAAAAAUCUCUGAAUGAAAAAGACUCAUUAACUUAGAAACUCCAUGCAAAAAUACAAGGCUAACUUUUUUUCUCUUAAAUAAAAAAGAAAAAUAGAGAAAAAUGACGGAGGAUAACACUUGGCAGUGGGCGGGUGAAACACAUCACAAUUUUAUUUUCAAAUUGAUCUCUAACCAGGAAAAUACCCCGCGCAUACAACCAAGACCACGCACUCACCCCAUCGCAUGGCCUCCACACGCCUUGUCGAUAUCCAUGGUGGCAUCUAGCGCCGGCCGGGUGGCACGGAUCCCCCUUCACUCCCUCAGCGUGUGAACGUCGUCGCUCCAGCCCAACCGUUGCUCGUGUUCAGGAUAAGCUGCCCAGCUCGUCCGCCCUUCUUAUUGCCGCUGCUUCUCAGCUCACACGCUCCAACACUAUCCUCUCGUGUCUCGUCGAGCUAUCUGUCCACGGAGUAGUACCUUCCCGAGCUAGCUCGCAGCUCCGCCGCAAUGGCCACCGUGGUGAGCAGCCUCCGCUUGCCCUUCUCCGUCUGCGCCGCCGCCCCCUCGGCGCCCAUGGCAUCCCGCGUCGCGCUCCCGCUGUCGUCGACGGCUGCCAGGGGCAUGAGGCUCCGCGCGCAGGCGACGUACAAGGUGAAGCUGAUCACGCCGGAGGGCGAGGUGGACCUCGAGGUCCCCGACGACGUCUACAUCCUCGACCACGCCGAGGAGGAAGGGAUCGACCUGCCCUACUCCUGCCGCGCCGGCUCCUGCUCCUCCUGCGCCGGGAAGGUGGUCUCCGGCCAGCUGGACCAGUCCGACCAGAGCUUCCUCGACGACGACCAGAUCGAGGCGGGGUGGGUGCUCACCUGCGCCGCGUACCCCACCUCGGACCUCGUCAUCGAGACACACAAGGAGGAGGAGCUCACCGCUUGAAUUCACUGAUUUUGUGUAUUUCCAUCCGUUUCCGGCGUGCGCGUGUAUAUGCACGAUGCAUGAACUGUAUCAGGAUAUUGAGGAGUUACAGAGUAAUUAGUACUUGCUGCUGUGGUCGGAAUUUGAUUGCUUAUUAAUGCCUGUGUUAAUUUUCUCAAGUCGAACCAAAAGAGUGUGAUUGUUGGAUGGUAGGAGGGAUUGUGGUAUCUUCAGUCCAUCACAUCACAGUUCAAGUCUCUUCCAUUUAUUUGCCUACGGCGACUUUGUAAAUCACAAGAUGAUAUGUCAGCUCAGUGUGUGAGAAGUACUCAUAAAAUAGGGUGUGUGUACGUUGAUAAGGUGAGUGUAUCCCUGUGUAUAUGAACGUGUGCAUCUGUACUCUGUUCCGUGUUUACAAAAAUCAAGUUUUGAAAACAGAUGAAAUGUUAGCUUGCCUUGUGGUUUAUUUACGUUUUUAUUUUUUUUCGGGUAGUAGAAAGGUACUCCAUAAAAGAUCAUUCAAGUUAUAAUAAUUAUUCAAUACAAGAAUUGUUUCGAAUACAACAAUGAUACAAAUCACACGUGAAUUAAAUUAAAUGAUUGUAAAAAUGGCAAGUUUUAUUACUGCCCAUGCCUUUGCCAAUGAUGCUUAAUGAAAUCGUGCUGAAACUGCUGGUGGGUGUUUGAGUCUUCAAUUUCCUGUAUGUCUCAAGAAAUGCUUGUAUGUGGUCAAGGUCUUUAGAUGGCUUCACACAGCUAUCGACAUUGUCAUAAAAGAACUUCAAGUUCAUGUUCCUUUUGUUUUUGAUGAUCAUAUUACGAAGAAUCACACAACAUGUCAUGAUGUUCUUCACGGUCUACUUGUAAAAAAAACGAACAAGGCCAUGAACAAUGGCAAACCUAACUUUUAAAAUCCCAAACGAUCUUUCAAUAUCUUUUCGGGCAGCCUCUUAAACCUUUGCAAAUUCAGCUUGCUUCCUAGUUUUGGAUUUUCUGAUGGUCUUGACUAAUGUAGACUAAGAAAGGUAAAUGCCCUCGGCAAGAUAGUAGCCUUCUGUGUACUAAUGCCCAUUCACCGUGUAGUUACAAGCAGAAGCAUCACCCCUAGAAAGUCUAGCAAACAAAUAAGAAUGAUGCAACACGUUAAUGUCAUUGAGAGUACCCAACAAACCAGAGAAGCAAUGUCAAAUCCAUAAAUCCUUGGAUGGAACGGCUUAUAGCACAAUUUUUGCAUCACGAGACUUGCCAUAGUAUUGUCCGUGCCACUGAGGGAUCACUAGAAGGGAUGUCUAGAGAGGGGGGUGGGUGGGUGAAUAGACUACUUGACAAAUUAAAACCUAGCCUUUUUCCAAUUUUAAUUGUUGAAUUUUUUUAGCAAUUAAAGCAAGUCAUACACACCCUACACAUGCAAGUCUACGAGUAUAGCAGUGGAAAGUAAAGACAUGCACAUGUAAAGUAAGGAGUAGAGGUUAGGAAGAUCAAACGCAAAGUUGGACACGAUGAUUUUUGGCAUGGUUCCGAUAGGUGGUGCUAUCAUACAUCCACGUUGAUGGAGACUUCAACCCACAUAGGGUAACGACCGCGAGAGUCCAUGGAGGGCUCAAUUCACGAUGGGUCCACGGAGAAGCAACCUUGUCUAUUCCAUCAUGGCUUACGUUCACAAAGGACUAGCCUCACUCGGGGUAGAUCUUCAUGAAGUAGGCGAUCUCAUUGCUAGUACAAACUUCGUGGUUCAACUCCACAACACGAAGUAGGAGGCUCCCAAGCGACACCUAACCAAUCUAGGAGGCACCACCCUCCAAAAGGUAAUAGAUGUGGUAGAUCAAUGGACUCCUUGCUUGUGUGCUUCUAAAGAUAGUAUCCUCAACACAAAAUCACUCUCUCAUAGAAUAGGCAUGGGUAGGAGAGAUUGAUUUGGUGGAAAGGAGUUUGGGGAGGCUAGAGACCAGGUUUCAAAUGAUUGGAUUGGAAUUUCUUGGUCUCAACACAUGAGUAGGUGUCUCUCUCUCUCAGAAAAAUGGACAUGGAAAGUGUAUGUGUGUUCUGAGUGCUUCCUCUGCGAAUGAGAGAUGGCGGAUGUGUAUAUAUAGGCAUCUCCAAAAAUCCAACCGUUACAACAUUAUUGCCCAACUCGGUGGAACUGAAGUGAAACUCGGUGGCACCGUCUUGUACAAAAUGUGACAACUUUUGUCUUCUCGUGAGACCGACAUAGGAAUCUCGGUGGUACUGAUAUGUGCGACCUAGGGCAGUUUCCAAAUCUCGGUGAGACCGAUUCCAAAACUCACAAAUUCCAAUUCUUGAAAAUGGCAUACCAGAAACUUGGUCACUUAUUUCGGUGGCACUGAAAGGAAUGUUGGUGGUACCAAGAUUGCUAGGGUUUGGCAUAGGUUCUGUCUAGUGGAAAAUCGAUAUGGCUGAGUGGAAAAUCUUGGUGGCACUCACUUUGGAUAUUUAGGAUUUCGAUAGAGAAUUUUGUGGAAGUUUGGAUGAGUAUUUUUGGUGGUUAUCUCUAAGCACUUGAGCAACCAGAUCAUCAUAGAUACCUCAUCCCCUUUUGAUAGUAUUGGCUUUCCUAUGGACUCAACUAUGAUUUCUCACAAAAUAUAAAAUGUAGAGUCUUGAAGGUUGAAGCUUGGCCAAUCCUAUUCCUUUCCUUUCUUGGGGCUUCUCCUCACAAUCGUUAGCCAAUUCGCUGUGUGGACUAUAUCUAAAAUAUACCAGGUAAAAUUAUUAGUCCAAGAGACAAUGUAUGUUGUCAUGAAUUAUCAAAACCACGAAGGGAGCAUAUGUGCUUUCAAUCUCCCCCUUUUUGGUGAUUGAUGAUAACAUACAAUCGAAGCUUCAAAUAGAUAUAGGCAUAAGAAAAUGACAGCUUUGAAAUAUACAUGACUAAUACAAGCUCCCCCUAAAUGUGUGCAAUCCCUUGUAAGAGAUGUUUGUUUUGUACUGCAUGGGCACACACAUAGUAGAAGGGACAACACAAGUCAUGUGAAUCUUGGCUAUAUGCAUCAAACAAUAUGUGAAUGAAAGAGCUCCAUGUUCAAGACUCACUUGCAAACAAUAUGUGCAAGAGACAAGAGAUUAUCUUGAACAAGGAUAUGAUGCAUAUACUUACCUUGAGGUUCUUGAGCAUCUUAGCAGUAGGAGUACACUUGAGAAAACAAUUGUUAGAUAACACAAGAGUAUUCUAUAGUAAAUAUGCAAAGAGAUUAAAGAGUACCAAGACAUGGACGAUAUGAUUUGAAGAUAAAUAUGUCUCCGAGAAUAUUUAGAACUUUCUCCCCUAAGAAUGAAUAUGUAGGAUUUCCUCCCCCCUGAAUCAUAGCAUGUAGAUAUUGGGAGUAGGUAGGGUGGUUCAAUCCAAAGUAGGCAAUACAAAAUGCAAAUAAAACUUCCUCUCCCUUAGGGUAAGCAUAAGCUUAGAUAACUCUUUGAAUCUCUCCCGCUGAGGGAUUUCACCUCCAUUUUCAUCUCCCCCCCUUAAUGAUAUCUCUUCCCCUGUAUGUGUAAGAUUUGAUAUAUCUCCCCCUUUGGUAGAGACUUUUAGCAGCUUUGAUAUAUCUCCCCAUUUGGCAUUAAUUGCCAAAAAGGUCAGAGGGUAAGGGUUCCUUGAGAGUAUGUGAUCCUCAAUUCUUCUUCUUGAUAAGGGUUCCUUGAUUAUUCUUCCCCCUGAGUUUAGAUAAGGGUUCCUUGAAAUUUCUCCCCCUUUUUGUAUGGAUAAUGGUUCCUUGAAAUUUCUCCCCCUUUUAGUAGGGGUCCUAGAUAUUUCUCCCCUUAUACCAUGGGAUCAUUUGAAAUUUCUCCCACUAUGAAGUCCCCCCUUGACAAAUUGAGAGAUCAGUAGACUAUGCCACUUUGGCAUAAAUCCAGUAAAAUCACUAAGAACACAGGUAGCAUAAAUUUGGAGUCUCUGAGGCAAAGUGGAUUUGUAGAAAUGAGAGUGUAUAUUGAGCACGUGGGAGAAAUCAGUUGGACCAAUUUUCCCAACUCGGAGAGAGUGAGUUGCAACUAAAAAUUUGACUACUUGAGAAAAUGGGGUUACUUGGUAAACAAAAUUUCUUCUUGACCACUUUGUCAAUAAAAAUUCUCAGAUAUUUUUCCAAAGCUCUCAUAGAGUGUUCAAAUGAUUUUCAAGGAAUCUUCCAAAAGGAAUUUGCAUGGAAUUCUUACAUGGUUCGAACAAAGCAUGCAAAUGAGACUAUGAACCAUACAAGAAACUUGAUCUAGAUGUUGGGUGUUGACUAGCUCACCUAUAUUAGAGUAUAUUGACUUGAAGAGCCAAGCAAGAUUGCUUGAUCAUAUGUCAUACUCAUCGUUAAGCUCAAAAUGGGGUUGCCAUUUUGCGUUAAGCAUUUUAAUGUCUUCAUUCACUUGAGUUGCUUUACCUCAUGACUUGGUGUAAUGAUUUAUCAAGGAUAAGAGUACAUACCUUCGAAUGAUGUUGAUGACAUAGCAUGUAGGUUAAAUUGUUGUGGAUGCUCAAUGUUGAUGAAGAUCAUCUUGAGUUGAGAGCUAUCCUUGUUGUUUUCGUUCACUUUUCACCUACGGUUUUGUUGUCUUCUUUCUUCAUCUCCAAAGAAAGGGCUGUUGAUGCUUGGCCAUGACAAGAUUGAUUUUUAUGUGAGUUGAUGGCAAUCUUGUGGAGUGUAGUUCUUCCAAGUACCUACAAAUGGUUAGAUGCAAUACAAUGGACAUAGUUUUCCAAGCUAUAAGAUAGUGUCAUAUCAGUAGCAUCAUGGAAUAAUCAAGUAAGCUCAUGCCCUUGCAUGCAUCCAACUGAGUCUAGCUCAAGUUUGAAGCGUCAAUGAUGUUCAACUCACUCCUCAAGUGGGAAAACACUUUCUCAUCAAGUUGCUUGGUAAAGAUAUCAGCCAAUUGUUUGUCGGUACGAACAUGCUUGAGAUUAAUAUGUCCUUUACCAACAUCUUCAUGAAUGAAAUGAUGUCGAACUUGAAUAUGUUUAGUUCGAGAAUGUUGCUCGAGAUUAUGGGCAUUUUUAAUAGCACUUUCAUUAUCACAUAACAAUGGAACAUGUUUCACAUGAAUGUCAUAAUCCUUCAGAGUUUGCGUCAUCCAUAGUAAUUGCCACAACAUGAUACGAUGGCAAUGUAUUCUGCUUCGACGGUAGAGAGAGAUACCGAGUUUUGUUUCUUGGAUGACCAAGACACAACAGAUCUCCCAAGAAUUUGACAUGUACCCGAGGUUGAUUUUCUAUCAACCUUGUCUCUUGGCAUAGUCCGAGUCGGAAUAGCCAACAAGAUUAAAAGAAGACCCCUUGGGAUACCAUAUACCCAUAUACCAUAUUAUUUUCAUAGCCUCUAGAUGACACUCCUUAGGUACCGCUUGAUAUCGGUCACACAUGCAAACACUCAACAUGAUGUCGGGAUCGGAGGCACAUAGAUAUAGAAAUGUACCGAUCAUUGAUCGAUAAACCUUUUGAUCAACCAGUUUGUCCUCCUUGGUGAGGUCAACAUGUCCACUAGUAGGCAUGGGAGUUUUCAUACCUUUGCACUCUUGCAUGUUGAACUUCUUGAUCAAGUCCUUGGUGUACUUGGUUUGAGAGAUAAACGUACCUUCUCUCGUUUGUUUAAUUUGCAAACCAAGUAAGAAUUUAAGCUCACGCUUCAUGGACAUCUCAUACUUCUCGGACAUCAACCUUCCAAAAUUCUCACGAAAAUGUGUGUUAGUAGAUCCAAAGAUAGUAUCAUCCACAUAAAUUUGGCACACAAAUAGUUCACCGUUAACUCUUUCAGUGAAUAAGGUUGCGUCAGUUUUACCAAUCUCAAAACCCUUUUCAAUGAGAAACUUUGUUAGGUAUUUGUACCAAGCUCGAGGGCUUGUAUAAGACCAUAUAAAGCUUUACGAAGUUUAUAAACAUGAUUAGGUUUCUUAGGGUUCACAAAGCGGGGAGGUUGUUUGACAUAAACUUCCUCCUCAAUUUAACCAUUUAUAAAAGCACUUUCGAUAUCCUUUUGGUAAAGAGUAAUAUCAUGGUGAUUGGCAUAAGCGAGAAGAAUACGAAUGGCUUCAAGUCUAGCAAUGGGGGCAUAGGUCUCACCGUAGUCCAUACCUUCGACUUGCAUGUAACCUUGAGCUACGAGACGUGCCUUGUUGCGGAUCACUUGGCCAUCUUCAUCUUGCUUGUUCCGAAACACCCAUUUGUACCAAUGAUGUUGUGCUUGUCCUUGUGUUUCUCCACGAGUGUCCAAACUUCAUUUCGCUCAAAGUUGUGUAGCUCUUAGUGCAUCGCAUUCACCCAAUCUGGGUUAUGAAGUGCUUCUUCUACCUUCAUAGGCUCAAUGCUAGAGAUAAAGGAGUAAUGCUCACAAAAAUUAGCUAAAUGAAUUUUUGAGCGAGUGAUUCUCCCAGUUUGUAUGUCACCAAAGAUUUUAUUUAGCGGAUGAUUCUUGUCCAUGUGUGCUCGAACUCAUGAUAGCUUUUUCUUAUUGGAUGCUGGAGCUUCCUCAUCAUUAUCUACUUCUUCGUUGUCGUUGAAGGUGUCAUAUCCUUGAGGUGGUGAUGAAGAAGGUUGAGGUGGAUCAUCACAUUGUACUUCUCCCUCUUCUUCAUGUCGUAUACCACUUGUGGAUGCCUGCAUGUCGUUUUGUGGUUCGCCUUGACGUGAAGUAGGAGCUUGCACUUGUGUUGAUGAAAUACUUUCCUUCACCUCCAUGGGAGAAAUCUUGCCGAUGGACAAGUAUUGGAUGGCUUUUGAAGGUUGCUUAUCUCCUAAAUCAUUUGGCAAUUGUUUUACUUGUGAACCAUUAGAUUCAUCAAACUUCACAUCUACCGUCUCUUCAACUUUUCGAGUGAAAUUGUUGUUCAUACGGUAAGUGUGAGAGUUUGAUCCGUAACCAAGUACGAAACCUUCAUGAGAUUUAGGUGAAAAUUUAGAGUGACGAUGCUUAUGAAGAAUGCAACACUUUGAGACGAAUACCUGAAUGUAUCUAACUUGGGGUUUGUUACCGAUGAGUAGCUCGUAUGUCGUUUUACCGAUUAGCUUGUAUAGGUAGAGUCGGUUUGUGGCAUGUCAAGCUAUUUCCACGGCUUCUGCCCAAAAGUAUCUUGGCAUCUUGUAUUCGCCAACAUCGUUCCAUCCUUCUCUAUGAGAUCCGGUUCUUCCUAUCAACAACUCCAUUUUGUUGAGGUGUGUAUGUCACAGAGAAAUCAUGUGAAAUACUGUUGGGGAAAGUCGCAUGGGAAACAAAAAUUUCCUACGCUCUCCAAGAUCAAUCUAUGGAUAUCAAUAGCUAUGAGAAGGGAAGUGCAUCUACAUACCCUUGUAGAUCGCUAAGCGGAAGCAUUGAGAAACGCGGUUGAUGUAGUCGAACGUCUUCGCGAUCCAAUCACGAUUUGUCCCACGAUCCAAUCAUGAACGUCUUGAUCAAAUGCAGAACGGACGACACCUUCGUGUUCAGCACACAUACAACUCGAUGAUGCCAUCACCACCUCGAUCCAACGAGUGAAGGUGAAGUAGUAGCUGAGUUCUCUGGCAGCAUGACAGCGUGUUGGCGGUGGUGGUGGAGCGAUCUCAGCAGGGCUUCGCCAAGCACUACCACAAUUGUGACUGUGGAGAAAUACUACGAGAGAGAGAGAGAGAGAGGAGGGCUGCGCCGUGGCUUUCAGGUGCGGCGGCACUCCCUCUCCUAUAGUAUAUAUAGUGGGAGGGGAGGAGGAGGCCAACGCCCUAGGGUUUCCCUAGGGUUGGAUGGCGGCCACCAAAAGGUGGCUUGGCCCCCAAGGAAGGAGGGGCGAUAGCCACCUCCGGGCCAGCCCUCUUAUUUGGCCACAUGUGCCUUAGGUGAGAGGGACGGAGAUCCCACUAGGGGCUUGUGCACCACCUCUCACAGCCCAUGGGGCCCUCCGGGGCAAGUGGACCCUUCUCGUGGACCCUCGUAACUCUUUCGGAACCUCCGUCACAAAACCGGUAACCUUCCGAAACUCUUCCGGAACUCGAAUAUCAACUUCCCAUAUAUGAAUCUUUACCUCUAGACCAUUACGAAGCUGCUCCUCAUGUAUGAGAUCUCAUCCAAGACUCCAAAAAACCUUCGGUCACCAACACAAUAACUCAACUAUAUCUAUAUCAUCACCGAACGUUAAGUGUGCAGAUCCUGCGGGUUCGAGAACUAUCCAGACAUGCCCGACACAUCUCUAUGGUCAAUAAACAAUAGAGGGACCUAGAUGCCCAUAUUGGUUCCUACAUAUUCUACAAAGAUAUUUGUCGGUCGAACCAUGAUGUCAAGGAUUCGGCUAAUCCCGUAUGCAGUUCCCUUUGUACAUCUGUAUGUUACUUGCCCGAGAUUCAAUCAUUCGUAUAUCCAUACCUAGGUCAAUCUCGUUACCAGCAAGUCUCUUUGGUCGGUAUGUAAUACAAGAUCCCAUGACUAAAUCCUUAGUCACAUUUAUUGCAAGCUUACUGUGAUGUUGUAUUACUUAGUGGGCCCCGAGACACCUCUCUGUCACGUAGAUUGAAAAAUCCCAGUCUUGAUCCAUGGCAACUCAACAGACACCCUCGGAGAUACCUGUAGAGCCUCUUUGUAAUCACUGACGUUUGAUAAACACAAGUCAUUCCUAAAGUGUGAGGGAGUUGCAUGAUCUCAUGGUCAUAGGAGCAGACACAUUGACAUGCAGAAAGCAAUAGCAGUAAACUUGACAUGAUCAAAUGCUAUGCUUACGGUUUGGGUCUUGUCCAUCACAUCAUUCUCCUAAUGAUGUGUUCCUAUUAUCAAAUGACAACUCAUGUCUAUGGCUAGGAAACCAUAGCCAUCUUUGAUCAAUGAGCUAGUCCACUAGAGGCUUACUAGGGACACUUUGUUGUUUAUGUAUCCACACAUGUAUUUGAGUUUCUGAUCAAUAUAAUUAUAGCAUGGAUAAUAAACAAUUAUCAUGAACAAGGAUAUAUAACAAUAACCACUUUAUUAUUGCCUCUCGGACAUAUUUCCAAUAGUCUGCCAGUUGCACUACAGUCAAUAAUCUAGUAUUACAAGGUAAUGAAUCUAACACCCAUAGAGUUUUGGUGUUGAUUAUGUUUUUCUCGUGGAAGAGGUUUAGUCAAUUGAUCUGCAACAUUCAGAUCCGUAUGCACUUUGCAAAUUUUUAUGUCCUCCUUGAGGGAGUUUUGGAUUAAGGGGUCCUUGGGUGGUCGGGUUAUCCUUUAUGGCCGACCAUGUGGGUUGCAUCGUUGAAGACCGGAUUGUCUGACCACUUCGUAAUCAAGAUGGAAGCUCCAAAGACUAGGCGUGCACUCCAAGUCAAGAGGACCAGUUCGGCCCAUCUAUCCCUAACUAAGGUCAGUAACAUGUAACCCUAGGAAUCGUGGUGUAUAUGCUGAGAGGCAGGUCAUCUCAUCUAGAGUUUUAGCUCAUACGAUCUCGAGGUAGAUCAACUCUGUAACCAUCGUUCCCCAUCUAUAUAAUCAAGCAGGAUGUAGGGUUUUACCUCCUCAAGAGGGCCCGAACCUGGGUAAAUACUGUCUUCCCCACUCUCCUGCAACCCAUUUAUCCUAGGUCUGCUGUUCGGGACCCCUACCUGAGAUCUACCGAUUUUAACACAGAGAUUGGUGCUUUCAUUGGGAGUUUUGCCAUUGGAUCGCUCGAACGGUCGAUGGAUCACUUUAUCAUCAGUGAUCGAAUCUGCAAUGGGGGCUUCUUCUCCCUGGAAAGGUCCCCAUGCGCGGAAGCAUCACGCUGCACGUGGACUCAACCGGCCUUCCGAGCCAGACUGGAGGUUUCGUCCGCGAUCAACAAACAAGGUUCAGAUACUUUGAAUUCUCCGCCGACUCGCGGGGCAAUCUGUCCCCCGCCGAAGUCACGACCUCGACCAAUGAAAGUCAAAACCCUGAAGCCUUGACUCCGGGUCCCUCGUAUGGCUAUGGCCGCGGUCCCCUCCUCGUCGAAGAGUUAGCCUUGAGCUCAGACCCGACCAUUCUGUCCGGACAACAAGAAACAACCAUUGCCGAACUAUCAUCCAUUGCGGAAGUCACAAAGGUCAACUCCAAGAAUCUAAAAAAAAAAUCGUUGAGGACAACAUCUCGAUGUUAAGCAAGAUGCUCGAUCAGAUCGAGUCACUCCAAAUCUGACUUAACUGAAGCCCGACCUAUUCGAAGAUCGGCUCCGAGGUGGAUUACGAGGACUUUUCCGACCCACGCACCACGCUCUUGAUCGCCGCUGUCGAAGACUGAACCGACGCAUUGGACUAUGCCUGCGAAGAGCUCGAGGACAUGGACGAUGAGCCUACUAGACCACCCUCGUAGACACAGGGUGGUGGAUCAGAACGUCUACCUUAGAUGUUUACAUGGUAGACACGACCCGUGACACGGGCGAUGUCACACCCAAGCAAAACGGCGAUAAGCCUGUGGAGGAGCCCUCAAAGUGCCGAAAGCACGUAAGCGUGCCGAGGAAAAUAAGGGAAGGGGCUCUGCACAAGCAACAAGGGAAAACAUGACCCCAGAAGACCAUGACAACCCCGAAGCUCCCUAACAACAACCAGAGGAACCGGAAAGCACCGACCCCGACGACCUCAAAAAUUCGGAUGACGACUAGCUCCCCUAGUCGACGACGAAGAUGGCCUUGAAGCUGAAGACUUCGUAAUCCCCGAAGAACCCAAAGGCCAGGAGAAAUUCUCAUAGAGGCUUAUAGCUACCAUUCAGAGAUUAAAAGCAAAGCAACGACAACUCCAGGACGAACAACACACCAUCAAAAACAGGUUGACCAAAAUCUUGGUGAUUGAAGAGGGGUACGACAUGGAGUGGCCGGACCAAAAGAAAACCUACCCAGGCCGAUGCCUGCUCCCCCAUUUCGACGACGAGGCCCCAGAACACGUGUCCCCACGACACACGGACUACGACCAACCUGAUCGCCCACCCCAAGGGCGUGACAGAGCGACCGAAGAGAAUGAGUAUAGACCUGAGCCUCCUCGCAAAAAAGGCAAAGACUAUGCACACCCUGGGAUAGACCUGACCCACAAUCCGUUAGAUCAGGCCGCAAAAGAUCCAUCUACGGAUCCAGGAGGUACUCCCCCACUCGAUGGGAUGACGAACCACCUCGGGUCCCUUACAAAAGCAGAGGCGAGGAACCGUACGCGGUUCAACCCGGCGACGAUCUCCGGCACAGCAUAGCCCGGAUCAGAGGUGCUGCUCACCCAUUGUGUUUCAUAGAUGAGGUCAUGCAGCACAAGUUCCCUGAAGGGUUUAAACCCGUAAAUAUUGAAUAAUAUAACGGGACAACAGACCCCGCCGUGUGGAUAGAAGAUUUCCUUCUCCACAUCCAUAUGGAGCGAGGAGACGAUCUCCACGCCAUAAAAUACUUGCCCUUAAAACUCAAAGGACUGACACGGCACUAGCUAAACAACCUACCUAAAGACUCCAUUGGAAGUUGGGAAGACCUCGAGGAGGCUUUCUUAUCUAACUUUGAGGUAACAUAUGUUUGGCCACCGGAUUCAUCCGGCCUAAGCAAUUUUCCAAAAGGCGGGUGAAUCGGCUAGAGAAUUCUCGAACCGGUUCCUCACCAAGAAGAAUCAAAUCAUGGACUGUUUGGAUGCCGAAGCAAUAGCCUCUUUUAGGCACAACAUCCGGGACGAAUGGCUGGCCAUUUAGCUCGGCCAAGACAAGCCAAGAAUAAUGUCCGCUCUUACUUCCCUCAUGACCCGCUUUUGGGAAGGCGAAGAUAAUUGGCUAGCUCGGCGCACCCACAAUACGGCCGACCCGAAACCUCUGAGUUUCGAGAUGGAAACGCAUGACAAAGAAAAAGCAAGAAUAAACGCCGCCACCAUAAUGGUGUUGCCAACGACACAAUAGUAAACGUUGGAUUCCGCAGUUCAAAACCUGGAACGCAGAAGAAACCCUUCAAAGGGAACAGGAACGGACCCACCCCAUGGGAUAAAAUCAUGGAACGGCCCUCCGAGAUCCAUGGCAACAAAGAGAAGUCUGCCACCCACACCAACCGUAAUUGUUAGGUGUUCAAACAGGCCGACAAGCUAGCUGCCGAUGUACAGAACAGGGGCCCAGAAAGUGAAGACGAUGAGGAGCCCCGCGGCCCGAACAAUGGGGGCCAAAAAUAGUCCCCUCCCGAGGUCAAAACCAUGAACAUGAUCUAUGUCACCCAUAUAUCCAAAAAGGAGAGGAAGCGGGCCCUUCGGGAGGUAUACAUCGUAGAGCCCAUAGCACCAAAAUAUAAUCCAUGGCAGGCGUGCCCGAUCACGGUCGACUACAGGGAUCAUCCGACCAGUACCCGUCAUGGAGGGUCAUCCGCCCUCGUCCUAUAUCCCAUUGUAAAUUGAUACCAACUCAUUAGAGUACUCAUGGAUGGAGGAAGUAGCCUUAAUCUGAUUUAUUCAGAUACGGUGAAAAAGAUGGGCAUAGACCCAUCAUGAAUCAAACCUAGUCGCACUACCUUUACAGGAGUGAUUCCAAGCGUCGAAGCCCGUGAUACGUCCAUUUUGCAUCAUGUUUUCAUGUUGAUAUUUAUCGCUACUUUGGCUGUUAUUUCACUUCACGGAACAAUUCUUAUGACUUUUCUCUCUUAUUUUGCAAGGUUUACAUGAAGAGGGAGAAUGUCGGCAACUGGAAUUCUGGCUUGAAAGUGGAGCAAAGUUGAGAUACCUAUUCUGCGCAACUCCAAACGCCGUAAAACUCAAUGAGGAUUUUUUUUUCCGGAUUUAUCAAAAAUACUAGGCCGAAGAAGUGCCAGAGGGGCGCCAGGGGUUGGCUACAAGCCUGCACGGCACGGCCACCCCCCAGGCCGCGCCAUGAGGGCUUGUGGGCAACCUGCUGGCCCACUUGCCCCCUCUUUUGCUAAUGAAGGGUUUCGUCCAGGAAAAAAACAAGGAGGAGCUUUUUCGUGGUUUCGCCGCCGCCACGAGGCGGAACUUGAGCAGAACCAAUCUAGAGCUCCGGCAGGACGAUUCUGCCGGGGAAACUUCCCUCUCGGAGGGGGAAAUCGUCGCCAUCGUCAUCACCAACACUCCUCUCAUCGGAGGGGACUUGUCACCAUCAACAUCUUCAUCAGCACCAUCUCAUCUCCAAACCCUAGUUCAUAUCUUGUAACCAAUCUCCGUCUCCCGACUCCGAUUGGUACUUGUAAGGUUGCUAGUAGUGUUGAUUACUCUUUGUAGUUGAUGCUAGUUGGAUUAUUUGGUGGAAGAGUUUAUGUUCAGAUCCUUGAUGCUACUCAUUACCUCUCUGGUCAUGAAUAUGAUUAUGCUUUGUGAGUAGUUACUUUUGUUCCUGAGGACAUGAGAUAAGUCAUGCUAAUAGUAGUCAUGUGAAUUUGGUAUUCGUUCGGUAAAUUGAUAUGUUGUAUGUUGUUUUUCCUCUAGUGGUGUUAUGUCAACGUCGACUACAUAACACUUCACCAUUAUUUUGGCCUAGAGGAAGGCAUUGGGAAGUAGUAAGUAGAUGAUGGGUUGUUAGAGUGACAGAAGCUUAAACCCUAGUUUAUGCGUUACUUCGUAAGGGGCUGAUGUGGAUCCACUAGUUUAAUGCUCUGGUUAGACUUUGUCUUAAUUCUUCUUUCGUAGUUGCGGAUGCUUGCGAGAGGGGUUAAUCAUAAGUGGGAUGCUUGUCCAAGUAAGGGCAGUACCCAAGCGCCGGUCCACCCACAUAUCAAACUAUCAAAGUAACAAACGCGAAUCAUAUGAACGUGAUGAAACUAGCAUGACAGAAAUUCCCGUGUGUCCUCGGGAGUGUUUUUCCUCCUAUAAGACUUUGUCCAGGAUUGUCCCUUGCUACAAAAGGGAUUGGGCCACUUUGCUGCACCUUGCUAUUUUUGUUACUUGUUGCUUUCUACGAAUCAUGUCACCACACAAUUACUUGUUACCGACAAUUUCAUUGCCUGCAGAUUUUACCUUGCUGAAAACCACUUGUCAGAUCCUUGUGCUCCUCGUUGGGUUCGACACUCUUACUUAUAGAAAGGACUACGAUUGAUCCCCUAUACUUGUGGGUCAUCAACCCGCUGCUCGGGUACGAUAACACUAGAGGUUGUGUUUGGCUCGCCCGAGAACUUCCGCAUCAAAGACUUGAUCUCCGACAUCGUCCCCUUUCAUAGCGGAUACCACACACUGCUCGACUGCAUAGCUUUCGCCCGCUUCAACGUUGUGCCCCACUACGCCUACAUGAAACUCAAAAUUCCCGGACCCAAGGGAGUCAUCACUAUCAACGGCAAUACAGAGCGUUACCUCCGGACCAAGGAGCACACGGCUGCACUCACAGUUGAGUGCCAACAUGACAACGAAACAUCAAGCCACAAGUCAGCAAUAAAGGCAAAGAAGGAAGGCAAGCGAGCCCGAGCUCAAUCAGAUCUGUCAAAGACCUGUUCGGCUCAGAGUAAAUAGGGAUAUGCCUCCCAUGACAUGGUCCGAACACCUUCAAGGUAUGUCCCUCGCAGACACAAUUUCAUCCUUAAAAUUCCAUGGACAACCAUGGGAGUCACCCGCCAGGAAUCAUGUGAUCGGUUCAACCGAGCCAUGGUCCAAAACACCCCUAUGGAUAAAGGUAGGGUAUCAUGAAGAACCCCAAGCAUCAAGCUUCUCCGGUUUAUCAGCACCUUCUCAAGACCCUCUACUCGAGGUCAGCAUGCUGACAACAACUUCCUGCAAAGGAUAGUACCCCCAGCCCUAACAAGGGUAAUAGAUAUAGUACAACCGAAAAUAGGGCGAACGUCAAGGCGCCCAUGGAAGGCCGCUGUGAAAAAGGUGCUUUAAAAACUUGUAUCGAUAGUUACCUAUAACAGCUGCCUUGGUGCCACAAGUUAUAAAAAUUCACCACACACAUUAUUUCAAGUUUUUUUGUAUGCUCAUAUUUCAUACUUAUCGGCGCUGACAUGUCAAAAUUACUUUUUACACAUGCUAAAGUGCUAUCGGCCAAUAGAAUGGAGGCUUGGAUGGCAACACUACAUCUGAAGUGUCCAGUUUCUCGGGUUUUGCUUUAUAUGCAUCGGUUCUGAAUUGUGUCAUGGGUCUAUAGUUGUGUUGCCCUGUUCCUGUGCUUACCUCAUUACGCUCUGCUAGUUCGGCUAAGGGGUAAAGGGAGAACCAUUGCGAUUGUAUUAUGAGGUAUUAUGGCUAAUAAUACCUAAGUGGAGAAAGCCAAAAACUAACUACCAUUAUAAGCGAGAACUGCUCUGCAAUCUAAGCUAAAAAAAGCCAUUGGAGGUUAUUCCUUAUUACACGGAGGGUUCACACCUUUGCAGACCCUAUGGUAGCUAUUUUGAAAUUCGGCUUAUCCGACAACCACCAAAAACCUGGGGGCUUUCGAUCAGCCCCCAAAUUUAAACUCCUAAGGCUAAGUGAAAGAGAUAAAGCCGCCUGUCUGAUUGCCACGUUUCCGUCGCAAACUACCACCUUUGGGCACCGACUCAUCAAAUAAGGGUAAUAGUAUGGACGAUGAUACACCAUGUGUAGUCUCUACGUGGGGGCUAAAGUGGACGACUGGUAACAUUCAGAUUAAAACGACCAAACGACAAGAGUCAAAAUAAUACACAAGCACAAAUACUAAGCAUUAUAAAUAUUUUUUUUGGAAGCACAUGAUAGUACAGUCACUCAAAGAGCACGUCUUUCGAGCAUUGGGCUUCUAUAACCCGAGCACCCUCCGCCAUGGAGGGAAAAUACAACUCGGGGCGUCUGUGCCCCUUCUCGACAGGUGGAGGUGCGGUGGCCAUCGUCAGGGGCUUCAUCCCCGGAUAAUGCACCAGGAUCCUUGCAAAGGCCACCUGAGCUCCUUCUGUGCAGACGGAACACUUCAGGACAUCGAUCCGGGGAACGACAUCAACCAACUUAUGCACUAAGCCGAAGUAGCUGCCCGACAGAGGCUCGGUAGGCCACAGUUGGAUACAGAGAUCCUUCAUGGCCAGCUCCGCCAUCCUAUGCAGCUCCAUGAGCUGUUUCAUUUGAUAGAUCAGACUAGGGUUGGGCUCAAGAGUAUGAAACUAAGCCCAGAAAAGCCUCCGCUCAACAUCCCCGUCAUGGGCCAAGUAUUAUUGGGUUGCUUCCACCACACUCCGUGGGAGGUCCAUGAAGGUGCCCAAGGAACGCCAUAUCCGCAUAAGAAAUGCAUACCUAUUUCCACCAAAGGCACAUUGCAAUAACUAUGGCUUACCAUUUGCCAUCAACUUGGCCUGGCAUACUUCUUCUUCAAAGAACCUCCGGUCCACCCGCUCUGCUUUGAGCUCGGCGGAUAGCUUGCAGAGCUCAGUUAUCUAAUCCCGAGAUUUCUUCUCCAAAGUCUCACACUUGGCCUCAUGGUUGGUGUUAUCAACCUUAGGGAGCUCAGCUCGACAACUACUUGUUCGGCCACCACUUUGUGAGCAACGACCUCCUUCUUGGCCUGCUCCAGUUCGGCCUUGAGUUUUUCGAACUCUUUGUCCUGGGCUGCUGACCAAAUUGAUAUCACAGGGUUAGAUGUUAAAAAAACAGGACAAUCCUUCUCUAUUAAAGGGCAAUAAUAAAUUUUACAGCACUUCUUGAAACUUACCCUGCUUUUUAUCAAGCUGGACAUUCACACGGCUAAGCUCAUCGUUGGAAACCUUCAGUUUCCGGUUCAGCUUGGCUAUAUCCAGUGAUUUGCCGUCAUCAACAAAGGAAGAAGCAUGCACGACAUAAUUAUGAAUUUUAACGGCUCUGAGUUAUCGGCAUGUAGGACACUUUGGUCGAAAUUACUCCAGCAAGUCGUUAGAAUUGAAAAAUCUCAGGAUUGUUUUAUGCCUAAGAGUUAAUUUUGAGCCACGGAUAAGCUUGUCAAACUUACCCGUGGCUCGGGGGCUGUUAUACCCAUAAAGGCAUAAAAAAUCUUAUAAAUAAGACUUAAAAAAUUACACGACUUACCUUAAAACCCGCCAACAAUCCAUUGAAGGCUUCGCUCAGUUUGCUAUUAACGGACUGAAUACUCUACAAUACCGCACCUAUAAGGGUGCGAUGUUCUUCGACAAUGAAGGAGCUGGUCAAGGUGCCCUCCAUCAUGGCCGACCAUCCAACCGUAGUCUGCUCUGCUAGGGAUGGCCGUGGAGGUGGCACCGAAGACACUGGAGCGUCGGGGCUCCUGGAAGCUUUCUCCGGGCAAAGCUCAGAGGGAAUUUGGUUCCCUUCUUCACUUGGGGAGAGGGAACAAACCCCCUAUUUCCCAAUGACCGAGGUAUGGACCUCGGCUAGAAUCUCCUGUUCUUCGGUGGCUGGUUUAUCAACACCAGCCGGGACCUCCGGGUCUUCGAAGGCUGGUGUAUCAACUUCGGCCGCGAGCUCCCCGUCCUUGGGGUCUGAUGUACCCACCUUGGCCAUCACCACCUUGGUAGUGGUCGACGGGGCCUGAUGGGCAUUACCUCAGCCGGCUCAUCCGAGGCCCGGGGAGGGGUAUUGUCGUGUGCGUUCCCACUCUCCGAUAGCUCGGCGGGCAACGAGCCUUCCUUUGAAAUGUGGUCUGUUGGAAGAUCUCAGACAGGGUUGUGACACGAAACAACUCGUUUCUCAUUAUUGAUAAAGACCCUGUGUAAUCCCGUUAAAGUAAGAAUUGGAUUUCGUACCUUCGGACCGAGGGCUUAACCCUAGGGGUUCGGCAAAGAAUCACCUCUAAGGCUCUGAUCUCGUCAUCGGAGUCGGGCCAGUGCCGAGAAGGGUGACCUUGUCUUACAAGGUCUUUUCGGAGCCCGACGAGGUAGCCCCUGCUCGACCCCCUCUGGCGCCUCCCUCUUCCUCGUCUUCUACAUCCCCCCCCUUGUGGGUGGAGGAGGCAUGGGUGUCCCCGAACUUGGUAUCCGACGGACCCCUCGAAUGGAGACCCCCGCGGGUAUCCUUCUUCUUAUUUUCUAGCGCCAUGUAUGGCGCCUCCACCAGCAUCAGAUCUAGCAGAGGAGAUCGAGGCUCCUCGGGUAGGGGAGCUAGACCGUCUAUUUUCUCGGCUAGGGCCAGCCAAUCCUGCAAGGAAGAAGUGAUAGUAAGGCCUUCAAUAAAACAAGAACCUAGAGUACGAAUAGGAGCUCGGACGUACCUCCAAAGGGGGAGUCUCCACAUCCAAGCCGAUGUCUUCGUCCUCGACCGGCCACUCAUGCCGCGGCUUGAGCAGUAUCCACCACAAGUUCUCAUGGGUGGUGCGGUAGAACUCAUGCACCACCCAGGGGUCGCUGGGGUUGUAAGACCACAUCGUGUUUUCCCAGUGCUGGCAUGGAAGGAUGUAUCGAUGGAGCAUGACCUCGACUACGUCGGUCGGCUGGAUGUUUGUCGCCACCAUCUGCUUGAUGCGUUUUUGCAGCAACUUCACAUUCAAAGCCGAGCCCUAGUCUAGGCCCUUCUUAACCCAUGAGGUUAGCCUCACCGAGGGUCCAGAUCUGAACUUGUUCGGCAUUGCCCAAUUUGCUUCCCGUGGCUCUGUGAUGUAGAACCACUCAUUCUUCCAGCCCUUGAUGGUGUCGAUCAGGGUGCCCUCCGGCUAUGGCACGCAGAAAAUCUUUCUUAUCACAGCCCCGCCACAGUUGGCAUGAUGGCUGCUGACCGACUUUGUCUUAACAUUGAAGACUUUGAGCCAAAGGCUAAAGUGCGCAUGAACCCGCAGGAAGGCCUCGCAAACAGUGAUGAAGGUGGAGACGUGCAUAAUUGAGUUCGGGGGGAAGAUCGUGGAAAUCUAAUACAUAAUAAAACAUCAAAACCCCGACAAAGGGGUGAAGCGAGAAGCCUAGCCCCGGAGGAAGUGGGAGACGAACACCACCCGCUCAUCGGGCCUUGGUGUAGGUACUACCUGGCCCUUCUUCGGUGCUCGGUGGGCGAUGUUAGCCGCAAAGAUAGCCACAACGCUUCAACUCCUGGAUGUCCCCGUCAGAGACGCAGGAGAUCUCCCACUUGCCCUCAGAGUCUGAGCCGACCAUAGCUGGGCUUGGGAAGGAGGAUGGUUGGAAAGGGUGGGAGAUGGAAUGGAUCUCGGCGCUCGAGCUUGGAAGGAGAGGGAGUUGAGUUUGGAAUGCUUGUGGUGGGUUUUGGAUAUUUUUCCCUUUUUAAAGGGAGGUCGUAAAACCAAGGGUUUCCACUUACUAUGCCACCAGCUCUGCCACUUCCCCAAAAGAGCGCGUCAUUGAACGUGCGUAGGUUGUCUCGGGUCAUUAAUUCGAAACCCCUUGAAUGCGGGACACAAUCUUUUUGGUUGACAGAACAUGUCUCGGGGAAAGUGGCCUCGAGCCGCGAUUAGAGGUUUUCUCAUUAUUUAUUAUCACGAUUUUUCGUCAGAAGAGUUGUCAGAUAAAGGACUGUUCACCUCCGGGACUUUAAAACCUUCAGAUUUAAUGUCGCCUUUUUUGAGAAUGCGAUGUCAUUGGAGCGACUAAAUCGAUGUCAACCGAACAUAAGAAGAACUCGUCUUGCAAGCCGAUUAUUCAAACUGUCCAGCUACCGAAGACCGUACACAUCGGCGUUCAAGGCCAGUUCGGGGGCUACUCAGGGAGUUCUGGAUGAAGUGGUCCUUGGGUGGUCUAGUUAUCCUUUAUGGGCCGCGUCAUUGAAGAGCGGAUUGUCAAACGACUUCAUAAUCAAGAUGGGAAGCUCCGAAUACUAUGUGUGCACUCCAAGUCAAGAGGACCAGUUCAUCCCAUAUCCCCGACUAAGGUCGGUAACAUGUAUCCGUAGGACCCUUUGUGUAUAUAUAUAAACCAAAGGUUCUUAUGCUGAGAGGCAGGUUAUCUCAUCUAGGGUUUUAGCUCAUACGAUCUCGAGGUAGAUCAAAUCUGUAACCAUCAUAACCCGUCGAUAUAAUCAAGCAGGACGUAGGGUUUUACCUCCUCAAGAGGGCCCGAACCUGGGUAAAUAGUGUCUUCCCCAGUCUCCUCCAACCCAUCAAUCCUAGGUCUACUGUUCGGGACCCCCUACCCGAGAUCUGCCGGUUUUGUCGCCGACAUUCCUCCUUGAUAUAAUUGCGGAUGGAAUUGAAGCGGCAUUUUAUGUGUCUGGUCCUUUUAUGAAACCUUGGUUCCUUGGCUAGAGCAAUGACAUGUUGUCACAAAAUAGGGUUAGUGGAUCGAGUGCACUAGGCACAACUCCAAGAUCCAUCAUGAACUGCUUCAUCGAGACACCUUCUUUCUCUACUUCUGAAGUAGCUAUCUACUCUGCUUCACACGCAGAAUCAACUACUACACAUUGUUUGGAACUACACCAGCUUACCGCUCCACCAUUUAGAAUAAAUACGUAUCUGGAUUGUGACUUAGAGUCAUCCAGAUCAGUGUCAAAGGUAGCAUCGACAUAACCCUUUACCACAAGCUCUUGAUCACCUCCAUAAAUGAGAAACAUUCCCUUAGUCCUUUUCAGGUACUUAAGGAUAUUCUUGACUGCUGUCGACUGUUCCACUCCUGGAUCACCUUGAGACCUUCCGGUCAUACUUAUGGAAAGGCUGACAUCUUGUCUUGUGCACAUCAUCGCAUACAUUAUAGAGCCUAUGGCUGAAGCAUAGGGGAUGUCACUCAUAUUUUUUGCUAUCCUCUGUAUUCGCUCGGCAUUGAGUCCUACUCAACUGCACACCUUGCAGGAGAGGCUAGAACCCCUUCUUGGACUGAUCCAAUUUUGCACUUCUUCAAAACCUUCUCAAGGUAUGUGCUUUGUGAAAGUCCUAUUAAAGGUCCCGAUCUAUCUCUAUAGAUCUUGAUGCCUAAUAUAUAAGCAGCUUCUCCAAGGUCUUCCGUUAAAAAAUUAUUGUUCAAAUAUAUUUUCACGCUUUCCAAAAAUUCUAUAUUGUUUCCAAUCAGUAAUAUGUCAUCCACAUAUAAUAUUAGAAACACUAUGGAGCUCCCACUCACUUUCUUGUAAAUACAAGCUUCUCUAUACACUUGUAUACACCCAAACACUUUGAUCACCUCAUCAAAGCGAAGGUUCCAACUCCAAGAUGCCUGCACCAGUCCAUAAAUGUAUUGCUGGAGCUUGUAUACUUUGUCAGCAUUCUCUGGAUCGACAAAACCUUCUGGUUGCAUCAUAUACAACUCUUCCUUAAGGAAAUCGUUAAGGAAUGUUGUUUUGACAUCCAUCUUCUAGAUUUCAUAAUCAAAAAAUGCAGCUAUUGCUAACAUGAUUCUAACGGACUUAAGCAUCACUACGGGCGAGAAAGUCUCAUCGUAGUCAAACCCUUGAACUUGUAGAAACCCCUUUGCCACAAGUCGAGCUUUAUAGAUGGUGACAUUACCGUCUGCGUCUGUCUUCCUCUUAAAGACCCAUUUGUUCUGAAUAGGCUUUCGAUCUUCAGGUAAUACUUCCAAAGUCCAUACUUUGUUUUCAUACAUGGAUCCCAUGUCAGAUUUCAUGGCCUCUAACCAUUUGUCUGAAUCCGGGCCCACCAUCGCUUCUCCAUAGCUCGUAGGUUAUUUGUUAUCCAACAACAUGACCUCUAAGAUAGGAUUACCGUACCACUCAGGAGCAGUCACUACUGGAAUCAAUAAAUUUGCCGUCUGCCGUGCCUUUGCCGUCUGCUGACGCAUGGCAAAGAUGCUCUUUGCCGUCAGUUGGUACAAAGCGGACGACAAAGAUGUUGCAGAUGGCAAAGGUCUUAUUUGCCGUCUGGCACCUCUUUGCCGUCUGCUGACGCAUGGCAAAGGCCCUAAAGGCGGACGGCAAAGAGCACGCGGAUGGCAAAGGGGCGCCACCCUAACGGCCAACUCGCGACGCACCCCACCCACACCUUUGCCGUCUGCCUCCCNGACGCCACCGACACCCAACACCACCGACCAUCGACGCCACCGACACCCGACACCACCGACCAUCGCCGCCACUAAGCCGACGGGGUCAUAAUUUUGUAAAUUAUGAGUUAGGUCACAUAUUUUCCGAUUAUGUUAAUUAUAAAAACAUCAUAUUUGUGUUGAUCGGGUGAAUUUCAAUGUGCAGUUGUUCGACGACCUCCACGUGCGUUGGACGAGCUCCGCCCUUGCGUUUGUUGGUGAGCACAAAUGACUUCUCCUCCUACCCCCUUAAUUUGCUCUGUCCCGGUCUUCGUGCCGAUGAAACUUGCUAGCUAUAGGUUUCUUCAAUCAUUAGUAUGCGUGACCAGUAUGCGUCUCCCGUUCGAAAGGGUGACAUCUAUAAAUAUGCAUUUCUUUGCAUAUUUAUAACCGCCAUCCUUUUGAAUUGUCCAACAUUAUCAUGGACAGCCCGAGUAUGUGUAGAUUGGGUUUGUUUUCCCGUAUGCUAUGCUCCGGAUCCGAUGCGGAAUUUCGUCAGUGCCUCCCCUGUUGUUCUCCAGGUACACAUCCUCUCUGCUUAUUGCCGAGACGUGUAUCAGCAGAACAGCGGGGAGGUGCUGCCGAAAUUCUGCGUCGCAUCUGGAGCAGAGCAUGGGAAAACGAACCCAGUCUACACAUACUCGGGUCGGAUUAGGACCUAUCUUUACCUAUUAGCGUGUAGGUUGCAUGGACGUAAUAAAACUGACAAACUUGAUUAGCGUAUGAAUAUAGAUGAUGAAUUAUAUAUUUAUUUCUUGUGCCCCCAUAGGUAGCUAGGCAACAUGAGUGAUCGUGCUUCGAUGUACACUGGUCACCCUAGUCAGAAAGACAUGACCCAUGAAUGGUUAACAAAAACCAGGGGGUUUGUGAGAGCCGCAUUUGCAAAUGGCCAGCAUAAAACAUGGUGCCCCUGUCCCAACUGCGACAACUGGAAAAAGCAGACAGAGUUUGAAAUGGGUAAACACCUGCAGAAGUGGGGUUUUACGCCUAAUUAUAUGGUCUGGACUUUUCAUGGUGAGUGUGACCAACGUGCCAGAGCUGAGGUGAUUCUUCGUCGCACCGACGAGCAUGGUACCGGGAUUGAAGACAUGGUGCAAGACUUUGAUGAUGCUCGUGAUUCGGACGAUGAGAUGGAGGAAUCUGCAAAGGCCUUCUAUGAAAUGCUGGAGUCUUCAAAACGUCCUCUCCACGAACAGACUGAGCUUUGUCAGCUGGAUGCCAUCGCACAAGUAAUGGCUCUGAAGGCUCAAUUCAACCUAGGCAGAGAAUGCUACGACGCGAUGAUGACGAUAUUUGGACGCUUUCUACCCAAAGGCCAUGUACUGCCUGCAAACAUGUACCAGUCAGAGAAAAUCCUCCAUGUACUUAAGAUGCCCUAUGAGAAGAUACAUGCCUGUGAGAAUGGAUGUGCCUUAUUUAGGCUUGAGUAUGCGGCCUUGAACUAUUGCCCCAUUUGCAAUUCUUCCAGGUAUAUUGUGGUAGACAACGGCAUGGGUGAGAAGAAUCAGACCAAAAUCCCCAUUAGUGUUCUUCGAUAACUGCCAAUCGUACCAAGACUUCAACGUCUUUUCAUGGUCGAAGAGACGGCCAGAUAGAUGACAUGGAACAAAUUGGGCAAAAGAACCGAACUAGAUGCGGAUGGGAAUAAGAUGCUGGUACACACUUUAGAUGGUUUUGCGUGGAGGCACUUCGAUGCAUUACAUAAGGAUAAAUCGGAAGAUCCAAGGCAACCUAGAGUUGCCAUCAGCACGGAUGGGUUCAAUGUGUAUGGUAUGACGGCCUGUAUUUGUCAUUCCACUAAAUUUGCCACCCGGAGAGAUUAUGAAAAGAAAGAACAUAUUCCUGACGUUGAUAAUUCCAGGGCCCAACUAUCCGGGGAAGAAUAUGAAUGUGUACAUGCAGCCGCUUAAGGAUGAGGUGCAAGAAGCCUGGGAUAAUGCGAUCAAGACCUACGACGUGGCUAUGAUUUUUUUUUUCAAAAUGCAUGUGGUACAUGUACUCGACGCAUGAUUAUCCGGUGUUUGCGCUAUUCGCUGGCUGGUGUGUGCAUGGAAGGUUCCCGUGCACCACAUGCAAGGCAGCACUUCAGUUCCGUUGGCUGCAGGCUGGUCGCAAGUAUUCUUGCUUCGACAUGCAUAGACAAUUCCUGGAUCCUAACCAUAAGUUCAGAAAAGACAAGAAGAAUUUCAUCAAAGGUAGAGUUGUCAAAAACACUGCACCAGCUGCGUUGACAGGCCAACAGACCCUUGAUCAGUUAAACGCUCUCGAGCCUGAUCCUUUGCGUCCAGGAUACUUCAAAGGGUAUAAUACGGAACACGUCUGGACUCACAAGUCAUGCUUAUGGGAUCUCCCUUACUUCAAAGACCUCCUUUGCCCACACAACAUUGACGUGAUGCACACUGAAAAGAAUAUUUCGGAGGCCAUUUUUGGUACAUUGUUCGGCAUAGGUGGGAAGUCAAAAGAUAAUCCUAAGGCUAGAAUCGACCUGGAGGUUCUAUGUGAUAGACCGUUGCAAAACUUGUGACAACGGAAAGGAAAGCAAAGCAUAGCGAAGCCAAAGGCAUGGUUCAAUCUUGAAAGGCCAGCUAUGAGGGAAAUGCUAUUGUGGGUGAAAAUGCGGUUGAUGUUCCCCGAUGGGUAUGCUGCGAAUCUAAAGAGGGGAGCGAGUCUUGAGAAAUUGAAAAUAUUUGGGCUCAAGAGUCAUGAUUGGCACAUAUGGAUUGAGCGGGUAAUGCCGGUGAUGUUGCAUGGCUUUAUCCCUGAGGAUGAAUGGCUAGUACUGGCAGAGCUUAGCUAUUUCUUCCGUUCUCUUUGUGCGAAAGAACUAUCGCCUGGCGUGCUAGAUGAAAUGGAAGAGUUGGCGCCGGAGUUGAUCUGCAAAUUAGAAAAGAUCUUUCCACCGGGCUUCUUUAAUCCAAUGCAACAUUUGAUUUUGCAUCUCCCGACCGAGGCAAGAAUGGGGGAGCCCGUUCAAAAUCGAUGGUGCUACUCAACUGAGAGGAUGCAGAAGACGCUUCGAGCUAAGUGUAAAAAUAAACGUAGAAUUUAAGCAUCGAUGGCCGAGGCAUUCAUUACUGAGGAGGCGACAAACUUCGUGACAGCACACUACGAAGCCAAAAAUCAUCAUUUGCAUAACCCGAAGCCUCGGUACAGUGAUGGCGCUCGAGAAAAAGUUCGAUCCAACCUCAGCCUAUUCAAAGGUAAGCUCGCACCAUCCAGUGCUUCAAAAGGGAAAUCGUUGGAUGUCGAAGAAUGGCGGACCAUUUCAUUGUAUAUCUUCACCAACCUAACAGAAGUGCGGCCGUACAUCGAGUAAGUUCUCGGUAAUUUAUUGUUCCGCAACUUGUAAUUGCUUUGAACUACUCUUAUUCCCGGAUAUUUGAUAUAGUCGAUACGUCGCCGAAAUCUCGGAUGGAGUGGUCAUCGAAAAGGAUUCGUCGAAGAGUAUGAGCUUCUCGCAAAGCAUGGAGGCGACUAUCCCGGUUUCAUCUCUUGGUUCAAACAAAGGGUAAUUUAUUACAAUUAAGGGCCCAUUUGAUUUAUUGGUCUAAUUUGCGGCUAAUGCAUCCAUUCUUUCGUAUUAAACUUGUAGGCUAAUGCAGAGUCUAUGGACGCCGAGUUGAGACAAGUCGCUAAUGGUUUUGACUAUAAGGUCCGUUCAUUUGACAAAUACAACAUCAACGGGUAUCACUUUCGUACCUUUGGCAAAGAGCUAUCUAUGCCCGACCUAAAGACUACAAAUUGUUCUGUCUCUGCUAUGGGCGAAGGAGACACCGAGUAUUAUGGAAUGUUGGGAUGAUCCAAAUCUCAAAGGUUGGGAUGUCGUUUAUGAAGUACCACCACAUUUUAGACCACCUACCCUCAAUGAAGAGGAUUAUGAACCUCACAUUAACCCAGACACAUAUGAAGGAGAAUUCUUCCAAGAAACACGUAUGUCUAAGAAACGUUUCAAGAACCGUNNNNNNNNNNNNNNNNNNNNNNNNNNNNNNNNNNNNNNNNNNNNNNNNNNNNNNNNNNNNNNNNNNNNNNNNNNNNNNNNNNNNNNNNNNNNNNNNNNNNNNNNNNNNNNNNNNNNNNNNNNNNNNNNNNNNNNNNNNNNNNNNNNNNNNNNNNNNNCCGCUCUACUUCACCCCAGAACAUUGAAGUAGACAGCAACAGUGAAUCCGUCUUAACCCCUGAGCCUGAUCAGGAAGAGCUGGAAGAAGAAGAGGUUACUGCUGCGGAUGAACUGUCACUUCUUGACCGAUUACAUAAUGGUGGCCUUCCACAUGUUCUUCGUGAUAGUGAUGAUGAUGAUGAUGCAUUUAUUGANNNNNNNNNNNAUGAUGCAUUUAUUGACCCCGAAGCAUAUAUAGACGAGGACGAUUGUUAUUAGUUCAUGUCAGGUAUUCAACUAUUAUACUAUAUAUAAAUUUUGAGUUCAUGUUACGUAUUCAAUUUUUAUUAGUCAUGUUGGUAUUUAUNNNNNNNNNNNNNNNNNNNNNNNNNNNNNNNNNNNNNNNNNNNNNNNNNNNNNNNNNNNNNNNNNNNNNNNNNNNNNNNNNNNNNNNNNNNNNNNNNNNNNNNNNNNNNNNNNNNNNNNNNNNNNNNNNNNNNNNNNNNNNNNNNNNNNNNNNNNNNNNNNNNUCAUGUUGGUAUUUAUGACGAUGAUACACUUAAAUUAUAUACAUUUUAUUACUCUUGUUUGUAUUUAUGUUGUACUAAUUUCAUUUACUCUUUGUCAUGACAGGUGUUGAAAGAUGGUGGGAAAGGGUCGAAAGCACUCCGCGGCUGCUUCUUCGUCGGCGGGUGAUGGGAUGGGUACUUCCAUUCCUGCCUCGCCUCUUCGGAAAGUGUUGCUCUCUACUUUGCAAGGAGCGGCCCCCGUGAGAGGAGGUCGACCCCCCGCGAAGCCGAGAGGCACUAAAGGUACACGUUGUAUUCAUGUUGGUAUUUAUGUUGUACUCAUGUUGUAUGCAUAUUGGUAUUUAUAUACAUUUUAUUACUCAUGUUGGUAUUUAUGUUGUACAAAAGGUACACGUGGCCGCGGGAGAGGUAGGGCUACACGGUCUCCGCCACCACCCCAAGCUGAUUCACCUGAGCACAUGACUUCUAGGGUGGAUUCGUCUGAGGUGGAGGCUACAUGGUCUCUGGUUCACGAGCCUCGGGUCGACGAGCCUUCGAUCCACGAGGCUCCUGUCCCAGAGGCUUCCUUCCAGGCGACUCCGGAGCAAAGCAGGGAUGAGGGUACGUCCCAAGAGACCCAGUGGGAUACCUGGCCUGAGGCAAGUGGCCAUGCUGGUAGCGACGAGGAGCUGGGCGAGGGGGCUACCGUGUACCAGCGUGGUAGUUCGGGGCUCCCGCUCGUGCCAGCGACCCCCGAGCAGAGGUGGUCGAUUAGGCCAAAUGGGGACAAGUAAGUUAAUUUACUCUUGUUUAACCUUUUGCCUUCGGGUUUUCUCAAAUAUCUAAUGUUUUGGCUUUAAUUUGUCAUACUGUAGGGGUUGGAUUGUUGCCAAGGGUGUCCGCAAGCCCAACAUCGUCCUUGGUGUUCUUUGCCGUCAAAACUUCCCAGGGUUUGUUACGUUGCCCGGUCAGGAGCGAGGGGUAGGAAUGACCUGGGAGCACUACUUGGGUGCCCCGGCCCCGCCGGAGGUGGAUAUCGACGGUGUUUUGUGUGACACGAGGGCGGACAUGGUGAUCCGAAAGUUCUGGGUAAUUUCUCUUUCACACAAUUAUAAAUCAACCAUAGCUAUUUAUUGUACUAAUCGGUGUUGUCUCGUUUGCAGACCUACUACAGGUGUGAGGAGGGAUACGAGGAGGACACGACAAAGGUUAUCGAAACCGAAUGUCGCCGCCUACUUCAAAACUUCCGGCACGAGGCUCGGGUGCAGGCUGUUCGAGACUACUAUGCCACGCUGCGUAUUAGGCUUGACAAGGCGAAGUGCCGUGAUGCUAAGAUGGAGAAGGAGCAUUACAUGAAGGUAAUUACAUAUUAUUAAGGCUUUGUAGUUAGUUUCCUUGAUUUGGUUCUUAUGCGCUCAAAUUUCUCUUUAUUAACUUAGGUGCCCCCGAGAUGGUGUGUGGAUAAGAUGGAUUGUUGGGAGGCCUUGGUGGAUCAGUGGUGCUCCGAAACGUGGGAGGCCAGCCACAACAACGCCAAGGAGAGGCGUGGCAAAAUGGUUGGCGUGCCACACCAUCAAGGGAGUGUCAACUUAAUCCAAUUUGGCGAGAACUGGGUAUGUGGUUUGCUUCAUGCCUCAUGCAAUUCAAUUUUCCUUCUCCUUUACCAAUACAAUUUUCCUCUCUCUCUCUUGUAGGCGCGUCACAAUAAGACGGAGGCGCCACAGAUGUACGACCUGUAUGUGAUGGCCCAUACUGCCUCGUACAAGAAGGUCAAGGCAUUCUCUAAGUCUGACCUCGAGCAUCCAGAAAACUUCACCAACAUCUCCUCCCACGACAAGCUCGUGAAGUACAGAGAUCACGGGAAGGCGAGGAAAGGGGAGGACUUUAACCCGAGCGAGGGGCCUAUUGAUCCAGAGCUGGUGAUGAUAGCUGGCAACGGGAGGCCCCAUGGCUCGAUCGCCAUUAGAGACGGCCUUAUACGUUGUCCUAGCUCUCUCCGGCAGAUAAAGGCACGCCAAACGAGCUCUUGUUCGGAGAUAACACGUCGUGCACGGCCAGUCGAGCUCGCUAUCGAGGUUAGUUUAAUGGACUCAAAUAUCUUUCCGCAUUAUGUUGUGCGUUGGAACCAAUAUGCUAACAAUGAGUUGUGUUGUAGGCUGCUAUUCAGAAAGAGAGAGAGGCAAUGCAGGCGGCUAUGGCGGAGAAGGAUAAGGAAAUUAGGGAGCUGGAGGAGACGACGACUGCAUUGGUGGAGGCGGAGAGGGCACGGAAUGAUGCGUCUACCAGGGCCAUAUACGAGCUCUUCAUGGUAAAUUUCUUCUUCAUGUUAUUUCAAAUCUUGCAUUUGAAUGUCCGUUUCAUUAAUAAAUAAAAAGUUUGACUUGUCGAAACCAAAUGUUCAGUCUAUGUGCGAGAAGAACGUCCAAGUCCCUCCGCCGAUGCGAGUCGUUAACGUGGCGGGGACGGUGAGUUUCAUUUCAGUGGAGUGAUCUUAAGAGUGUCCUCAUGCUAACUACACAUUGCAAAUGAUGUUUGGUGCAGAAUAUGUCCCGAAACGCAUCGCACGACCCUUCUACAAUCGAGCCUUCUCUAGGGCAGCCUUCUCCAGGGCAGCCUUCUCCAGGUGAAACAAGCCAGAGCCACCGUGCUUCACCCUAACUUAGGUAUGUUAUUUCUAGUGUUUUAAUAAAAGAUAGCUAGAUGACAUAAUUAGCUUAGUUAGCUCCAAAAAGACCUAUUUAAUAAAAUAUAACUAGAUGAAAUAGUUAGCUUAGUUAGCUUAGUUAGCUUAGUUAGCUUAAUUAGCUUAGUUAGCUUAGUUAGCUCCUCCUUCUCCUUCUUCUUCUUCCUUCUUCCUCCUUCUCCUUCUCCUUCUUCUUGUCUUCUUCUUCUCCUCUUCCUUCUCCUUCUCCUCCUCCUCCUCCUCCUCCUCCUCCUUCUUUUACUUCUUCUUCUCUUUCUCUUAUUCUAUGUAGCUUAGACUCAUCNNNNNNNNNNNNNNNNNNNNNNNNNNNNNNNNNNNNNNNNNNNNNNNNNNNNNNNNNNNNNNNNNNNNNNNNNNNNNNNNNNNNNNNNNNNNNNNNNNNNNNNNNNNNNNNNNNNNNNNNNNNNNNNNNNNNNNNNNNNNNNNNNNNNNNNNNNNNNNNNNNNNNNNNNNNNNNNNNNNNNNNNNNNNNNNNNNNNNNNNNNNNNNNNNNNNNNNNNNNNNNNNNNNNNNNNNNNAAUGACAUAAUUAGCUCCAAAAAGGCAUUCUUAGCCAAUUUAGCCCGAAGAAGGGGACGAGAGGAGAAGAAAGAGGAAAAAUGAAAGGAAGGAAGAAGAAGAAGAGGAGAAGAAGAAGAAGGAGAGGGAGGAGGAUAAGAAGAAGGAGGAGAAGNNNNNNNNNNNNNNNNNNNNNNNNNNNNNNNNNNNNNNNNNNNNNNNNNNNNNNNNNNNNNNNNNNNNNNNNNNNNNNNNNNNNNNNNNNNNNNNNNNNNNNNNNNNNNNNNNNNNNNNNNNNNNNNNNNNNNNNNNNNNNNNNNNNNNNNNNNNNNNNNNNNNNNNNNNNNNNNNNNNNNNNNNNNNNNNNNNNNNNNNNNNNNNNNNNNNNNNNNNNNNNNNNNNNNNNNNNNNNNNNNNNNNNNNNNNNNNNNNNNNNNNNNNNNNNNNNNNNNNNNNNNNNNNNNNNNNNNNNNNNNNNNNNNNNNNNNNNNNNNNNNNNNNNNNNNNNNNNNNNNNNNNNNNNNNNNNNNNNNNNNNNNNNNNNNNNNNNNNNNNNNNNNNNNNNNNNNNNNNNNNNNNNNNNNNNNNNNNNNNNNNNNNNNNNNNNNNNNNNNNNNNNNNNNNNNNNNNNNNNNNNNNNNNNNNNNNNNNNNNNNNNNNNNNNNNNNNNNNNNNNNNNNNNNNNNNNNNNNNNNNNNNNNNNNNNNNNNNNNNNNNNNNNNNNNNNNAUUUAAUAAAAAAUGACCUAUACUUAGCUAAUUAUCCUGGAAAUGACAUAAUAAGGCUUACGUAGCUGCAACAUGACCUAUUCCCCCUAACUUAGAUAUUAAAUGGCCUAUAAUUAGCCGAGCUAGAUCAAAAAUGGCUUAAUAAGCAUAGUUUGCUCCGUAAUGACCUAUUUUACGCAAGUUAGCUCUGAAACGACCUAUAGUUGGCUAGGGUUCCACCUAAAUGACAUAAUUAGCUUAGUUAGCUCCUAAAUGGUCUAUACUUAGCUAAUUUCUCUCCGAAAUAACCUAUAUAUACACUACUUCAUCUAUUAUUAUUCUUCUAACUUUCUUAUUUGUCAUUUUGCAGAUUACCUUCACUUCACGGGAAGCUUGGAAAAUAUUGAUGGAAUGCUUGAAGAUGAUUUCUUGUAUCAUGGGUUGUAUUGAAACUAUUGUAGUAUAUGAAUAUAUGAAACUUUGUAUGCACGUGGAUGAAACUGGUGUAAUAUAUGAAACUUUGUAUGCACGUGGAUGUAACUUGAAAGCUGGAUAUAAGAGGUUAUUUUAAUAUGGUUAUGAGUACGGAAAGAAAUUUAUUUAUGUCAAAUAUAUAUAUAUAUAUAUCCUGAUUAUUGUUAAAAAUGCUGGAUAUAACAAAAAAUAAAUAAAUAAGGGGCUGGUUCCCCUCUUUGCCGUCUGCCCCAAGAUGGCAAAGGGGGGAAUCNNNNNNNNNNNNNNNNNNNNNNNNNNNNNNNNNNNNNNNNNNNNNNNNNNNNNNNNNNNNNNNNNNNNNNNNNNNNNNNNNNNNNNNNNNNNNNNNNNNNNNNNNNNNNNNNNNNNNNNNNNNNNNNNNNNNNNNNNNNNNNNNNNNNNNNNNNNNNNNNNNNNNNNNNNNNNNNNNNNNNNNNNNNNNNNNNNNNNNNNNNNNNNNNNNNNNNNNNNNNNNNNNNNNNNNNNNNNNNNNNNNNNNNNNNNNNNNNNNNNNNNNNNNNNNGUCUGCCCCCACAUGGCAAAGGAGGGGAGGCAGACGGCAAAGGGGGGGAAUCUGCCCCCUCUCUCUCCCCUCUUUGCCGUCUGCCCCCACAUGCCAAAGGAGGGGAGGCAGACGGCAAAGGGAGGAGGCCUGCCGUUAACACUUAACGGGGACGUUGCACCCUUUGCCGUCCCAGUUAAUUUGCCGUCUGCCCACUCAUGGCAAAGAUUCUUUGCCGUCCGCUUUGGGAAAGCUGACGGCAAAGAACCUCUUCACCGGAUUUUUUUUACCGUCUACUUUGCCAUCUCCUGACCGACGGCAAAGCCUUUCCCGUCCGUGGUUGCACCCUUUGCCGUUCGCUUAGGCAGACGGCAAAUUUAUGAAUUUCAGUAGUGAGUACGAGUCCUUAUCGACCUACGAGGUAUGAUAGUAACUUGAUUUGAAGCUUCAUGAUCACCAUCAUUAGCUUCCUCUUCAGCUGAUGUAGGCGCCACAGGAACAUCUUCCUGCACCGUGCUACCCUCUUGUUGAACUAACGGUUCAAUAACCACAUCAAGUUCUAUCUUCCUCCCACUCAAUUAUUUUGGGAGAAACUCUUUCUCGACAAAGGAACCUUUUUAGCGACAAACACUUUGCCCUCGGAUCUGAGAUAGAAGGCAUACGCAAUAGUUUCCUUUGGAUAUUCUAUGAAGUUGCAUUUAUCCGCUUUGGGUUCGAGCUUAUCAGACUGAAGCCUUUUGACAUAAGUAUCAUAGCCCCAAACAUGAAGAAACGACAGCUUAGGUUUCUUGCCAAACCAUAAUUCAUACGGUAUCGUCUCAAUGGAUUUAGAUGGAUCCCUAUUUAAAGUGAAUGCAAUUAUAUCUAAUACAUAGAUCCAAAAUGAUAGUGGAAAAUUGGUAAGAGACAUUAUAGAAUGCACCAUAUCCAAUAAAGUACGAUUAUGACAUUCAAACACACCAUUACGCUGUGGCGUUCCAAGCGACGUGAGCUGUGAAACAAUUCCACACUGUCUUAAGUGCAUGCCAAACUCAUAACUCAGAUAAUCUCCUCCUCGAUUAGAUCACAAGAAUUUAGUCUUCUUGUUACGAUGAUUCUCAACUUCACUCUGGAAUUGCCUGAACUUUUCAAACAUUUCAGACUUGUGCUUCAUCAAGUAAGUAUACCCAUAUCUACUCAAAUCAUCGGUGAAGGUGAGAAAGUAACGAUAGCCACCGCGCGCCUCAACACUCAUUGGACCACACACAUCAGUAUGUAUUACUUCCAACAAGUCACUUGCUCAUUCUAUUGUACCAGAAAAUGGGGUUUUAGUCUUCUUGCCCACAAGGCAUGGUUCACAUGUGUCAUGUAAUUCAAAAUCAAUUGACUCCAAAAGUCCAUCAUCAUGGAGCUUCCUCAUUCAUUUUAUACCAAUAUGACCUAUGUGGUAGUGCCACAAGAAAUUGGUACUAUCAUUAUUAACUCUACAUCUUUUGGCAUCAAUGUUAUAAAUAUGUGUAUCAUUACUACCGAGAUUCAACAAGAAUAAACCAUUCACAUUGGGUGCAUGACCAUAGAAGAUAUUACUCAUACAAAUAGAACAACCAUUCUUCUAUGAUUUAAAUGAGUAACCGUCUUGCAUUAAACAAGACCCAGAUAUAAUGUUCAUGCUUAACGCACGCACCAAAUAACAAUUAUUUAGGUUCAUGACUAAUCCCAAUGGUAAUUGAAGAGCGAACGUGCUGAAGACGAUCAAAUCAACCUUGGAACCAUUUCCCACGCACAUCGCCACUUUGUCCUUUGCCAGCGUGCAUUUAUUCCAUAGUUCCUUUUUUGAGUUACAAAUAUGAUCGACCGAACUGGUAUCAAAUACCAGUGCACUACUACGAGAGCUAGUAUGGUACAUAGCAACAAAAUGUAUGUCAUAUAUACCUUUUAUCGUGGUUCUGUCACAGUAGAUGUCCUCGUGAAAGGACUAAGUCUAGGAGCCAUCGCAACUAGGUGGCGACUUGAAGGGGUUAAUCGGGAGACAAGAGACGUGAGUUUACCCAAGUUCGGCCCCUCCGACGGUCUUGAUUACAAGGGUCUAUUGAUGAUGAUGGUCUUGAUUACAAGGGUGCGUAAUCGCUAACCUAGCUCUUGAGUGUUUCUUACUUGUCCUUUUGCACCUCACGGCCCCCUUUAUAUAUGCGGUUGGAGGCCGUGAGAUUACAAUAGAGUUUGGGUUGUAUUGCAACUCGUGUCCUCUUCUACUUCUUACUAACUUGGGAUAAGGAGAAUCACCAUGUUUCCCUUGAUUAGACGGCCUCCAUGUGAUGGGCUUGAGCCGACCUUUGGCGAGUUGCCCCUUGGGCCUCUGCAUCGAGGGCCUCCUGCCCAAAGUAUAGUCUAGGUGGGUUAUCCCCAUUGUGGGUUGACCCAUGGGGUAUAUACCCAACAUUAGCCCCCUUUAGUUUGAAUUUAUUCAUGUUAAACUUUAUCUUGAAAAAUGAGAGAAACAAACUCAAAGGUUAGGAUUAGGAUGAGUCGCCUUUUGGGUUGGCAAUCUCCCUAUGAGAAAGAUAUUUGCCCGAGUCAAUAUUUUGCCGGGCAUGUGUCUUGUUCAGGACUUGGUACUUUCUCCAAUCGUAGUGGUCAUGUCGCCAUCAUAGUUGCUGCUGCUGUCACCUAGUCAUCAUAGCGGAUCUUACCCAACAGUGUUCAAAUCUCCAUCACGCGCAAAAAUUGAGGCGUCCACUUUGCCGCCAAUUACUCCAUUUUUUAAUGCACCUCUUCGAGUCUUAUUAUUAUAAAUAAACCAGCCAGGUUUACUUUUUCACUUCUUAUUCUUCCUCUCGCCCGCAGUCCUCUCUCGAACUCCGAUGACGUCCAUCCUUCAUGCGACUUCAUUUCUUUGCAACCAUCACCGGGAUUCAUCUCUGUUAAUAGCGGAGGUCUCCCGUGCGCGGUCAACCACAACCCUCUCCCGCUUCUAUCUUUGAGUCCCCAUUAUCACUUUUGAGGUCACCAUUGCCAUUCAUAGUUCAUCAGAAGUUCAUCAUGCGAGUUGUAGAUUGCAGUCGUAGAUCUCUUGCUUUGUCAUGUGUGCAUUUGAUGCGGUUUCACCACCGCUAUCGUCCGACAACUCUUGUAGAUCUGUAGUAGAUUCAUAUUGCCUUCCCGUAGACAUUUUGUCUCUGUAGUUCUGUUAUUUAAAAUGUAUUUCUUCCCCUUUUUAUGCAUCAUACAUAUUCAAUUGCUCAACCAGUUACAUAGAAAAUCGGUUUGUGGUUAGAUUUCACUAAGUCAUGAUAGGGUCUCUGGACCACUCCUAAGCCGACUUCAUGUAUGCGUGAAACAUUUAAUAUUCUCCAUCAGCCAACUUACUCAAAGGGGGAUUAUUAUAUGACUGAAUUGUAUGAUCCACCAAAUUCUUCUUUACAAUGUCGACUCUUCUAAAAUGCGUCUGACUUUAGCCAAUGUAUUGCUUGAAAGCGGCUUAAAAACCGACUCAUCAUACUUUUCUCUUUAGGUGUUGUAGUCCUAUGUUUGCAAGACCAUCAUGCCUUCCAAGACAUGCAAAGCUUGCGGUUAGGUCAGAUCUCAAGAAUUUGUCCUAACCUUGGAUAAGCUUGUCACCCAAGGCCCUUUACUGUCUAAAAAUGUAAUCAACUACCAGGCUCCUGACGAAGAAAGUCCCCACAACCCAAGCAAGGGUAAAUAGUUUGUUUCAUUGACCACAUGAAAAGGGGAUUUUGCCCCCGGCUCAAAAUUCUUCAAAAAUCUCCUUCACUUUUAUAACCUCAGGCCCCAAGAUAUUGGUCCCAAUUCAGUGACCAGCAUUUUCCAAUUCCAUGUACUCUGUGAAGUGUAUCUUCAAAUAGAGCCAUAUGUGACUCUCUUCGGAGAAUUCUUUUAUCUUAACCAUCAUACUGAAGUUAAGGAAGGCCCUAGUGUUGAACUUGGUGGAUUUUCUAUGCAAAAGAGAAAGAAAAAUAUUUUUCCUAAUACCAAACUGGCGAGUCAUCCAAAAGGGUGGAACAAAACCUGGUUCUAUUGUAAAACCACCGCUCCUGUGACCUAUUGUUGGGUUAUACAUUGGACCGUCUUGGUGCCAAUGAGGAUCCCCUAGUUUGGCCAACUAAGAAAGAAAAUAAAUUGCUCACCCCCAUGUUGUUGAAGUUGAAAGCCCUUAAUGCCAAUGGCCUCACUGGGAUCGAUCUGAUCCGAUCUUGGAUCAUGUGGAGGAUUCAACCUGUCACUAUAAGAGGCGACUUAAUGUGCAAUUAUACCAGCGAGUUGAAGGAUGCACAACACUUCAACAAGAGAGAAUUGACUAAGAAAGCUGUCAACAAACUGACCAAAACAUCCUUCUCUUACUCUAAGGAAAAGAUGCAGAAAAACCGGGCUAGCUCCAUUCUACUUGAAAAAUCUAGUCCCUGUAGUAAGUAUUCUAUCAACUUUUGUCUAGUUCCUUUUCUACUUUAUUUGGUGCUCCACUCUAAUUUCCGAGCUUAUAUCUUUGUAGGACGACUUCGACUUCUGGAAAACCGUUCCCAAGGCUUCCACUCCUUCUUCGAGCCGUCAAAAAGAAAAUGCAUCUUAGCCAUCUUCAGGAGAGGAAUCUGAGGUAAACCUCGAUUCACUUGGUCAUUUAUUUAUCAAUCUUGCUUACGCAUCCUCUUAUGAGGAUAACACUGAGACUAGUCAAGCCCGCGAUGUCGUGGUAAUUUCGAUCUACUCCAGUUGUUGAGAAACAUGUGUUGUCAAGAAGACAUGACGUACCGUCAGAAAGGUUAAAUUUUCAAAUCCAGGUGCUUACGUAGAUCCCAACUCUCUUUUGAAGUGAGAUCCACAAGCUGCCCAUUCAAAAUGCAAAACCGGAGUUGCUCCAGAGACUUCUCUGUGGGCUUAGAACCACUGACUUGCAAGCAACGCCAAGAGGUGCGACAUGGUCCAAUUGUUUCUCAUCCUCAAGCCGGUCUCUUAAUACAACCCCUUAGUCCGUCUAAUUCACUUUAUCUCCAGGAGUCGUCUCGUUCAUAUAUUUAUUCAACUGUGACUCAACUUCCGACUUUCACCAUCAAUCGUAGGUAAGCUUGUAUUUAAGCUGUCUUUUGUUGACCACAUCGUCACUCUUUGUUUGCAUAUUUUGAUAAACCUAUUUUGUUGAUCUGUAGAGCCAAAGCUUUUGUUAGAACAAAGGCGGGAGAACCUUCUUCCACUGCUGGGGAAGAUAAUGUCCAAAAUCCCUCUUCUUCUGAAGCGGUAGCAAAUAACCCACAAGUGUAGGGGAUCACAACAGUCUUCACGAGUAGUAUUUCACCCUAAUUUAUUGAUUCUACACAAGGGGAGCCCAAGAAUAUUUAUUGGCCAUGAUAAUUGAGUUGGAAAUUCAACAACACUUGGGAUAUCUUUCUACAACAAGUAUUUAGUAGCACAUAAAGUGAUAGUAGUAAUAGUAAUAGUGAUAGCAGCAAUUUUGGUAACAGUAACAACAGUAGCAAUUUGGUAGAAGGUGUGAUAGUAGCAACAAUAGUACUAACUUAGCAUGAUUCCGUAUAUGUAACACGUAGGCACGUGGAUCAGCAAUAAAUAAUGAUUUAUAUGACAUUGAUCAUAUAAUAGUUACACACUAGGGCGACACACAACUAUCUCCAAUUCAUCAAUAUAAUGUAGGCAUCUAUUCCAUAUAUAGGCAUACGUGCUUGCGAUAAGUACCUGCAUGGCAUCUUUUGUUCUACCUCCCCCCCCCCCCCCCCCCCCGGUGGCAGCGGGUCCCAUNNNNNNNNNNNNNNNNNNNNNNNNNNNNNNNNNNNNNNNNNNNNNNNNNNNNNNNNNNNNNNNNNNNNNNNNNNNNNNNNNNNNNNNNNNNNNNNNNNNNUUCAGAAGAACGCAAUCAUGCAUAAAAUAUGGGAUGCAAAUGAAUGAUCUAUUAACAUCCGUAUUUACGAAAAUUGGGAUGUUACAUUAGGGUUGCUCUGAAACCCAAAUUGAUUGUUAUUUUGUUGAUUUCCUUGGUCAGAACAUUGCCUAUUACCAGAAUUCCCUUGGUGCUGAUAAUUUCAUCUAGAGCCGCCUUGUUCGUUAAAUCCUGACCCACGGAAACCUCCAAACAAGCCGCCUUGCGGGCCGGGUUGUCCAUACUGACUUGAAUGUCCACCAUUAGCCCCCAGGUGGCCCUGAAAGGCUUGAUUUCCAAACUCCUGCAUGAUAUAGCAAUUUUCCCACGAAUGAUUAGAUGGAUUACCUUGAGUACUAUGCUUUGGGCAAGGCGCUUUUAGCGCCUCCUCAUAGUUGUGCAGCUUAUUCCCACUAUAAGACCCUCCUGAACAGCGUUGGUGUUUGAACCCAGUGUUGGCCACGAACUCUAAGUCGCCCUCAGGAUGCUUCCGUUUAUUUUUGUGGUUUCCCUAGUUCCCACUUUGUUGGCUACCUUUGGCACCCUCUCCUUUCUUUCCCUUGCCGGCCUUAUCCUCAUCUGACCCCGGGCUCUUUCAUGCCAUCUGACUCGGCAUACCUAGUAAGAACAUCCAUCAAGUCGUCCAUGUCCUGAGUCUUUCGCUUCAAACAACCCAACUUAAGAACUAGUGUCUGGAAAUGAAAAUUCUUCUCCAAGAUCAAAACGGCUUGCAAGGUUGUUAUACUAUCCAAUGAAUGAAUUAUUUCCGCAACCCGACGAGUCCAAUGAUGGGCUGACUCGCCCGUGCGCUGAACGCGGUGCUAGAGAUCCACAAUUGCCAUCGAGCACUUGCAUGCUCCUUGAUUUUUUUUGAUGAAAUGUUCCUUCAGCUCCGCCCCAAGUGUUGAUGGAAUUAGGUGGAAGAUUUUUAAGCUAAGUUCGGGUCGGUCCUUCCAACAUCAUCGUCAGAUACUUUGCACAUACUGCGUCGCUGACGUCGAGCAUGUCCAUGGCUAGCUCGUAACUUUCAGUCCAUGCCACUUGCUCAAGAUCUGACGUACAGUUUGGCACCUUACGAGGUCCUUUGAAGUCUUUAGGCAUGGGCUCACUUCAAAGAGCCGCAGACAAACACGGAACACCAAUCAUCCUGGUGCUACUUCUGGCUCCAUGUGUUGCUGACUCGGGCUCUGUUAGAGGCGGUUGAGCCGCUUGCCUCAUGGCCGCUUCUGCCUCCGCGUAACGGGCGACUCUUGUUGUGUCCACCAAGUGUUGGGCAUUCUAUAAUCCUAGCCGGGUCGAGGAAAACCCAAGUUUGUUUUCACCGUGCGUUACUGGAAACAGUCGGCAACUCCCCAUGAUGGCUGACAUAAGGUGUAGAGUGCAUUCAAUCUCGACUGUAUGAGUACUGCACCUGUUGGGCCACUGUCGUCUUUAGCAUCUCAAUCGUGUUCCUAGCUUCAAUUUCCACCGGGGUGCGCCUGUGUAUGGGGAGCGCCUCCAAGUGAUGCGUUGCAGCCAACAUAUUAUCAACGGGGUUAGAAAAAUGACCCCGUGAUGUGUGAAAAUGUUGUGGCGAUGCCUGAGUCGACUAUACCUGAGCCGUUUGUGCUUGAGUCGGCUAUCCCUGAUCAAGCAUCGGGUUCUGUGCAGUGCCACGGGUACGCGGACUAGCGAAUAGGCACGUCGGUGUUAGGUCUGGUGGUAACUAGGAUUGAUGCCUCCUUAGGUGAACUGCCUCAUUGGUGUGUUGACGAAGUCCAAGAUGCCACGCCUUUACUCGUAGACUAACCCACUCAUCACGGAUUCGAGCCUGCGUCUCUGCCAUCCAGAUGUUCUCGGCAUCGAUCUCUUUCUGAACCUUGAGCAUCUUUGUGUGGAGUUUCAUUAGUUUUGCGUUACGCGCUUCCUGAUUCUCCUCAGUAACUGUAUCCUCCAAGAGUUUGGUCAUCUCGGCCACUAGGUCAAUCAUGGCUUGAUCCAGCGUUUUACUCUACCCACCAGUCUCGUUGGUAUCUCCGGUUGCAGCUGGUUCAUCUGGUUUUACUCGGUGUGGCUCCAGCCAUGUAAAUAAUGACUUGCCGAGGCGGGUCAUUUGGUUCCCUCGCCGCUUCUUCCACCAGGGCCUCCCCAAGCUUAUUACUGAGGGGAAAGAUGGAUCGGGUGUCUCCUGUGGAGUACUUGCCCUCAUGGUUGUGGUUGUCGGGGAUGUCUUCAUCGCUUACCUGUUCAUCCGUAAGGCUGAGCCCCUGGGUGAAUCCGACAAACAUGUGAUAACUACCUAUUUGGAGAUGACCGUGCAAGUCGCGCCAACUCGGCUCAUUGAUUGUGGUGUAGAUGUCCGAUCUGGGCGUCGUUGCGCAGAUGUGACCGAACGGGAUCUGCGAACUAGUUUAUGCUAAGUCCGCCUUUAAGUCCCCACCUUUGUUGUCGAUGUAGCAAUUGUUGCGGCGACUCUUGAUCAUCACGGCCACCGCGCGACUCACAAAUCCCGGAAGGGUUCCCUUUGAGAACUCAACUCCACCUUGCGAUUGCCCCACGGUGGGCGCCAACUGUCGUGGUUUUGUCACGGUAGAUGUCCUCGUGAACGGACUUAGUGGUGAGGCCAUUGUCGCGGUGUGGCGACUUGAAGGGGAUGAUUGGGAAACGAGAGGCGGAUUUACCCAGGUUCGGCCCCUCCGAUGGAGGUAAAAUCCUACAUCCUGCUUUGUGUAUGUAUUGAUGGGAAUCUCGAUUACAAGGGUGCGGAAUCGCUAACCUAGCUCUCGAGGGUUUCUUACUUGAUCUUUCUAACUUGAGGGCUCUCCUUUUUAUAUAGGUAAUAUCCCCAAGUUUACAACAGAGUCCGGGUCAAAUAAUACCCGUGACCUAUUACAAGUCUACCUCAUCUUUCUUCCCAAGUUAGGAAAACUUUCGGCAUCUCUUGCCUUGUAUGUCUUUGAGUGGCUGUCUUCUGAUGAUGGGGCGCUAGGUGGUUUGUCGAUUAAGUCCUCCGGCACACCUUCUCAUGUUGUUCGUGCGGCUUGACCCGGACCCAUAGGGCGGGUUAAAUCAUGGGGUUAUAUCCCCGACAAAGAGUUAUCUAGCUACACUGAUCCUGACACGAGGAAGAUACACUUGUUUGCAUAUUUGCUAUAGUUGUUUGGUUUAAUGUUUCUGAAUUCUCACGGUGAGGUAGUUCUACCUAGUCUCAUCUACUUUGCCUAGAAGAUAGUGGACGAACCAUUACCUGGGGAUCCAAAAUACAUCUUUGGUUCCGUUAUCCUUUCUCAUACAUAUAGAGCGUUGUGUGAUGCCACACAAAAAUCUUCGUUCAUAGCGAAAGCUCCAUUACUUUGUGUCUCGUACGAGUUUCUACAGUUGUGGUUAUGGGAAUACCUACCUGGAGGACAAUCCCAAAUAGUAAAUCCCGUAACCCCAUACGACAAUGGUGAGGGCAUUGUAACUAUGUCCACCCGGUGGACACUCGCUCGAAAAAAAAUGGUCUCCAAAAGUUGCAGAAGGUUGUUACCCCGUAUACCAUGAAUAGUUUAAGCUUCUUGACGAAUCACUAAUCACAUGGAACCCAUGGACUGAGCUACACAUUAACAUAGUAUUUGGUUCGCAUAACAUCCUAGUCGAAUGCGUGAGAGAUAGUGGCUUCUAGCUGACUUGCUGCAACUUGGUAUAUCUAUGGUUUGUUGAACCGUACAAUCGUGAGCUUGUCAUGAGACAGUUCGGUCUAUAUCAAGAUAUUCCACCACCUUUUCUGAGAUGUAUCAAUGAAGAAACUCAUAAGUAAGAUCCGACCUCCCUAAAUAGUUAACGUCUUUUUAAUUCACAAAACUUACAUUUUGUUACAUAAAUAUAGGGAUGAGCAAUAUGGCAAACCUGGUUACAAUUGGAGGGCACACAACAUUCAAUGGAUAAACCAGUGGGAAAUAAAUCACUAGUAAAUAUAGUGCAUCAAGCUAGGUAAAUUUUACUUACAGUAUUUUAUGUACAUACACAGGUUGAUGUAAUUAUUUAAUUUUGCAGACCGUACAAUUCAACUACAACACAAACAUAUUACGAGUGAUACUCCAUGAGCACACGUACAAGACUAACCGGUCAACCACAUUUGAGGCCAACACACCCCACACACAUGAAACAGUUGCAGGGAUGGAUUAACACAUCAUAUGCUUACUAUCUGACACCACGGUAAUAAAAAUUAAAUUAUUAUGGUCCAUCAUUUCAUGAACAGUUCAAUCAACCAACAACCAAAUUUUGUUCAGAUUGAUAUUUGCAACAAAGUAGAGGCGAUAGCGAGGGAAGGCAUGCAAACACAGGGCGUACCAGCUCAUGCAAGGUCAUACUUCAAAAAAAUUACAAACUAUGUCUCCACAAAGAUGAGAUGCGGUAGAUACAACGAUGUUGCCAAUGGAGCAUACAACAUGCUGGAACAGAGGUCAGCAAGAACGAGGGUGGCGCCGCCAUCGUCCAGGUGGUGAGCGGAGGGUCCGAAUACUACAACAACGUUUCCACGGCAUGACUCAUCUCUGCCACUACAUCUCUCUCCUUUGGUGUGGCUUUCUCAGGGGCAGACAUCCCAGGUACAUGGUGCGAGCUUGGAUUCGAUGUCCGAGCAGGCUCGUUUCAUGGACCCAAAUGCGUACACAGGAUAUGGCUCAUACACCCAAGGUGAUGGAUCUCGAUGCCCGAGGAGACUCGUUUGCGAGAGAUAAACCAGUACACUAGAGGCGAGGGAUCACAAAGCUACAACACGAGUAAGUUCAACAAUAAUAAGAAAUUACAAGCAUACAACAUUUUUAGAACAUCUAUGUACAUACAAUUUUUUUGUGUGCAGGAAAGUGAUGAUCCAACAUGGAAAGAUGAAGAAACCCAACGUGGCAUAAACCUAGACAUCCUCAGAUAAUCCCUUGCUCCUUGAUACAAGGUCCCUAGAUUAAUUGUAGACUUUUUCCAUGAUAACAUUAUUGGCCCAUCUUAUAUCUCUCGAGAGUCACAACAAUAUGGAUUGCAGACUCCACCACCUAUAAUUUUGAAUCAGCAUCUCAAUAUGGAUUGAAGACUCCAUCACCUAUGCAGGAGUCACACACACAGGAAGAUGAGGGGCAGUACGGUCGUGGUCUUCGUGAACACCGACUCCCUAAUCGCUUGUCGCCUUCCAGUCGUCAGGAGAGGCCACCUCAUCGUCGUUGCGUAGGGUGAUUUGUCAAUCUAUGUGUGCGAACUAUUCUAUCUAUCUAUGUUAGUUUCAAACUUUCAUAUUUAAAGCACAAUAUGCUCCCUUGGUGGUUUUGAUAAUUCAUAACAACAUACAUUGUCUCUUGGACUAACAUUUUUACCUAGAUAUUUCAGGAAUAGUUCAUGGAGAGCUUUCGCUAAAGGCUUAUGCGGAGAUGCCCCUUGAUGCAAGAAAGGAAUAAGAUUGGCUCAAGCUUCAAUCUAGAAGACUCUUCAUUUUAUAUUUGUGAGAAAUCACCUGUGAGUCAAUAGGAAAGCCAAUACUAUAAAAGGGGGCGAGGUAGUAAAAUGCACUGUUCGCUCAAGUGCUCAACGUUAUCCACCAAAAUACUCAGUCAUUUUUCCCACAUAACCAUUCUGUCCAAUUCCACAUAGUCAAUUUUGGUGUCACCAAAUUUCAUAUUUCGGACCCACUGAGUUUGACCUCAGACAGAAACCCUAGCCAUUCCCACCAAAUCGGUGCAACCGAAUCCAUAUCGGUGCUACCGAGUUCAGGGUGACCAACUUUCUAUUGCCUCGGUACACAAAAUCGAAAUUUCCGAGUUUGAGUAUCGGUGCCACCGAGUUUGGUCAUCUGAGUUAGACACAUUUUCGGUGCCACCAAGUUAUGUAUAUCCGUCCGACCGAGAUUCAUAAGUUACUGCCUUUUGUGUGAACUGGUAUCACUGAGUUUGUGACUUCGGUGUCACCGAGUUUGCCACUUUAGGUGUAACGGUUGGAUUUUGUGUGCUGCCUAUAUAUACCCCUUCACCGACCUCUCAUUUGUGGGAGAAGCACUCAGAACACACACACUUCAUUGCCAAAUCCUUUUCGUGAGAGAGAACCACCUACUCAUGUGUUGAGACCAAGAAAUUCCAAUCCAAUCAUUUGAAACCUGAUCUCUAGCCUCCCCAAACUACUUUCCACCAAAUCAAUCUCUCCUACCCAUGCCUAUUCUAUGAGAGAGUGAUUUUGUGUUGAGGAUACUAUCUUUAGAAGCACACAAGCAAGGAGUCCAUUGAUCUACCACAUCUAUUACCUUUUGGAGGGUGGUGCCUCCUAGAUUGGUUAGGUGUCGCUUGAGAGCCUCCUACUUCGUGUUGUCGAGUUGAACCAAGAUGUUUGUAAGGGCAAGGAGAUCGCCUACUUCGUGAAGAUCUACCAUGAGUAAGGCUAGUCCUUCGUGGGUGAAAGUCGUGGUGGAAUAGACAAGUCCGCUUCUUCGUAGACCCCUUGUGGGUGGAUCCCUCCAUGGACUCUCGCAGCUGUUACCCUCCGUGGGUUGAAGUCUCCACUAACAUGGAUGUACGAUAGCGUCACCUAUCGGAACCACGCCAAAAUAGUUGUGUCAACCUCUUUGUGUUUGAUCUCCUAAACUCUACUCCUUUACAUGUGCAAAGUCUUUACUUUUCCGCUACCAUAUAUGAUGACUAGCAUGUGUAGGGUGUACUAGACUUGUUAGAACUGUUGUAUUUCUGCCUUCCUUAAAUUGGGUUAAGCUAGGAAUUUUAUCUUGACAAGUAGACUAUUCACCCCCCCUCUAGACACAUAUACUACCGAUCCUACAAUUGAUAUUAGAGCAAGGUCUCCAAAACCUUGGUUUAAUUACUGUUGGAGGAAGAUGAAUGUGACUAGUUCAGGGCUUUUUAGUUGUAGAGUGCCUAUUCUUGAUGGGGAGUUUUGAGAUAAUGGAAAGAUGAAAUGCUUGAUAUAUUUGAUGAGUUCCAUUUGCAAAAGUAUGUUGAAUAUCCCUAUGCGCCUCCCAUUGAUCCCAUACAUCCUUCUCACGAUGAUUAAGAAGAAGGUCCACCAUCCAACAAGAAGAAGCUGUCAAGAGUUAGACCAAGAGUGGACAGAGAUCAUCUGCUGAAUCAAAUCUAUGGUGGCAUAAAAACCGGGAGAAUCACUCGCUCUAAAUAUCAUUUAGCUAACUUUUGUGAGAAUUGUUCUUUCAUCUCUAGAAUUGAACCUUUGAAGUUUGAAGAAGCCCUUCAAGAUCCGGAUUGGGUGAAUGCCAUGCACGAAGAGCUACACAACUUCGAGAGGAACCAAGUAUGGACACUUGUUGAAAAGCCCGAAGGCGAGCAAAACAUCGUUGGUACAAGAAGGGUGUUUCGGAACAAGCAAGAUGAAGACGGACAAGUUGUAUGUAACAAGGCGCGUCCCGUAGCCCAAGGAUACAUGCAAGUCAAAGGUAUGGACUACGGUAAGACUUAUGCUCCUGUUACUAGACUUGAAGCCAUUCACAUUCUUCUAGCUUAUGCCAAUAACCAUGAUAUUACUCUUUACCAAUUGGAUAUCAAAAGUGCUUUUCUCAUUGGAGAAAUUGAGGAGGAAGUUUAUGUUAAACAACCUCCUGGAUUUUUUAACCCUAAGAAACCUGAUCAUAUUUACAAACUUCGUAAAGCUUUAUAUGGACUUAAACAAGCCCCUAGAGCUUGGUACAAAUGCCUAACGAAGUUCCUUAUAGAAAAGCGUUUUGAGAUUGGUAAAAUUGAUGCAACCUUAUCCACUAAAAGAGUUAAUGGAGAACUAUUUUCUUUCCAAAUAUAUGUGGAUGAUAUUAUCUUUGGUUAUACUGACCCACAUUAUAGUGAAAAGUUUGGAAAGUUGAUCUCACAGAAGUAUGAGAUGUCCAUGAUGAGUGAACUGAAGUUCUUUCUUGGAUUUCAAAUCAAACAAUCGAGAGAAGGUACGUUUAUCUCUCAAACAAAGUACACCAAGGGCUUAAUCAGAAAGUUUAACAUGCAAGAAUGCAAACGUAUGAGAACCCCCAUGCCUACUAGUGGACAUCUUGACCUCACUAAGGUGGACAAACCAGUUGAUCAAAAGGUUUAUCGAUCAACGAUUGGUUCAUUGCUAUAUUUAUGUGCCUACCGUCCUGACAUCAUGUUGAGUGUUUGGAUGUGUGCCCGAUACCAAGCAGCACCAAAAGAGUGUCAUCUAUUGUCUAUAAAAAGGAUAGUGAGAUACCUUAUACAUACACCAAACUUUGGCAUAUGGUAUCCCAAGGGAUCUUCUUUUAAUCUUGUUGUCUAUUCCGACUCGGACUAUGCUGGAGACAAGGUUGAUAGUAAAUCUACCUCGGGUACAUGUCAAUUUCUUGGGAGAUCUCUUGUGUCUUGGUCAUCCAAGACACAAAACUCGGUAUCCUUAUCUAUUGCCGAAGCUGAAUACAUUUCCGCUGGAUCAUGUUGUGCACAAUUAUUUUGGAUGACUCAAACACUUAAGGAUUAUGGCGCUCAUGUUAGAAAAAUUCCAUUGUUAUGCGACAAUGGAGGUGCUAUUAAGAUUGCCAAUAAUCUCGUGCAGCAUUCUAGAACAAAACAUAUCAAAGUGCGGCGUCAUUUCAUUCGUGAUCAUGUUGGCAAAGGAGAUAUGGAUCUCAAGCAUGUUCAUACUGACAAACAAUUAGCUGAUAUCUUUACCAAACCACUUGAUGAGAAAGUGUUCUCUCAUUUGAGGAGUGAGUUGAACAUCAUUGAUGCGUCAAACCUGAGCUAGACUCACUCGGAUGCAUGCAGGGGCAUGAGCUUGAUUGCCCAUUCCAUGAUGCCAUUGAUAUGACUAUCUUAUAUCUUGGAAACUAUGCUCCCUUGUAUUGCAUCUAACCUUUUGUAGGUACUUGGAAGAAAUACACUCCAGAAUAUUGCAAUCAAUUCACAUCAGAAGCAAUCUUGACAUGGCCAAGCAUCUACAACCCCUUUUCUUCGGAGAUGGAGGAAGAAGACAACAAAAUCAUAUCCUUGACAAUUCUAUGAUAUUGAAUUUCACUCAUGUCAUUUGGAUAUAUUAUGUUCUUCCUUGCAUGACUAACCAUACUAGGUGAAAAGUGAACCCAAACGACAUGGAUAGCUGCCAACGCAAGAUGACCUUCAUCAACUUUGAGCAUCCACAACAAGUUCACCUACAUGCCACGUCAUCAACAUAAUUCGAAGGUAUGUACUCAUAUCCUUGGUAAAGCUUUACACCAAUUCAUGGGGUAAGGCAACUCAAGUGAUCUGAAGACAUUGAAAUGCUUAAUAAAAAAAUGGUAACCCCAUUUUGCGCUUAAUGAUGACUAUGACCUAUGAUCAAGCAUCCUUGCUUGACUCCUCAAGUCAAAUACUCUAAUAUAGGUGACCUAGUCACCGCCCCACAUCUAGAUGGAGAUUAUUGUAUGGUUCACAUUUGACAUUUCAUAUUCUUUUGGAACCAUUCAACUCUCAUCUAAAUGUAUGUAUAUACUUUUAAAAAUAAUAAUAAAUAUUUGCUGCUACCUUAUGUUUUUUCGUUUACAAUUGUUCUCUUUCACAAUUGGUAUCUUCUACAAGUGAUAUCUUGAAACAAAUCUUCGAUUCUUAUCUGUCUAUUUUCAGUUAAGGAGUUGAUUUUCAUUGCAACUCGGUCUCACCGAUCUGGGAAAUUCGGUCCAAACCCUUUCUCCCAAAGGCCUGAUUCUCAUUCCUGGUCCUACCAAACCAAUUUGCCUCGCUGACUCCGAUGUUAUCACUACCUUAGAUUUUCUUAUAUUUUCUAGAUUUUAGACUUAGGGGAGAAAGAUUAUCAAUGAUCCCAUGUUUAAUUGCCUUCUAAGAUCUCACUGAAAAAUUUCUGAGACAAAAUCCGUUUUAGCAUUAUUUAUCUAGGGGGAGAAAACUUCUCUUGGGGGAGAAAAAAACCCUUAGUGAUCCCAUAAAAUAUAAGAGGGAGAAUCAUCUAGGAUCCCUAACAUAGGGUGAUAUAGUUUGAGGAGCUCUUAUCCAUAUCAAAGGGGGAGAACAUUCGAUGAACCCUACAGGUUGUCCAAUGGGGAGAAAAGACAAAUUCAAGGAACCGUUAUAAAAGAGAGAAGUAUCAAGGAUCCCUUUCUCUCAGUGAGCCCUUACCCUCUGUCCUUUUUGGAAAUUAAUGCAAAAGGGGGAGAAAUAUCAAAGCUUCCACCCAAUGAACCUAUUUAUAGGGGAGAAAUAUCACCAAGAAGCUUACACAAAAGGGGGAUAAAUAUCAAUCGGGGAGAUAUAUGUUCCUAAAGGAAGGUCUACCUAAAGGGAGAUGUGUCAAACCUUACACACUACUAGGGAGAGAGAUAAAGUUGUUCUAUUGGUUUGAACUUAUCUUACCAUACCUACUCCCAAUAUCCACAAAUGCUAUGAUUCAGGGGGAGAGGAAAGUAUUACAUAUUCAUCCUAAGGGGAGAAAAGUUCUUAUUUCCCUUGGAGACAUAGCUUUCAUCAAAUCCUAUCUUCAAUAUGUCUUCAAUAUCUUGGUACUUUUGAAGCUCUUUGCAUCUUUACAAUAGAGUAAUUGUGUGUUAUCUAACAUUUGUUUUCCCAAGUGUACUCCUAUGUUAAGACGCUCAAGAUCCUCAAGGUAAGUAUAUGCAUCAUAUCCUUGUUCAUGAUAAUCUCUUGUUUCUUGCACAUAUUAUUUGCAAGAGGGAGUCUUGAACAUGGAAGCUCUUCAUUCACUCAUGCUUGAUGCAUAUAGCCAGGAUGUUUAUGACUUUUGUGGUCCUUCUAUCUUGUGUGUGCCCAUGCAUUCCAAAGCAACUAUCCUUUAAAAGGAAUUGCACACAUUUAUGGGGAGCAUGUACCAGUCAUGUUUCCUUCAAAGCUGUCGUAUUUUAAUGCUUAUCCUUAUUUGGAGCUUUCUUUAUAUGUUGUCAUCAAUUACCAAAAAGGGGGACAUUUAAAACACAAUAUGCUCCCUUUUGUGUGAACCGGUACCACCGAGUUUGUGACAUCGGUGUCACGAGUUUGCCACUUUAGGUGUAAUGGUUGGAUUUUGUGUGCUGCCUAUAUAUACCCCUUCACCAACCUCUUAUUCGUGGGAGAAGCACUCAGAACACACACUUCAUUGCCAAAUCCUUUUCCUGAGAGAGAACCACCUACUCAUGUGUUGAGACCAAGAUAUUCCAAUCCAAUCAUUUGAAACUUGAUCUCUAGCCUCCCCAAACUACUUUCCACCAAAUCAAUCUCUCCUACCCAUGCCUAUUCUAUGAGAGAAUGAUUUUGUGUUGAGGAUACUAUCUUUAGAAGCACACAAGCAAGGAGUUCAUUGAUCUACCACAUCUAUUACCUUUUGGAGGGUGGUGCCUCCUAGAUUGGUUAGGUGUCGCUUGAGAGCCUCCUACUUCGUGUUGUCAAGUUGAACCAAGAUGUUUGUAAGGGCAAGGAGAUCGCCUACUUCGUGAAGAUCUACCGUGAGUAAGGCUAGUCCUUCGUGGGUGAAAGCCGUGGUGGAAUAGACAAGGCCGCUUCUUCGUGGACCCCUUGUGGGUGGAUCUCUCCAUGGACUCUCGCAGCUGUUACCCUCCGUGGAUUGAAGUCUCCAUUAACAUGGAUGUACGAUAGUGUCACCUAUCGGAACCACGCCAAAAAUAGUUGUGUCAACCUCUUUGCAUUUGAUCUCCUAAACUCUACUCCUUUACAUGUGCAAAAUCUUUACUUUUCCGCUGCCAUAUAUUAUGACUAGCAUGUGUAGGGUGUACUACAUUUGUUAGAACUGUUGUAUUUCUGCCUUCCUUGAAAUUGGGUUAGGCUAGGAAUUUUAUCUGGACAAGUAGUCUAUUCACCCCCUCUACACGCAUCUUCUAUCGAUCCCACACAAAUGUAUGUACGAGGCAUCUAUGUGGUAUGAGGAAAUAAAAGGUUCCAUUUUAUUUUGAGGCUAUUUUUUCAACUGAAAUUGACAUACAUAAAUUAAGAUACAUUAAACUGUUGAAAUUAAGAUGCAUCGUCAUACAGAAACUAUAGAAAGUCCUCGUCAUCCUUAGAUGAUGCAGAGCUCUUGCCCUUCGACGAUGCGGUAGUAUUGGCAUGCGUCAACGCAUAGCUCUUGUCCUUCGAUGAUGCGGUACUCUUGGCCUUGGUACUCGGCAUGAAUAUAUUGUCUUCGUCCUUGGUGUCGGCCAUCCAUAAAAACAUAUGUUCUACUCCAUAGUGUAGGUGUUGUCCUUUCUUCUUCCAUCUUCUAUGCAACCUGAGAAAUUAUUUUCGUAUCUCCUCAAAGGUCCUUGGAGGCCAUCCGCUCCUAGCUAAUAUGUGAGCCAGCUCAUUCAUUAUUGUGUCACUACUCAUGAGUUCGUCCCAUGGAACUAUUCUAUUGUAUCUCUUGAAAUUGCUAGCUAAACGCAAAAGACACAGGGACAUACGAGAGUGAAAACUACGACCAAAAGGAUACUUGGACAUCUUGAUGAGAGUAAGAUACUAGACUCCACUGCUUACCCACCUUAGUGUGGAGGGGGUUUUAUAGGUGCCGAAGUGCAUAAUAGGCGGGAACUUAGAAGCAUGAAAAUAUGGUGGGAAAAAAGGCACGAAAAAAGUGGCGGGAAAAUGGAGGGAAAACAGACGGGAAAAAUGGCGACAAAAAAUUGCAUGAAAAAAUUGGCAGGAAAAACAGGCGGGAAAAAUAACAUGUUGAAAUUAACAUACAUUAACAUGUUGAAAUUAAGAUACACCUUGCUAGUGAAUUUUAAGAUACAACUUGCUGCGAAUUUUAAGAUACAAUCACAUAAAUCUAGUGCAUCCAACGUGGAUAUUUUCAUUUUCCAUCAACAUCUUCUUCUGUCACCUUGGCUGCACGAGCCAUUUCUUUCUUUUUGUGCCUCUCCACCUCACGGGCCUCGCGGGCCUCCUAUCACUGCAGUUGCGCCUCCUCCAGUCGACGUCCCUAUUCCUAGUUUUUCUUCAACAUCUCACCAAAGAAACACCUCUGCUCCGCAUAGUACUCUUUUAACUCUUUCUCUUGCUCUACUUUCUCCUCUGUUACCUCCUUUUCACGGCGCUCUUCCACAUACAAACAUUCCCAUGCACGACAAAUAUCAGUCACCGCCCAAGCCGACAUCUUCGUGUCAAUCAAAUGAUAGUACAUGCAUAGAGGCGGAGGGGACUACAACAAAACUAAAAAUGUAAAUAUAAAAUCAACAAUAAUACCAAUGACAUGUUUAUUCUUGAUGGUUGAAGCAUACCAGAGGGUUGUCGUAUGAUGAAGUAGUUACGCGUGGAUCUUCCUCAUAAUUGGCGCACAUGAAAAACUUCAUGUCCAACCAAUCCGAAAAAUCCAACCUUGCAAAGACCGUCACACCAAUAGCGCAAGACUUCCACCCUUGGAGGCAAACUCGCACUCUUCAUUUUCCUAGACCUGAUGCUUUGAUCCGAACAAGGCAAACUCAUGUUGCUAUAAAAAGUGUGACACACUUAGCGCGCUGGUGUUUUAAUGUGUGGGUGGACGAUGGGCGAAGAGAGUUUCAUUGCCUUGUUUCAUAGGCUCACACCAAUUUGAAGGCAGGAAAAUAGGGCACGAAUAGGCCAAAUUUUAGGCGGGAAUCAUGAUGACCCACAAGUAUAGGGGAUCUACCGUAGUCCUUUCAAUAAGUAAGAGUGUCGAACCCAACGAGGAGCAGAAGGAAAUGACAAACGGUUUUCAGUAAGGUAUUCUCUGCAAGCACUGAAAUUAUCGGUAACACAUAGUUUUGUGAUAACAUAAUUUGUAACGGGUAACAAGUAACAAUUGUAACAAAGGUGCAGCAAGGUGUCCCAAUCCUUUUUGUAGCAAAGGACAAGCCUGGACAAACUCUUAUAUAGAGAAAAGCGCUCCCGGGGAUGCAUGAGAAUUUAUGUCAAGCUAGCUUUCAUCAUGUUCAUAUGAUUCGCGUUCGUUACUUUGAUAAUUUAAUAUGUGGGUGGACCGGUGCUUGGGUGCUGCCCUUACUUGGACAAACCUCCCACUUAUGACUAACCUCUCUCUCAAGCAUCCGCAACUAUGAAACAGGAAUUAAGAUAAAUCUAACCAUAGCAUUGAACAUAUGGAUCCAAAUCAGCCCCUUACGAAGCAACGCAUAAACUAGGGUUUAAGCUUCUGUCACUAUAGAAACCCAUCAUCUAAUUAGUACUUCCCAAUGCCUUCCUCUAGGCCCAAAUAAUGGUGAAGUGUCAUGUAGUCGACAUUCACAUGACACCACUAGAGGAUAGACAACAUAUAACUUAUCAAAAUAUCGAACGAAUACCAAAUUCACAUGAUUACUUGUAACAAGAAUUAUCCCAUGUCCUUAGGAACAAACAUAAAUACUCACAAAGCAUAUUCAUAUUCAUAAUCAGAGGAGUAUUAAUAAUCAUUAAGGAUCUGAACAUAUGAUCUUCCACCAAAUAAACCAACUAGCAUCAACUACAAGGAGUAAUCAACACUAGUAGCAACCCACAUGUACCAAUCUCAGGUUUUGAGGCAAAGAUCGGAUACAAGAGAUGAACUAGGGUUUGGAGAGGAGAUGGUGCUCAUGAAGAUGUUGAUGGAGAUUGACCCCCUCUCGAUGAGAGGAUCGUUGGUGAUGAUGAUGGCUUAGAUUUCCCCCUCAGGGAGGGAAGUUUCCCCCACGGAAUAGCUUCCCGAGAGCUCUAGAUUGGUUAUGUCGAAGUUCCGCCUUGAGACGGUGGUGUCGUGUCCCGAAAGUCCUCUUAUGAUUUUUUUCCAGGUCAAAACCCUUGAUAUAGCAGAAGAUGGGCACCGGAGGCCUGCUAGGGGUCCCACAAGCCUGCGUGGCGUGGCCAGGGGGUAGGCUGCGCCCCUUGGCUUGUGGCUUCCUGGUGGGUCCCCUCUGGGACAUCUUUCACCCAUUAUUUUUUAUAUAUUCCAAAAUAAUUCUCAGUAACUUUUCAGAAUUUUGGAGUUGUGCAGAAUAGGUCUCUUAGAUUUCCUCCUUUUCCAGUUCAGAAUUCCAGCUGCCGGCAUUCUCCCUCUUCAUGUAAAUCUUGUAAAAUAAGAGAGAAAAGGCAUAAGUAUUGUACCAUAAUGUGUAAUAACAGCCUAUAAUGCAAUAAAUAUUGAUAUAAAAGCAUGAUGCAAAAUGGACGUAUCAACUCCCCCAAGCUUGGACAUUGCUUGUCCUCAAGCGAAAGUUGAGUCGAUAAAUAGGCCCACAUGUUUAGAGAUAUAGGUGUCGAUAAAAUAAAAUGCAGACAUGCAUGUAUCAUGAUUAUCUUUAGAACAACAACACAUGUUGACAUAGAAUAUCUUAUACUAGAGUAACAGUUCAUUCACAAGGAAAAAUGUGAAUCAAGAACUCUAAUGAGAACUAACAAACUAUGAUUCUAGUCAUUGAGGCAAUUCCAAUUUAUCACAACGUAGGAAAGAGUCAACAUAAGAGCUUAUAAAGAAAAUCCACAUACUCAAUCAUCUUAUAGUCUUUCAUAAUUGCUAACACUCACGCGAUACCUAUGAGGUCAAAGCUUCAAUCGGACACAGAGAAAGAUAAGGGCUUAUAGUUUUGCCUCCCAACUAUUUACCUCAAGGGUAAUGUCAACAAUAAUAACUCAUGAUCACCCACAUCCGAGUGGAUAUAUUUGUCUAGAUCAUUCCCCAACACAUGACGCUUGCCAAAAGAUAAAGACGAAAUAAAGGAGGUGGUGAUGAUCAUCGUGACUCUUACAUAAAGGUAAGUACUAGAAAGUAAAAAUAACAGAUAGGCCCUUCGCAGAGGGAAACAGAGGUUGCCAUGCGCUUUUAUAGUAGGAUGCACAAUCUCUUAAUGCAAAAGAACGUCACUUUAUGUUGCCCCUUGUGAUAAAGAAAUUUAUUAUGCAGUCGUCGCUUUUAUUUCUUCUAUAUCACAAGUUUGUAUAAAGUUUAUUUUCCUCGCACUAAUAAACCACACACAUUUAAGGAGCAAUUUUUAUUGCUUGCACCGAUGACAACUUACUCGAAGGAUCUUACUCAAUCCAUAGGUAGUUAUGGUGGACUCUCAAGGCAAAACUGGGUUAAAGGUUUUUGGAUGCACAAGUAGUGUAUCUACUUGGUGAGGAGUUUAUGUUGGCAAAUAUGAGGUGGAAUCAAGCGACACAUGUUGAAGGAUCUACGACCAUAUAAAUUCUAUUCGGAAAUAAGCAAACAUAACUCAUUAUGUUGUCUUCCUUGUCCAACAUCAACUUUUUAGCAUAUAAUAUUUUAAUAAGUGCUCACAAUCAUAAAAGAUGUCUAAGAUAAUAUAUGUAUAUGUGAACCUCUCUUUAUUUAUUACUUCCUUUUAAUUGCAACAAUGACCAAUAGCUUUGUUUGUCAACUCACAACAAAUUUCAAUCAACAUACUUUUUAUAAGUGAAGUCAUCACUCCCAUAAGAUCAUAAUGUAUGCUCUUUGGCUUUUAUUCUAUAUUUCUUUCUAUUUCUUUUUUCUCUAGAUCAUAGCAAGCAAGCAAAGCCCUCAUCUCAAAACUACUCUUUAUUAUAUAACUCUCGGACUUGCUUACAUAGGGGGAACAAAAAUAAAAACUUAAAACUAGAUCACACUAAAACUUCAUUCUACUAGAUCAAGAUAUAACAAAAGGAGAGAACAAAGAAAAACGUAAGAAAAAGUAAAAAAGGUGUGAUGGUGAUACAAUACCGGGGCACCUCCCCCAAGCUUGGUACAAGCCAAGGGGAGUGCCCAUACUCAGGUGUUCAGUUGUAUUCCUUCGGAGGUGGUGAUGUUUGAGUUGUUGGUGAGGUUGAAGGUUUGUCCUCCGUCUUCCAAGGCAUGGGUGCACCAUCAUGAAAAGAUGAACUAGUCUCCGGGAUACUCAAGCUUGCAGCCAAACUCAUUUUCUUAAAUCUGUAUUCAUACUCAUAGUUUUGGUUUUGCAGGUCAUAGAUCUGGGCUUGGAGUUGCUCGAUUUUCUCGCAAAUCUUGAAAAUGUGAUCCCAAAGGUCCUUGGCGUCUAGCUUGUGCUUAUGGGUAAACUCUGUGAUCAUCAGGUGAUUGGCAUUAAGUCCUCGUUCCACCAUCCCUUGGCACUUGAAGACUUGUUGCUCCAUUGCUUCGAGCCUUGUCUCCAUGCUUCCGCUCUUCUUUGGCCACUUAACAUCGCGGGUGUGCAGCACCCCCUCAUGCAUCUCAAUGGUUUGAGGGUGUUGCAACACCUUCGAAAGAUAGGGGUUGAUGACCCUCUCAAAGAACUUGUCCUUCAGAGAACUUGAAGUUGCCAUGUUGAUCUAAAUAUGUUACAGAAGCAGCUCGAAACGAAAACAGGAGAUAUUGUCGAGAUACGGAGGUCAAAACUGUCGGGAGAUUAUAUAAUGAAUUUUUGCCGACCCGAAGGAGUACUACACAAGAAAACGGAGUCCGGAGGGUGCACGGGGUGACCACAAGCUUGCAGGUUGCGACCAUGGGGGGUAGGCCACGCCCCCUGGGUUGUCGCCUCCUCGUGCAUGCUUCAGACUACUUUUAAUUUUCCUAAAUUUUUAAAUAUUCCCAAACUGGUAAAAAAUUCCAUUCAAAAUGUUUUGGAGUCGGUUUGCUUACCAUAGCACACACCUAUUCCUUUUCGAAGUCUGAGACAUUCUGAUAAAUCUCCCUAAUAUACUCUCCCAGAGUUAUGGUAUUGAUAAUAUUAGUUUCAACAUUUAUGGGAGUACGUGAGAUAUAAUGUUUGAUUCUUUGCCCGUUUACCACCUUCGGAUUCGUGCCUUCAGCGUUGUUGAUCUUGAUGGCAUCGGAACGAUACACUUCCUCGAUAAUGUAAGGCCCUUCCCAUUUAGAGAUAAGUUUUCCUGCAAAAAAUCUUAAAUGAGAUUUGUAUAGUAGGACAUGGUCACCUACAUUGAAUUCACGCUUUUGUAUCCUUCUAUCAUGCCAUCUCUUAACUUUUUCUUUAAACAACUUGGCAUUCUCAUAGGCGUGGGUUCUCCAUUCAUCAAGUGAACUGAUGUCAAAUAACCUCUUCUCACCAGCAAGAUUGAAAUCAUGGUUAAGCUCUUUAAUUGCCCAGUAAGCUUCAUGUUCUAGCUCUAGAGGUAAGUGAGAUGCUUUACCAUAAACCAUUUCAUAAGGAGACAUACCCAUAGGGUUUUUGUAAGCGGUUCUAUAAGCCCAUAAUGCGUCGUCAAGUUUCUUCGACCAUUCUUUCUAGAUCUAUUAACGGUCUUUUGCAAGAUCAAUUUUAUUUCUCUAUUCUCAAUUUUACUUGCCCACUAGACAGGAUGAUAAGGAGAUGCAAUUCUAUAAUUAACAUCAUACCUAGCAAGCAAUUUAUGGAAAACCACCAUGAAUAAAGUGUGAACCACCAUCAGUCAUUGAAUAUCUAGGGACUCCAAAUCUAGGGAAUAUAACUUCUUUGAGCAUUUUAAUAGAAGUGUUAUGAUCAGCGCUACUAGUUCGAAUAGCUUCUACACACUUAGUAACAUAAUCAACAACAACUAGAAUAUGAGUAUACCCAUUGGAUUUUGGAAAAGGUCCCAUAUAAUCAAAACCCAAACAUCAAAUGGUUCUAUAACAAGAGAGUAAUUCAUAGGCAUUUCCUGGCGUCUACUAAUAUUACCAAUUAUUUGACAUUCAUCACAAGACAAGACAAACUUACGAUCAUCCUUGAAGAGAGUAGGCCAAUAAAACCAGAUUGUAAUACCUUGUGUGCAGUUCUAUCUCCCGCGUGGUGUCCUCCGUAGGCCUCGGACUGACACUUGUAUAGGAUACGUCCCUGUUCAUGCUCAAGUACACAACGUCUAAUAAUACCAUCUACUCCUUCUUUAUAAAGGUGUGGGUAGUCCCAAAAGUAAUGUCUUAAGUCAUAGAAGAACUUUUUCUUUUGUUGGUAUGUGAAACUAGCCGGUAUAAAUUUAGCAACAAUGUAGUUAGCAUAAUCAGCAUACCAAGGAGCAUUGCGUGAAGCAUUUAUGAUAGCUAAUUGUUCAUCGGGGAAGCUAUCAUCAAUAGGUAGUGGGUCAUCAAGAACAUUUGCUAGUCUAGAGAAGUUAUCUGCUACGGGGUUGUCAGCACCCUUUCUAUCAAUAAUAUGCAAAUCAAAUUCUUGUAGCGGAAGGACCCAUCUAAUAAGUCUAGGAUUAGCAUCUUUAUUUUCCAUAAGGUACUUAAUAGCAGCGUGAUCAGUGUGAACAGUUACUUUGGAAUCAACAAUAUAAGGUCUAAACUUAUUGCAAGCAAACACAACUGCUAAAAAUUCCUUUUUGGUGGUAGCAUAUUUUCUUUGAGCAUUGUCUAGAGUUUUACUAGCGCAAUGGAUGACAUUUAAUUUCUUAUCAACUCUUUGUACUAAAACAACACCAACAACAUAAUCACUAGCAUCACACAUAAUUUCAAAGGGUAGGUUCCAAUCAGGUGGUUGAACAACAGGUGCAAUGAUCAAGACUUUCUUAAGCAUUUCAAAUGCAUCUACACAAUCAUCACCGAACAAGAAUGGAAUAUCCUUUUGCAAAAGAUUAGUGAGAGGCUUAGAAAUUUUAGAGAAGUCCUUUAUAAAUCUCCUAUAGAAACUAGCAUGACCAAGUGUGGGGACCGGAUUUUCGGGGAUAUUAAAUUUCCCUUCAAAUGACCCUUAAGUAUACCAGCCCUAGGAACAAUGUUAGCUGGCACACCUUUCCUUGAUACAAAUGUCCAAGCAAAAUACAAAUUGAGGUACAAGACCAAGGUGGCCUAAUGAGUACAGCAAAAGGGUUUCUAGUGGUUGAUGGCGGAAGCGUUACAGGGAUCUCCAACUCCUGUGGGACUCCAUUUCCCAUAGGAACAGCUGACUGAGUUAAUUCCUAUCUUGCACAACUGCUGUCCUCGAAGCCUACGCUCCAAGCUUUUCGUCAAGCAUCUCCUUUCCAAGCUUGCAAUCUGGCCAAGACAAUAGCCAGGGACAAGCAGUGAUUACUUUGAAUGUACUCGCAAACUUCAAGAAGCAAACAUAUAAUUUGCAGUGUUAAUCAUACGCACAUAAUGAUAUCAUAAUACUGCGUCGACUCAAAAUACUACUCAAGCAUUAGUGGUGAAGUUAUAAUCGUACUGAAAGUUAUUAAGCAAUCAAUAAGAAUAUUAACAUCGGAUGCAAUCUAAAGCAUGAUGCAGUCGGGCAUCUUAGCGACACCACAUAAAGGGCUUAUAUGGAAUAAUAACAAACAUGCCACAGUCGGGCGUCUCAGCGACACCACAUAAAGGGCUUAUAUGAAAUAAUAACAAACAUGCCACAGUCGGGCGUCUCAGCGACACCACAUAAAGGGCUUAUAUUAAAUAAUAACAAACCUGCCACAGUCGAGCAUCUCAGCAACACCACAUAAAGGGCUUAUAUGAAAUAAUAACAAACAUGCCACAAUCGGGCGUCUCAGCGACACCACAUAAAGGGCUUAUAUGAAAUAAUAAAGAAUAUCCAAGAGGUAGAACCGUCCGAGGGAUAUUCACAAUAAAAAAAUCAUAAGGGCUAGUCCACAGAAAAUAAUGUUUAAAAUCAUCCACCAUAUUUCCCGAUUAGUCUCAUAAUCGUGUAACUACCUCCAAAGACCGACACUUAGACCGAUACUUGACUAGUCAACCAACGUCCUUGACCGUGGACAGGGCUACUCCAAUAGUUUUGGCUCUGCAGAGGGUGUACUCUUUACCCAUACUUCACGGUUUUCCAUAGCCAUCAUGACUAAUCCCGUGUACGGUAUUUUAGAAGUGGACACUCAGAAUCAGCACACACCCACUUUAUCUCCGCAAAGCCCGGAUUCACCCGGACUACACUGCUAAGGUAAAACCAUAAGACGGGGAGGCUCCGACCUCGACAUGGGAUCAAAAAUAUUUAUACCGCGCGCUCAUGGGAAGUGCCCUCCCUUCCGGUCCCAGACCGGAAACACCCAUGCCCCUUGACCGUAUGACUGGAUUUAUACCACGGCCGUGGAUACCUUCAUCCCGGCCCCUCUACUGGUGUGUGACUGAUAAUGGGUCUGCAACUGACUGUACCGAAUCCAUUAUCCAUGAAACUAUGGUAGCACGCAAACAAGGAGACAUAUUGACAAGACUCGAUCUAGGGUCGACUUAGGAGGUUUAAGUAUUACCUACAAGAUUAGCACAAACCAUGUGCAAACAGAGUCACUACCCACCUAACAUGCCUCGUUGACCACUCUCGUCCACGAGAUGUCAAUCCCACGGUCGUGUCUCCACAAGACACCGACUUUCACCGAAUUCCGUCCGGUAAGCAUGUAGGGUAGGAAAGGGUGACCACUGUCCAUGCACAACAAUCAUAGAAAUCCUUACUCUCAAUAUCAUGAAACUAUAUGCAUGAUUUACCACAUGAAAUAACACCACAAAUAUAACUUAACCCUAUGAUACUUUCACCAAGCAAACUCAUACAACCAAGUUAAAAGUAGGUUCAGGAUGCUUGCCUUCCAAGUGUAGAGAGGUGGGGUUCACCACAAAACUUUUGCAAGUUUUAACUCCUCUCUUCCAAGCCUAUUUAAAAAUAUAUGGUAAUUAACACACAAUUUAAAAACAGCACAUAAAGUUGUCUUAGAAAAUUCUCAAAUAAACACUAAAAUAAACUAGACAUAAUUUGAAAGAGAUGAGAAAAAGAAUCGACUCAUUUGGAGUUUUCUAUAAAAAGUUAUAGCUAGACAAAGUUCUGGUCAAAUUCUGUUUUAAAAAACAAAAAGAAAAGAAAACGCUUCGGAUGAAAAUGCGCCAGCGCAAGGGAGUAGACGUACUCGUCAGAAGGCGUUUCCACUAGCACGGGUUCUGGCUGGGACAGAGACGCUGACGCGCAGGGCCCACGUGCAGGUUUGACUCGGGGCCCCUUCUUCCUCCUUUGGCUGAAGGGAGAAGGGACUCCGGCGAGGCUCACCGGCGACAGGAUCCCCCAUUCGAGGAACGGAGGGCACCGACGUGCUCAGGGGACCGAGGCGCAUCCAUUUCACGGCCUUGGGGCUGCGGCGGGUGUUGGAAUCGAGCAGCCCUUCCUCCACGGCGGAGGGAGCUUCGGAUCCGACGGAGUGCUCACUAGGAGAGGUUCUAGGUGCACGACGAGGGGUGGGGCAGCUCUGCUAGGUCUAGGAGGUUCGAGUGGUAGGCUCGGGCAGGGGAAAAGCUCACUCAUAGGACCAAAUCGACCCGAGGGGCUGCGGUGGCUGAAAGUCACCGGAGUUGGGGACGAAGGGGUCCUGGCCUUAAAUUGGAGCUAGAGGGGCUGGCUACGGCUAUCAGGGAGGACUUGCGAUGCUCUGAGGUUGCCGAGGGUCCUAUUUAUGGCCUCGGAGUUUCGGUGCCGCGACGGGGGUGGAUGAGGUCGUCGGGGAUAGCCACUGGCGAGGGCAUAGGCGCGGCUUGAUGCAGCUACAGGGCGGGGAAGCAGCGGCUCGUCGCAGGGAUGUGGUCCACGGGGUAGGCGGUGCUCGAGGAGGGCUUGGGCGGCGCUACGACGCUGCACUGCUACUGCAUCUUGAUGACGGCCGGUGCGGCUACAGCAAUGCAGGGACGACAGGGGAAGCAGGUGCAACAGGGGCGCAUGAGGAGCUCGUGCGAGUGUGCCCACAUGCUGAGGUUGCUUCAGGCAACGAGGGGGCGACACGGGCUGUGACGCGACGGCUCGGUCUGUUGGCUGCAAUAUGCGCGCUCCAGAGCACGCUCUGGCAUGCCUGCCAGGUGCUCGACGAAUUUCCACGGCUAGCUAGGGGCUUGGAAUGGUGGUGAAAUGCUCCAGGUUGACUAAGGCAUUGCUAUGGGUCUUCUAGACAUGCUGGUUUAGUCUGGGGCUCAACUUCACCAUACCAACAAAACUCCAUGCCAUUUCUGGUCACGGACACCAGGUGUUUGACAGAAUGCCACUGGCAUCUAGGGGCACUUGCUAGCCAUGGUAAUCUUCAGAUAUAAGCCUCACUGGAUGGGCACAAGGGUGGCAAGGUUUGAUUUAGCAACUCAACAACUUCACAAUGCAAUUCUAGUAAAAAUUCAUUUCUCAACAGAAACAAAAUGGGAAUGCAACAGGGGUCAAAACAACUCUAAUGGGGUUGAAGUUUGGUACUUCAGGGUUUUAUUGGAUGGACUACAAGCACAAAAAAUUUCAAGAGCAUUGGGGAAGGAAAAAAGUGGGGUUGUAGUUCAAAAGGCCAAUCUGGUCCAGAACACAAAACAAGAAGUGGUGCUCAAAUAUUACAAAAGGCAAAUAUAUAUUAUUGCAGAAAACUCAUUCCAAUAAACCUCUUGACCUCUACAAAAUUUUAAAGAAUUAUUAGAGACUUUAAUGAAGAGGUUGUAGUGCAAAGCACCUGUUUGGACCAGAACAGAAAAGAUGGCAAUGAGCAAUAUUUUACCAAAAUACUGAGUUGGGUUUUUGCAUAAAACUCAUUUGUAUGAACCCCUUGGCUACUACACAUUUUGGUAGAAUUUUGGAGACUUAAUUGAAGGGGUUGUAGUGCAAAUCUACAAUUGGACCAGAAAGUAAGUUUAAUUAAUUUGCUUAAUCCUACCAAAACACUUGGCUAUAUUAUUAUAUAAAAUUGAUCCAGAAACAUAGUAGGUAAUUGCCAAGCUUGUUGUGGAAUUUUUAGAAUAGGUUAACAGGUGGCUGAAGUUGAAAACUAGACCCUUAAGAAAAUAAAAACUAGUUUUGAAUAUUAAAAUUGGAAGAUAAUAUUUAUAGAGGAACCUUCUCUGAAAUAAUCAGUGGGUGGAAAAAAUAUUUGAGUCAGCACUCAAGUCACCUAAAAGUUUUCAAAAAAAAGCUCGUACUCAUAAAAGAGUUAUCCACAAAAGCCAAGAAUAAGAAAGUUGAAAUCCACAGAAAACCUAGAAUAGAAAUUUAAAACAAUACAGGCCAAAUUUAUUAAAUAUAAAUCUUGACCCAAAUUUGGGGUGUUACACCAAGGAAACUUCUUAUACCUUUGAUAUCUGUUGGACACGACAUUUUUUCAGUAGCAUCAACUUUAGCUUUAUCAACGUGAAUACCUAUUUCGGAUAUUUUGUGUCCCGAUACAAUGCCUUCAUUACCAAUAAAGUGGCACUUCUCCCAAUUCAAGAUAAGAUUAGUUUCUUCACAUCUCUGCAAAACUCGAUCAAGGUUGCUCAAGCAAUCAUCAAAAGAAGUUCCGUAAAGGGAAAAAUCAUCCAUGGAAACCUCAACAAUCUUUUCACAAAAGUCAGAGAAUAUAGCCAUCAUACAUCUUUGAAAGGUAGCAGGUGCAUUGCAUAAACCAAACGGCAUACGUCUAUAAGCAAAGGUACCGAAAGGGCAAGUAAAAGUGGUCUUCUCUUGAUCCUCUUUUGAUACAGGCAUUUGAGAGAAACCAGAGUAACCAUCUAGAAGCAAAAAUGUUUAUGUUUGGAUAGUCUUUCUAGCAUUUGAUCUAUAAAAGGUAGUGGAUAAUGAUCUUUCCUAGUAGCCUUAUUUAAUUUCCUGAAAUCAAUUACCAUUCUAUAUCCUCUAACAAUUCUUUGCGGGAUUAAUUCAUCUUUAUCAUUAGGAACAAAGGUAAUACCUCCAUUUUUAGGGACACAAUGAACGGGACUAACCCAUCUACUAUCAGCAGUAGGAUAAAUUAUACAUGUGUCCAGAAUCCUUAGUAUUUCAUUUCUUACCACUUCCUUCAUUUUAGGAUUUAAUCGUCGUUGGUGAUCAACAACUGGUUUAGCAUCAGGCUCCAUACUGAUUUUGUGCUGACAUAGAGUGGGGCUAAUGCCCUUAAGAUCAUCAAGAGUAUAUCCAAUAGCGUCAUGGUGCUUCCUCAGAGUUUUCAAUAAUCUCUUUUCUUCAUGCUCUGAAAGGUUAGCACUAAUAAUAACAAGAUAUAUCUCUUUUUCAUCAAGAUAAGCAUACUUCAGAGUAUCAGGUAAUUGCUUAACCUCAAACGCGGGAUCACCCUUAGGUGGAUGAGGAUCCCCGAGUAUUUCAACACACAGGUUGUGUUUCAAAAUAGGUUGCUGAUCAAAGAAAAUCGUAUCUAUUUCAUUCCUUUCAUUCAUAUACAUAUCAUUUUCAUGGUCUAACAAAUAUUGUUCUAAGGGAUCGGUAGGAGGCACACCAAUAGAAGUGAGACCAAUAAUUUCAUCUUUACUAGGCAGUUCUUUGUCAUGGGGUUGUCUACGAAACUUAGAGAAAUUGAACUCAUGAUAUGCAUCCCCAAAACUUCCAGUAAUUGUUUAUUUUUCACAAUCAAUCUUAGCAUUAACAGUAUUCAAGAAGGGUCUACCGAAUAUGAUGGGACAAAAAUCAUCUUGUGGGGAACCAAGAACAAGAAAAUCAGUAGGAUACUUUAUUUUCCCACACAAGACUGAUUUUCUUUAUUAGCAAGCUUGAUGGUAACAAUCCCAAUUGGUGAAAUAGUAUCUCUAUUAGCAAGCUUGAUGGUAACAUCAAUUUCCUCUAAUUCGGCUGGUGCAAUAUCAUUCAUAAUUUCUUGGUAUAAGGUAAAGGGAAUUGCACCCACACUAGCAUCCACCUCACAUAAGCCAUGAUAACAAUGAUCUCCUAUUUUAACAGAAACAACAGGCACGCCAAGAAUAGAUCUAUGUUUACCCUUAGUAUCAGGUCUAGCAAUUAUAGCGGCUUCAUCACAAAAAUGAAUGACAUGCCCAUAAACAUUAUCAACCAAGAGAUAUUUAACCAUAGCAAUAUUAGGUUCAACUUUAAUUUGUUCAGGAGGUAUAGGUGUUCUAGCAUAACUCUUACGAACCACGGUCGAAGCUUUAGUAUGUUCCUUUAUCCGAACGGGAAAGGGUGGUUUCUCAAUAAGGAGUGAGAAUAACAGGAUCAGUAUUAUAAAUAGUAGCUUCUUCUUCAACUUUAAUAGGUUCUACCAAUUUAACUUAAAUAGGAGGAUGAUAUUUAAACCACUUCUCCUUGGGGAGAUAGACAUGAGUAGCAAAAGAUUCACAAAAUGAAGCUACUACCUUAGAGUCAAGUCCAUAUUUAGUGCUAAAAUCACGAAAAGCAUCGGUGUCUAUAAAGGAUUUAACACAAUCAAACUUAAGGGUUAUACCUGACUCAUUACCUUCUCGAGUUCCCAAUCUUCAGAGUUGCUUUUAAUUCUUUCCAAUAAGUCCCAUUUGAAUUCAAUAUAUUUCUUCAUAAAGGAACCAGCACAAGAAGUGUCGAGCAUGGAUUGAUCAUUACGAGAGAGCCGAGCAUAAAAAUUCUGAAUAAUAUUUUCUCUCGGAAGCUCAUGAUUGGGGCAUGAAUAUAACAUUGACUUAAGCCUACCCCAAGCCCGAGCGAUUCUUUCUCCUUCACGAGGCCAAAAUUAUAAAUAUAACUCCGAUCACGAUGAACCAGAUGCAUAGGAUAAAACUUCUGAUGAAAUUUCAAUUUCAAUCGAAUCUAGUUCCAUGAUCCAAUAUCAUCACAUACCCUAUACCAUGUCAACGCCUUUUCCUUCCAAGAUAAAGGAAAGACCUUCUUAUUGACAUCAUCCUCGGGCAGACCUGCAAGCUUAAAUAAUCCACAAACUUCAUCCACAUAGAUUAGGUGCAAAUAAGGAUGUAGUGUUUCAUCUCCUGCAUAAGGAUUAGCUAACAGUUUUUCUAUCAUACCCAAAGGAAUUUCAUAAUAAAUAUUUUCAGUAGGUGCAACAGAUUGAGGAGCAUCUCUUUGUGCUUCCGAACAGGGUGAAGAUACCCCGAACAAGCUCCUCAAAGGAUUAUUUUCCAUAGUGACAAGUGAUAGUAAAUUUCAGCACCGUAUAUAAAUUUUUCCUUACCAAGUUCCACUUACCAAAGGAGCUUCACUCCCCGGCAACGGCGCCAGAAAAGAGUCUUGAUGACCCACAAGUAUAGGGUAUCUAUCAUAGUCCUUUCGAUAAGUAAGAGUGUCGAACUCAACGAGGAGCAGAAGGAAAUGACAAGCGGUUUUCAGUAAGGUAUUCUCUGCAAGCACUGAAAUUAUCGUUAACAAAUAGUUUUGUGAUAAGGUAAUUUGUAACGGAUAACAAGUAACAAUUGUAACAAAGUUGCAGCAAGGUGGCCCAAUCCUUGUUGUAGAAAAGGACAAGCCUGGACAAAUUCUUAUAUAAAGAAAAGCGCUACCGAGGACACAUGGGAAUUUAUGUCAAGCUAGUUUUCAUCAUGUUCAUAUGAUUCGCGUUUGUUACUUUGAUAAUUUGAUAUGUGGAUCGACCGGUGCUUGGGUGUUUCCCUUACUUGGACAAACCUCCCACUUAUGAUUAACCUCUCUCACAAGCAUCCGCAAAUAUGAAAUACUCCCUCCGUCCCAAAAUUCUUGUCUUAGGUUUGUCUAGAUACGAAUCUAUCUAGUCAUGUUCUAGUAUUUUGAUACAUCCAUUUCUACACAAACCUAAGACAAGAAUUUUGGGAUGGAGGGAGUAGGAAUUAAGACAAAUCUAACCAUAGCAUUAAACAUAUGGAUCCAAAUCAGUCCCUUACGAAGCAACGCAUAAACUAGGGUUUAAGCUUCUGUAACUCUAGCAACCCAUCAUCUACUUAUUACUUCCCAAUGCCUUCCUCUAGGCCCAAAUAAUGGUGAAGUGUCAUGUAGUCGACGUUCACAUGACACCACUAGAGGAGAGACAACAUAUAACUUAUCAAAAUAUCGAACGAAUACCAAAUUCAUAUGAUUACUUGUAACAAGACUUAUCCCAUGUCCUCAGGAACAAACAUAACUACUCGCAAAGCAUAUUCCUAUUCAUAAUCAGAGGAGUAUUAAUAAUCAUUAAGGAUAUGAACAUAUGAUCUUCCACCAAAUAAACCAACUAGCAUCAACUACAAGGAGUAAUCAACACUACUAGCAACCCACAUGUACCAAUCUCAGGUUUUGAGACAAAGAUCGGAUACAAGAGAUGAACUAGGGUUUGGAGAGGAGAUGGUGCUGAUGAAGAUGUUGAUGGAGAUUGGCCCCCUCUCGAUGAGAGGAUCGUUGGUGAUGACGAUGGCUUCGAUUUCUCCCUCCGGGAGGGAAGUUUCCCCGACAGAAUAGCUCCACCGAAGCUCCAGAUUGGUUCUGUCGAAGUUCCGCCUCGAGACGGCGGCAUCGCGUCCCGAAAGCUCUCUUAUGAUUUUUUCCAGGUCAAAACCCUUGAUAUAGAAGAAGAUGGGCACUGGAGGCCUGCCAGGGGCCCCACAAACCUGGAGCGCGCGACCAGGGGGUAGGUCGCGCCCCCUGGCUUGUGGCUUCGUGGUGGGUCCCCUCCGGGACUUCUUUCACCCAUUAUUUUAUAUAUAUUCCAAAAUAAUUGUCCGUAACUUUUCAUGACUUUUGGAGCUGUGCAGAAUAGGUCUCUCAGAUUUCCUCCUUUUCCUGUCCAGAAUUACAGCUGCUGCAUUCUCCCUCUUGACGUAAAUCUUGUAAAAUAAGAGAGAAAAAGCAUACGUAUUGUACCAUAAUGUGUAAUAACAACCCAUAAUGCAAUAAAUAUUGAUAUAAAAGCAUGAUGCAAAAUGGGCGUAUCAAAUCACGCAGCGGAAUAAUACGUAUAGUCAGCUUCGAAAUCAGUGCCGUCAGUCGCGGAAUCAGUGUCAGCGUCACUUUCGUUGUGUGCACGCCGACAGGGCCUGCCACCUCGCGUAGUGGUGGCAGAGCCCAUCCCACUGUGUUUGUCGCGAGGCUGGCUGCAACAGGAGAACAUGUCCGCCGCCUCAGCUACUAGCGGCAUGUGUCGGCCGCCCCGCUCCGUGGGGGUAGGUGACAUUUGUCAGCUCGUGUGCCUACCGCCAGAUUCGUCCGGGUCCUUUUUGACAAUUUGUACUGCAGGUAGUACUUUUUGGCAAUUUUGUUCGGCAGCUGGUCCUUUUGGAAAAAAUUCUAAUGACAACGAGGAGGAGGAUGCCUAGGGCAGUGUGCCUCCUAGUUUUUAGUUUUAUUUAAUGUUUUUAAUGAAUGCAAAGUGAACUUGUGGACUCUCGUUGGCCAUUAUGGUUGGCAUCAAUGUUUUUCUAUUUUUAGAAUAUUUAUGAUAUCUUUUUGUGCCACCUAAAAUGGGUCAUGACAACGUUGGACACAAGCGUCGACCCAAAUAUGAAAACGGAUAUGGGUGUCCGUUGGGCCGACCCAACCGGACAAAAAGUGGACAAAAUUGAUGUCCGUUUGGGUCGGCCGGUCAGAAUUACUCUUAAAGAUUAUCGACGGUUUUGGCGUGUUGAAGGAGCCCUUGGUAUUUGUUUGUAUUUUCAUUUCUCUUAGGCCGUGUCGUGCAAGGUUCCCAGGACAGCUGUGAGAGCAUCUCCAGGCGUUCGCCCCCCCCAAGAGCAUUUUUAGACGAAAAUGAGCGCCUCUUCGGGGCUCGCCGAUGCUAUUUUUGGCGGGGGGGGGGGGGUCUGGCUCCUAGCUGCCCCCAAUGUCCCCCCCCCCCCCCCCGGCCGUCAAGUUCCAACUCAAAUUCGACAUAAAUUUGUUACUUCAACAUAAAUUCAACAAAAUAAUAAUUAUUAUCACAGAGUUCAUCAUAGAAGUCAAUACAAAUCGAAUAGUUCAAGGAAGCAAGCUCAUAAUUUGAACACAAAUUAAAACACAUCGAACUAGGUGUUCCCUUGAGCCUCCAUAAGUGCUCCACCAGAUCGUGCUGCAGUUCUUGAUGCAUCUAUGGGUCUCGGAUCUCCACACGCAUAUUGAGGAAGGCACCCCAUGCUGCCGAUACCUAGUGAUCCUNNNNNNNNNNNNNNNNNNNNNNNNNNNNNNNNNNNNNNNNNNNNNNNNNNNNNNNNNNNNNNNNNNNNNNNNNNNNNNNNNNNNNNNNNNNNNNNNNNNNGGAUGGUACAGAAACAGCAGAGGCUUGACUCGUUGAGUCGGGUCGCUACAGAAAUGGUAUCAGAGCACACGCUGACCUUAGGACGUAACCUCUAGGAAUGGAAAAGCCUUAGGAAGAAAACUAUUUUCUCUUAUAUCUUCUAUUUCCCCCUCUGAUCAUUUCUGACUUCUCUCCGAUUUUCCCAUGUUUAGAUGGCCACCUUCGUCCCUGUUAAGUUCACGGAAUUUUUCCAGCCCGACACCACUAUGCCGUUCGGAAAAGAGCUGGUGCAGAUCACCAAGGAUUUGAGGAUUGCUCUGCCGACUAUCACAGGGAAGCCAACUUCGUCUUACCCGGAGGAUUCACGCUACAGGAUCGAGGUGCAUAUUCCCGGAAGGACAUUCGAGCUGCGCACUGAGCCGAUGGAUUUCAAGUUCAUCGCACCCAGCUGGAUUCUCGGAAGGGACAUGGCGAUCCAUUGUGCACUCGGACGUAUCAAGGAUGAAUACAAAGGCUGCCCUAUUUCUCCAGACCUAUUCGCUGUAUCCCGGAGAAAUGAAGACGGAGACAUCAUCUCAAGCAAGACCAAUGACGCUCUCUUGUCUUAUGCCCAGACCUUGGAGAAGCACAGCGGAACUCUGGAGUAUCACGCGAUCAAGGACGCCAGGAAGAUCAAGCAACUGUCACUCCGCGAGCUUGAACUUGAAGAUGCAGCCCGGGAAGCCCACUAUGAGCAUGAGCUGGAAGUGAAGGAUUUUCUGGAGCGGAUCAAGAAGCUGAAGACUCGAGUUGCAUACCUCGAGGAGGAACUGGACAUGGGCGAGAACCUUCAUCCCGAAGGAGACGUAGCCCCCGUGAUCAGCAACGACGAGGACUAUGAAGAAAGCUCCACCGAAGGACCAGACACCAUGCUAUUCUGAGGAGGACACUUAGACUAGACCACCAAAUUUACUUUAUCCUUUUACGUGUUAGGCCGAUGUUUAGGAUUAUCGAAUUUUGUAUCCCCGUGUGAACCUUUGUGAUGUUUGAAUAAAAUGUGUGGUGUGAUAUUUGUGUGUUGCAUUCAUAUGGGUAGUGUAAUUCCUCUAGACCAUUGUUCUAUGCUAAUCUCACCCCUCUACAAACAUCAGAUGCCUCCAAGACGCGCCCCUGAGUCCAACUUUCCGCCGGAACUCACCCAGUUGAUCCAGCAACAAAACACCCUGAUGCAGCUGAUCAUCCAGAACCAGAACAACAACAACCAUCAUCCACCCCAGGCCGACAACCUUACCCGUUUUCUGAGGUUGAACCCUCCAACUUUCUCCAGCAGCAUUGAGCCCAUUGUGGCAGAUGAUUGGCUUCGCAAGAUGGAGCGUGAGCUUAUCACCGCUGGUUGUUCUGAAGUUGAGAAGGUGCAUUUUGCCGUGCAUCAACUUGAAGGCCCUGCAGCUGCUUGGUGGGAGAACUACACCACCACUUCUCCCAUUGCUGGAGUCACUUGGGAGCAAUUCAAACAAGCCUUCUGCACCGCACAUGUCUCAGCUGGUGCAAUGAGUCUGAAGAAGCAUGAGUUUCGCAACUUACGCCAGGGGAAUCGCACUGUGGCCCAGUACGUUGAUGAUUUCAGCAUGCUCGCCCGUUAUGCACCUGGAGAUGUGGCCGAUGAUGCGGCCAAGCAGGAAAAGUUCUUGGAAGGACUGAAUGAUGAGCUGAGCAUUUAGUUGACGGUAGCCACCUUCAACAACUACCAGGAACUGGUUUAUAAGGCCCUCAUCUUGGAGGGGAAACAUCAGCAAAUGGAGAACCGCAAGCGAAAGUAUGGGGUUGGAAAGUUCAACUCCGGCACUCAGCAGAAGCCUCGCUACACCCCUUAUUCAGGGAAUACCGGGACUAGAUCCGGUAUGUUUGGAGGACACGUUCAGCAUAACCACCCUGUGCACAACCAUGGAGGCCACAACCAUGGAGGAAAUGGGAAUCACCGCAAUAACAACAACUUCAAGAAUGGCGGUACUGGCACUCAGCAGCAGUCAGCUCCAGCUCAGAAGGAUCUGACUCACAUCACUUGCUUCAAGUGUCAGAAGAAGGGACACUAUGCCACUGAUUGUCCCCAGAACAAGCAGGGAAAUGGAAACGACAACAGCAACGGCAACUCUGCAGCAAAGAAGCCUAAUCCUUUUCCUCGAGCUCAGGUGAACCACAUUGAUGUGGAAGAAGUCUAUGAUCACCCCGAUACUGUGGUUGGUAAGUUUUUGCUAAAUUCACAUCCAGUAUUGGUAGUUUUUGAUUCUGGUGCAACGCAUUCAUUCAUAUCAAGGGUAGUUGUGGAAAAGUAUAGUUUGCCAACUAGAACCCUCAGCCAACCCAUUAAGGUCAGUUCCCCAGGAGGCAUGAUGACAGCCGGGAUAGGAUGCCAUGCUUUGAGUCUCAACAUCGGGAACCAUAAUUUCCCCACCGACCUCAUCGUAUUAGAGUCCCAGGGAUUGGAUGUAAUCCUAGGCAUGGAUUGGAUGGCCAAGUAUGAAGGGAAUAUCGAUUGUGCCCUUAAGUCUAUUUUGCUCACCACCCCCGAGCAGAAGCGGAUUAAGUACGUGUCUCAGCGCCCGACCCGGAGUAAGCGAGUAAACUCUCUCACGGGAGUAGUCCAGGAGGAAGUACCGAUCGUACAGGAGUACCCAGAUGUAUUUCCGGAGGAAUUGCCGGGCAUGCCACCCGAUAGAGAGAUUGAGUUCUUGAUUGAGCUAUUACCCGGAACAGCCCCGAUAUCCAAGAGACCUUAUCGGAUGCCCGCAAAUGACUUGAUAGAAAUCAAGAAGCAAAUUAAGGAGUUAUUGGACAAAGGGUAUAUUCACCCAAGUUCUUCACCUUGGGGAGCCCCAGUGCUCUUGGUUGAAAAGAAGGACAAGUCCCUGAGAAUGGUUGUCGAUUAUCGUGCAUUGAACGAUGUGACUAUCAAGAACAAGUACCCCUUGCCGAUGAUCAACGAUCUGUUCGAUCAGUUAGUUGGAGCUCGCACAUUCUCAAAGAUCGAUCUUCGAUCCGGGUAUCAUCAGUUGAAGAUUCGUGAACAGGAUAUACCCAAGACAACCUUUACCACUCGGUACGGCUUGUAUGAGUACACGGUCAUGUCAUUUGGACUGACUAAUGCUCCGGCAUAUUUUAUGAAUCUGAUGAACAAGGUAUUUAUGGAAUACUUGGACAAGUUUGUCGUGGUGUUCAUCGAUGACAUACUGAUAUUCUCCAAGAACGAAGAGGAACACAAGGAACAUAUGCGUUUAGUUCUGGAGAAGCUUCGAGAGCAUAAGCUAUAUGCAAAGUUCAGCAAAUGUGAGUUUUGGUUGAAGGAAGUCGGAUUUCUCGGACACGUCAUCUCAGGAGAAGGCAUAGCAGUGGACCCUGCCAAGGUCGCAGCAGUCACCGAAUGGGUAGCACCCACUUCAGUCAAGGAGAUCCGCAGUUUCCUCGGACUUGCCGGAUAUUACCGGAGGUUCAUUGAGAAUUUCUCAAAGAUUGCCAAACCCAUGACAGAGUUAUUGAAGAAGGAAUCCAAGUAUAUCUGGACUGAGGAUUGUGAAACCAGUUUUCAAGAGCUGAAGAAACGUCUUGUGACAGCCCCAGUGCUGAUAUUGCCGAACAUUUAGAAGGAUUUCCAGGUUUAUUGUGACGCUUCUCGUCAAGGACUUGGAGGAGUGCUCAUGCAAGAAGGCAAAGUUGUAGCCUAUGCAUCCAGACAGCUCAGACCUCAUGAGUUGAAUUAUGCCACACAUGACUUGGAACUAGCUGCCGUAGUGCACGCUCUCAAGACCUGGAGAUAUUUCCUGAUCGGAAAUAGUUGUGAUGUUUACACUGAUCACAAGAGCCUGAAAUAUAUCUUCACGCAGAAGGAGUUGAACCUCAGACAGAGGCGAUGGCUAGAGUUGAUCAAGGACUACGACAUGAAAUUGCAUUAUCACCCAGGCAAGGCAAAUGUUGUAGCCGAUGCGUUGAGCCGCAAGAGUUAUGUGAACACGCUCACAGCGGGAGGAUUACCCCAGGAGUUAGUCGAUGAUCUCCGAGAUCUCAAAUUGGAGAUAGUUCCAAGAGGAUUUGUUGCCACACUGGAAAUUCAGUCUACUUUGACGGAAAAGAUCCGUGAAGCACAAAAGGCUGACAAAGAGAUAGCUGAGAUUAAGCAGAAAUGGAAGACGGGAAAGCUAAAGGUUUUCGUGAGGAUGAACACGGAACUUUAUGGUUUGAGGAUCGCAUCUAUGUGCCCAAUGAUCCCGAACUCAGGAAGUUGAUACUUCAGGAAGCUCAUGAUUCCCCGUACUCGAUACACCCCGGUAACACCAAGAUGUAUCUGGAUCUGAAAGAAAGUUUCUGGUGGAUAGGAUUGAAGAAAGACAUUGCCGAGUUCGUAGCUAUAUGCGAUGUUUGUCAGCGAGUAAAAGCCGAGCAUCAGAAACCAGCAAGUUUGCUCCAACCUCUGCCGAUACCCGAAUGGAAAUGGGAAAAGCUUGGUAUGGACUUCAUCACAGGAUUACCCAGGACCCGUUCUGGCUAUGAUUCUAUUUGGGUUGUGGUCGAUCGUUUGACCAAGGUAGCUCACUUCAUCCCGGUGAAGACUACCUACACGAGUGCCAAGCUGGCCAAGAUUUAUAUGACGAGGAUCGUAUGUCUGCACGGAGUACCAAAGAGCAUUGUGUCUGAUAGAGGGACUCAGUUCACAUCAAAAUUUUGGCACCAACUGCAUGAAACCUUGGGAACAAGAUUGGAGUUCAGCACAGCAUUUCACCCGCAGACAGAUGGACAGACCGAGAGAGUUAAUCAGAUUCUAGAAGACAUGUUGAGAGCUUGCGCACUAGACUAUGGGUCUAGUUGGGAUGACAAUUUACCGUAUGCCGAGUUCUCAUACAACAACAGCUACCAGACCAGUCUGAAGAUGGCCCCUUUCGAAGCUCUAUACGGAAGGAGCUGCAGAACACCGUUGAUGUGGGAUGGAGUUGGAGACCGACAACUUUUUGGUCCAGACCUCAUCCGAGAUUCGGAAGAGAAGGUCAAGCUUAUUCGUGACCGACUCAAGAUAGCUCAGUCCAGGCAGAAGAGUUAUGCCGACAGCAAACGCAAGGAAGUAACGUACGAAGUGGGAGACCGAGCAUAUCUUCGGGUGUCUCCACUUCAAGGAAUCAAGAGAUUCGGUGUGAAAGGAAAACUAGCACCACGUUUCAUUGGCCCCUACAAAAUUCUUGAACGUAGAGGCGAAGUUGCAUACAAACUGGAACUACCGGAAGGAUUGUCCGGAGUUCAUGAUGUCUUCCAUGUUUCCCAGUUGAAGAAAUGCCACGCUGAGAUGGCCGAUGUUCCGUUGAGAGAUACAGUGCCCCUAGAGGCCAUACAGCUUGACAGCGAUCUGACGUAUGAGGAGAAACCCGUCCGGAUUCUCGAGACCGCCAACAGAGUUACCCGCAGCAAGAUCAUCAAGUUCGGCAAGGUGUUGUGGAGCCACCACACCGAGGAAGAAGCCACCUGGGAACGAGAAGAGGACCUUCGUCGAGACCACCCGCACCACCCGAAUCUCGAGGGCGAGAUUCAUCUUAAGGUGGGUAGGUUUGUAACAUCCCAAUUUUCGUAAAUUCGGAUGUUAAUAGAUCAUUCAUUUGCAUCCCAUAUUUUAUGCAUCAUUGCGUUCUUCUGAANNNNNNNNNNNNNNNNNNNNNNNNNNNNNNNNNNNNNNNNNNNNNNNNNNNNNNNNNNNNNNNNNNNNNNNNNNNNNNNNNNNNNNNNNNNNNNNNNNNNAUUGCGUUCUUCUGAAAAUUUUUAUCGUUAUGUGACUGCGGGCAAUUUAUCGGAGCGGAGAUAAUAUGACUUCUCCCCUCUGAGUUAAAGUCAUCAUUUUUGGUUUUUGCAAAUUUUUCCAAACUCCGAAUUAUUUUAGUCGAGUUUUUUUUUUCGAUCGCGUUGUGUGAUCCUAGUGCAUAAAACUUUUUUUUAAAGUUGCAUUAGGUGGAACUAGGGUUCCUAUAUAUAUUAUAUAUAUAUUAGUUGUAUAUGUUAUUUUGUUUUCUCCUAGUAUUCUAGUGCAUAUACGUAUAUUAGUACCUACUCUGUUUCUAGUAUUUUUGUUAGCUAGGAAAAUAUAUAUUUUUUUCUGUUUUGUUUUGUUUAUUUCUUUUUGUUGCUGCUGUUUGUUUGUUUUUCAAAAAAAAAUAUAGAACUGCCAGGCCGAGCCACAAGGGCUCAGCCCAGCCCCAUGCAUGCACGCAUGCAAUUUCCAUGCAUGCACUCCCUCCCCACGUGAGUCCUCCCUCCCCUUUCCUUAUUUCUCUCCUUCCUUCUUUCUCUCCCUCCUUUUCCUUUUACUCCCCACGUUCACCUCUCCCUCUCUUUCCUAUUUUCUCUCCCAUGAUCUCCUUCCCAAAGUUCUCCCUCUCCUUCAUUUUACUCUCCUCCCCUAAGCCUAUAUAACCCCCCCCCCACCGUCACCUCUCCCCAACCCUAGCCGCCGUCUCCACCGCCGCCUCCACAAGCCGCCGUCGGCGCUUCACCCCACCGCCGCCCUAGCCGCCGCCGCGAGCAGCGGCAGCAGCCCGAAAGCUGCUGCACCUCGGCCUCGCCGCGUAGGAGGAGCCCUCCCCGAACUCUCUCUCCACCGCCGCCUCUUCCCCGCGGAGGAGGAACCUCACCGCCGCCGCCCGACGCCCCACCGCCCGGAGCUACUCCCUCCUUCCUCGCCGGUCAUCUCCUUUCUUGCCGGUGCAAGCUACAGCCAGCAGGUAGCUAUCCAUCUCUCUCUCUCUAUUUGCAUGCACUCAAUCUCGGCCCUUAGAUCCCAUGCAACACCAUGCAAUGGCUAGGAUUAGAUCACCUAUACCCCUUCGGUUUAGUCCAGAAAACCAACGGUUCUUUUGGUCACUUAAGAUUUAGCCAGUGGUUUUGCAAGCCAUGGGACGUUUGCUCCAAACCAAGAAAACACACAGCCACUACAGCCAAUAGAACUUGCCACGUGUGCCUCUCUUUAGCACUAGCAGUUUUGUAAUUUUCUGUCCAGAUUUCGAAAACAGAAACUUUCAAUCUUGUUUUGAUCACAACGUUUUAUCCCUACGUCCAAUGACAUUGAUUCUUUUUCCAGUACCUCACAAAUUUCCUUUAGUUUUUAAAAAUAUAUAAUUUUUCUGUGUUUGGAAUUUUUAAAUAUAAGUUAGAGCAGAUUUAGUUUAAACACUGUUUUGCCUAUUCCAGGAGUUUGAAAAAUGAUAUUGAGUUGAUUCUUUUUGCUACUGUUUUCUAGUGAUAAAACCUUACUGUAGUAGAAUUUUCAGAUUUGUCCAAGUAUGGUUACUAGUGUUUUCAACAGAAACAAGUUUCUGCCCUACCGACGCGCGAUAAAAUUCUCUUGCGUAGUCGUUUGCCAAUCAUUGCAUGUGAUGUUAUUUUUACUCGUGGCAUGAUUGAAUUGCUUAUGGUGUGCUUUGUGUUUGUAUCGAUAGAUCAUCCGGAGUGCGAAGCGUGUUACUUAGAGACGCUCGAGCAGGACAACUAUCAUCAAGGCAAGUCAUCUUUGAUCAUGUUAUUUUACCUAUGUUUUCAAUGCAUAGUAGAUCACCUUCUUUGCCCUAUUUGCAUGCUGCCUAGGUACUUGGAAACUUUAGUCAUAGGUGUAGUAUCAUGUGGUAGGAACACCAACACCCCGAUACUUGGCCCCGGGACGACAAAGUUAUAUAUAUGCUAUGCUUAAGUAGACGGGUUAUCGGUUGAGUGUAUGCCACGAGAGAUGCGAGAUUGAUAUAAUAACCAAGAACGGACUAAGACAAGAUUUUCAAGACCUCGGACGCAAUGCAACACUGGGUGAAGGACGGUUGAUCGGCUCCCUGGAAAACCCAGUGGAUGCCCGGGAUGCUGGAGAGGCCAUGUCAUCCUGCGGAAAGCUUCACCCAGGCUCAAAGGGACGGACGGAGACUUCAAGACUCAAGGCUUACCUGCACAGCCACAAGUCAUUAUGGGCUCUGGCUUGGUUGGACAACGCGGCGACUCUGGACAGGCGGUGCUAGCAGAUGUAGACGAACGGUAGGAAUGGAUGGGCACCGACAGGGAUUCAGAGGGACCCGUUGAAAGACCAUGUUUUGAUCAUCCGGUCUUCAAACACCCUGAAGUGUGAGGACAAACCCGGAGGCGAUCAAAUCUUGUGGGGAACGUGUGCAAAACUCUGCAGAGUACUCAACCUAAUCGAUUAGCCGUGUCCACGGUCAUGGACAACUUGAGCCGAAGGCAUUGAAUUUCCCCUGAACUCUCGACACAACUUAAUAAUGAUGUGGGUGUUAACAACUAUUCGGAUACGAGAACUGGUUGGCGGAACCAUCUCGUUAACAACAAACUAUGUAGUAAUAUUUUGCUUUCGACCCCUUUUGUUGUAGGAGAAAACUGGCUUUCUGCAAAACUUAGCUCCACCAGCCAAAUAUGCAUGUAGAGAUAGUUGAUUAUUAUUUUACCCCCCUCUCUUGAUGAUUUGCCAGCAUAUUCAAUAUGCUGACCUACACGGCUGCAACGUAUCAUGUUGCAGAGUACUUUUCCGACCAGGAGUGAGGCUACGGUUCUACGCUCAGCGACAUGCCCUUGGAGUUGGAUGGACUCGUCUACCUGAUGCUUCCGCUUAGUCUUCGUUAGAUAAUCUCAUGAGUUGGCCUUCAGCCACUUUAUUGUACUCCUUUAUUGUAAUAAAGUACUCUUUAUGAGAUUUCGAUUAAUAAAGCUGUGUGAUUGCACUCUUGAAUAUAUACAUUAUGUACUGUGUGUGUACCAGCAUGAUCUUGGGAUGGUACAGAAACANNNNNNNNNNNNNNNNNNNNNNNNNNNNNNNNNNNNNNNNNNNNNNNNNNNNNNNNNNNNNNNNNNNNNNNNNNNNNNNNNNNNNNNNNNNNNNNNNNNNCCUAAAUUGGUUAAUUAUACAUCUAAAUGACAUAAUUAGCUUAGUUAGACCCUAAAUAGUCUACUCAAUAAAAAAUGACCUAUACUUAGCUAAUUAUCCUCGAAAUGACAUAAUUAGCUCCAAAAAGGCAUUCUUAGCCAAUUUAGCCCGAAGAAGGGACGAGAGGAGAAGAAAGAGGAAAAAUGAAAGGAAGGAAGAAGAAGAAGAGGAGAAGAAGAAGAAGGAGAGGGAGGAGGAUAAGAAGAAGGAGGAGAAGGAGGAGAAGAAGGAGAAGGAGCUCCUCCUUCUCCUUCUUCUUCCUCCUUCUUCCUCCUUCUCCUUCUCCUUCUUCUUUUCUUCUUCUUCCCUUCUUCCAUCUCCUUCUCCUCCUCCUUCUUUUACUUCUUCUUCUCUUUCUCUUAUUCUAGGUAGCUUAGACUCAUCCAACAAAGCCUAAAUUGGUUAAUUAUACAUCUAAAUGACAUAAUUAGCUUAGUUAGCUCCUAAAUAGUCUACUUAAUAAAAAAUGACCUAUACUUAGCUAAUUAUCCUUGAAAUGACAUAAUCAGCUCCAAAAAGGCAUUCUUAGCCAAUUUAGCCCGAAGAAGGGGACGANNNNNNNNNNNNNNNNNNNNNNNNNNNNNNNNNNNNNNNNNNNNNNNNNNNNNNNNNNNNNNNNNNNNNNNNNNNNNNNNNNNNNNNNNNNNNNNNNNNNGGAUUCAUAUAAUCACGUAUGUCAUUCCCUUUGUCCUUUGGUAUGUUACUUGCCCGAGAUUCGAUCGUCGGUAUCCGCAUACCUAUUUCAAUCUCGUUUACCGGCAAGUCUCUUCACUCAUUCCGUAAUACAAGAUCAUGUGACAUACACUAAGUCACAUUGCGUGCAAGGCUUGUGUGUGAUGUUGUAUUACCGAGUGGGCCCCGAGAUACCCCUCCGUCACACGGAGUGACAAAUCCCAGUCUUGAUCCAUACUAACUCAACGGACACCUUUGGAGAUACCUGUAGAUCAUCUUUAUAGUCACCCAGUUACGUUGUGACAUUUGAUACACACAAGGUAUUCCUCCGGUGCCAGUGAGUUAUAUGAUCUCAUGGUCAUAGGAACAAAUACUUGACAUGCAGAAAACUAUAGCAAUAAAACGACACGAUCAAUAUGCUACGUUCAUAGUUUGGGUCUUGUCCAUCACAUGAUUCUCCUAAUGAUGUGAUCCCGUUAUCAAGUAACAACACUUGCCUAUGGUCAGGAAACCUUGACCAUCUUUGAUCAACGAGCUAGUCAACUAGAGGCUUACUAGGGACAGUGUUUUGUCUAUGUAUNNNNNNNNNNUAUCCCAGUCUUGAUCCAUACUAACUCAACGGACACCUUCGGAGAUACCUGUAGAGCAUAUUUAUAGUCACCCAGUUACGUUGUGACGUUUGAUACACACAAGGUAUUCCUCCGGUGCCAGUGAGUUAUAUGAUCUNNNNNNNNNNNNNNNNNNNNNNNNNNNNNNNNNNNNNNNNNNNNNNNNNNNNNNNNNNNNNNNNNNNNNNNNNNNNNNNNNNNNNNNNNNNNNNNNNNNNNNNNNNNNNNNNNNNNAUGAUCCCGUUAUCAAGUAAUAACACUUGCCUAUGGUCAGGAAACCUUGACCAUCUUUGAUCAAUGAGCUAGUCAACUAGAGGCUUACUAGGGACAGUGUUUUGUCUAUGUAUCCACACAAGUAUUGUGUUUCCAAUCAAUACAAUUAUAGCAUGGAUAAUAAACGAUUAUCAUGAACAAAGAAAUAUAAUAAUAACUAAUUUAUUAUUGCCUCUAGGGCAUAUUUCCAACAUAGUUCACAUAGACCUUCGGGUCCAUAGCUAGUAGCUAGAUGGCUUCUUCUCUCUCUUGGAUCUUCAAUACAAAGUUAUUCAUGAUCUUCAUGGAGAUCUAUGCGAUGUAAUCUUCUCUUGCGGUGUGCUUGUCGAGAUCCGAUGAAUUGUGGAUUUAUGAUCAGAUUAUCUAUGAANNNNNNNNNNNNNNNNNNNNNNNNNNNNNNNNNNNNNNNNNNNNNNNNNNNNNNNNNNNNNNNNNNNNNNNNNNNNNNNNNNNNNNNNNNNNNNNNNNNNCUGAUCUCUUAUAUGCAUGAUUUCAUAUCCUUGUAAUUCUCUUUGAGUUGUGGGUUUUGUUUGGCCAACUUGAUCUAUGAUUCUUGCAAUGCGAGAAGUGCUUGGUUUUGGGUUCAUACCGUGUAGUGACCUCACCCAGUGAUAGAAGGGGUAGCGAGGCACACAUCAUGUUGUUGCCAUCAAGGGUAAAAAGAUGGGGUUUAUAUCUAUUGCAUGAAUUUAUCCCUCUACAUCAUGUCAUCUUGCUUAAGGCGUUACUCUGUUUGUCAUGAACUCAAUACACUAGAUGCAUGUUGGAUAGUAGACGAUGUGUGGAGUAAUAGUUGUAGAUGCAGAAAGUAUCGGUCUACUUGUCUCGGACGUGAUGUCUAUAUGUAUGACCAUUGCCGUAGAUAUCAUCAUGAAUUUGCGUGGUUCUAUCAAUUGCUCGACAAUAAUUCGUUCACCCACGUAAUAUUUGCUAUCUUGAGAGAAGCCUCUAGUGAACACUAUGGCCCCCGGGUCUACUUCACAUCAUAUUUUCAGCCCUACACUUUACUUUGUUGCACUUUCCGCCUUCAGAUCUCACCUUGCAAUCAAUCGUGAAGGGAUUGCCAACCCCUUUGUAGCGUUGGGUGCAAGUUUGUUGUUUUUGCGCAGGUACAUUGGUGCCUCAUCUUGAUAAUCAUACUAGAUUGAUACCUUGGUUCUCAAACUGAGGGAAAUACUUACUGCUACUGUGUUGCAUCACCCUUUCCUCUUAAAGGGAAAAAACCAACGCAAGCUCAAGAGGUAGCAAGAAGAAUUUCUGGCGCCGUUGCCGGGGAGCAUCAAGUGAAGCUUAUCCAAGUAAGUGUCGCAAAAUCAUCUCUUGCAUUUACCUUUUUUGCCUCUCAUUUUCCUCUCCCCCACUUAUGAAAAACAAAAAUUUACAAAAAAAAUUGCCUUUUUCGUUUGCCCUUUUCUUUCGCUUGCUUUCUGCCUGUUUGAGUGGGAUAGUCUACCUGUCCACAUGGAUAGACCUACCGCUUCGAACGAUACUCCCCAGAGCGAAGUUCUCAAUUUUAAACAAAAUGAGGAAGAGAACUUAAAGGACGCUUGGUAUAGGAUUUGCAAUGCUCAGAGUAGAUCUACUCGUAAGCAAUCUACUACCGUCCUACUUCGCAACUUUUAUGUGGGUAUUUCUCCUUGGAAUAGGUAUGUUCUUGACACCAUCGUAGGCGGAAAUUUCUUGGGUAGCCAUACCGUUGAUUUCUACAGUGCUUUAAUAAAUUUGGUUGGCUCACCCCCACUCAUGGUUAAUGGAACGACCUUAACUGUGGAACAUGUGAUGCGUAGGCUGGAUAUCAUUAAAAAUAAAGUUGCUACAAUCGAACUCAUUGAGAAUUUGGAUAAAAAGAUCCACAAUCAAAUCACUCAGUACGGAUCCAAGGUGGGAAUGACUUUGAAAAAUUUAAAGGAGAGGGAAGCCAUAGUUAACGAAAAACUAGGUCAUGAUUCCGCUAGGAUUGGCAAACUAGAGGAUGUUAUAACCAACUUGGGUUCCGCUUUUGCCGUUGUGCAGAACACUCCAAAUUUUGCCCACAAUAAGGCCACCAAGGAUGUUUUUGUUCCUAAAAAUAGUGGUGAACCAUCUAGUAAGAGAGAUGAAGACCUUAAGAUGAUGAGUGUUCACCCUACUUAUGGUUUGAGUACCAAAGACGACGAUACGUGAUUCUAUCGCCUUAUGCCUAACUUAGGGCGUUAAACAAUAACGCUUGUUGGGAGGCAACCCAACGAAUUUAUCUUUGAUUUUUUCUUUCUGUUUUUUUGCGUCCACACCACCAUAAUUCUGUUACGAUUGAGUAUUUUGUGUUUCUUUUUGUGUUUGAGCCAAGUAAAACCUUUAUGACUAGUUUGGUGAUGGUUGUUUGAUUAUGCUGGAAAAAGACAGAAACUUUUCGCUCACGAAAUUAUUUUUCAUUUUUAUGCAGAAAGAUAUUUUGAGUUGAUUCUUUUUUCUUCUGGUUGAUAUGCCAAUUUCCCAAACUGUCGUAAUUAUUAAGAAUUUCUGAGAUACCAUAAGUAUACGAAGUAUACAUAUUGCUACAGACUAGUCUGUUUUUGACAGAUUCUGUUUUUAUUGUGUUGAUUGCUUAUUUUGAUGAAACUAUGGAUAGUAUCGGGGGGUACUAGCCAUGGAGAAGUGAGAAUACAGUAAUCUAACACCAAUAUAAAUAGAAAUCAAGUUUUCUAAAGUACCUCAAGAGGUGGUAGUUUGUUUUCUUGUGCUAAUGAUAUAUUGAGUUUCUGUAUAAGUCUUGUGUUGUGAAGUUUUCAAGUUUUGGGUGAUGUUCUCAUGGACCAAGGGAUAAAGAGUAGAAAGAACUCAAGCUUCGGGAUGCCCAAGGCAUCCCAAGACAAAUUCAAGGACACCAAAAAAGCCUAAGCUUGGGGAUGCCCCGGGAAGGCAUCCCCUCUUUCGUCUUCAAUCCAUCGGUAACAUUACUUGGAGGUAUAUUUUUAUUCACCACAUGAUAUGUGUUUUGCUUGGAGCGUCGUGUAUUAUAGGAGUCUUUUCUUUUUGUUUUGUCACAAUCAUCCUUGCUGCACACCUUUUGAGAGAGACAUGUACUCAUCGUGAAUUUUCUAGAAUACUCAUUGAGCUUCGUUUAUAUCUUUUGAGUUAGGCAAUUUAGCUCGCAUGUGCUUCACUUAUAUCUUUUGAGCUAGAUAACUUUGCUCUAAGUGCUUCACAUAGAUCUUUUAGAGCAUGGCGGUGUCAUAUUUUGGAGAAAUAAGAACUCUCGAUCUUCACUUAUAUCUUUUUGAGAGUGCUCUCUCUAAGUAACUUGGUAGUUGGCUUGUGCUAUGAAUGUAGUCCCAAAGGUGAUAGGCACCCAAAGAGGAUACAAUAAAACUUCCAUAUUCAUGUGCAUUGAUUAGAAAGAUAAGUUUGAUUCCUCACAAUUAGUUUUGAGACAUGGAUUUGGUGAUAUUAAGAGUUAUGUUAGUAAGGUGUUGUGAAUAUAGAAAUACUUGUGUUGAAGUUAGUGAUUCUCGUAACAUGCACGUAUCGUGAACCGCUAUGUUUGGAAGUCGGAGCAUAAUUGAUUUAUUGAUUGUCAUCCUUUGUGUUGCGGUCGGGAUCGGGCGAUGGUUAACACCUACCACCCCUUCCCCUAGGAGUAUGCGUUUAGCACUUUGUUUCGAUUACUAAUAAAAACUUUCGCAAUAAGUAUGUGAGUUCUUCAUGACUAAUGUGAGUCCAUGGUAUAGAUGCACUUUCACCUUUCACCAUUUCUAGCCUCUCUAGUGCCGCGCAACUUUCGCCGGUGCACAAACCCACCAUAUACCUUCCUCAAAACAGCCACCAUACCUACCUACUAUGGCAUUUUCAUAGCCAUUUCGAGAUAUAUUUCCAUGCAACUCCCACCGUUCCGUCUCAUGACAUGUGCCGUCACUUUCAUAUUGCCAUUGCAUGAUCGUAAGAUAGCUAGCGAGAUGUUUCAACAUUAUACACCAAGCUAGAUCGUUGCACAUCCCGGUACACUGCCGGAGGCAUUCCCUAUAGAGUCAUCAUUGUUCUAAGCAUUGUGCUGUGAGUAAUUAAAAGUGUGAUGAUCUUCAUUAUUAGAGCAUUGUCCCAUGUGAGGAAACAAAAAAAAGGUCAAAGUUUCCCACACACAAAAAAAUAAAAAUAAAAUAUGGAAAGAGGCCAAAGAGCAAAACAAAAAAAGAGAAAAAGAGAGAAGGGACAAUGCUACUAUCUUUUCCACACUUGUGCUUCAUAAUAGCACCAUGUUCUUCAUGAUUGAGAGUCUCUUGUUUUGUCAACACCAUAUGCUAGUGGGAAUUUUCAUUAUAUAACUUGUCUUGUAUAUUACAAUGAUGGGCUUCCUCAAAAUUUCCCUAGGUCUUCGUGAGCAAGCAAGUUGGAUGCACACCCACUAGUUCUCCUUUUGAGAUUUCACAUACUUAUAGCUCUAAGUGCAUCCAUUGCAUGGUAAUCCCUACUCUUUCACAUUGAUAUCUAUUGAUGGGCAUCUCCAUAGCCCUUUGAUACGCCGAGUGGAUGUGACCAUCUCCUCCCUUUUGUCUCACAACCUCCACCACACUCUAUUCCACCUAUAGUGCUAUAUCCAUAGCUCACGCUCAUGUAUUGCGUGAGAGUUGAAAAAGGUUUGAGAAAGUAAGAGCGCGAAAACAAUUACUUGGCCAAUACCGGGGUUGUGCAUGAUUUAAAUUAGUUGUGUGGGGAUGAUGGAGCAUAGCCAGACUAUACGAUUUUGUAGGGAUAAUUUUCUAUGGCCUUGAUAUUUUGACAGUUCAUGAUUACCUUGCUAGUUUGCUUGAAGUAUUAUUGGUUUCAUGUCAAUAGCAAACUAUUGUUUUUAAUCUUACGGAUCUGAACUUUCAUGUCACUUGAAAGAAGUUACAAAGGAAAAAUAUGCUAGGUAGCAUUCCACAUCAAAAAUUCAGUCUUUAUCACUUCCCUACUCGAGGACGAGCAGGAGUUAAGCUUGGGGAUGCUUGAUACGUAUCCAACGUAUCUAUAAUUUUUUAUGGUCCCAUGCUAUUANNNNNNNNNNNNNNNNNNNNNNNNNNNNNNNNNNNNNNNNNNNNNNNNNNNNNNNNNNNNNNNNNNNNNNNNNNNNNNNNNNNNNNNNNNNNNNNNNNNNNNNNNNNNNNNNNNNNNNNNNNNNNNNNNNNNNNNNNNNNNNNNNNNNNNNNNNNNUACUAACUUAUUAACUCAGUGCCAAGUGCCAGUUCCUGUUUUUUCCGUGUUUUUGACCCUUUCGGAGGAGAAUAUUAAACGGAGUCCAAACGGAAUAAAACUUCCGAAAAGAUUUUUCCGGAACAGAAGAUACGCAGGGAGCUUGAGAACCACGGCACAAGGCACCAGGGGAGGCCACAAGCCCCCUAGCCGCGGCAUGGGGGCGCGCCUAGCAGGCUUGUGGGCCCCCUAUGGCUGCUCUGCCCUACUUCUUCCGCCUAUAAAUCCCCGAAAAAUCCAAAACCACGAGAGAGAUCCACGAAAAUACUUUUCCCCGCCGCAAACUUCUGUCUCCGCAAGAUCCCAUCUGGGGCACGUUCUGGUGCCCUGCCAGAGGGGGGAUUCGGAUAUGGAGGGCUUCUUCAUCAACACCAUUACCUCUCCGAUGAUGCGUGAGUAGUUUGUUGGUCAACGUAGCAUGGGAAACAAAAAAUUUCCUACGCGCACGAAGACCUAUCAUGGUGAUUUCCAUCUACGAGAGGAGAUUUGGAUCUACGUACCCUUGUAGAUCGCACAGCAGGAAGCGUUAAGAAACGCGUUUGAUGUAGUGGAACGUCCUCACGCCCCUCGAUCCGCCCCGCGAACCGUCCCACGAACCGUCCCGCGAUUCUUCCCACGAUCUGUUCAACGAUCCGUCCCAAGAACUGGUUUUUGAUCCGUUACACGAACCGUCUUCCGAUUCAUCUCACGAUCCGUUCUAAUCUAGUGCCGAACGGACGACACCUCCGCGUUCAGCACACGUACAACUCGACGUUGAUCUCGGCCUUCUUGAUGCAGCAAGAGAGACGAAGAUGUGGAUGAGUUCCCGGCAGCAUGACGGCGCUCCGGGGGUUAGUGGUGAUCUAUCUCAGCAGUGCUCCGCCCGAGCUCCGCAGAAAUAUGUUCUAGAGGAAAAACCUUGGAGGUAUGUGGUCGGGCUGCCGUGGCAAAGUUGUCUCAAAUCAGCCCUAAUACCUCAGUAUAUAUAGGACGGAGGGGGAGGGACCUGCCUUGAGGCUCAAGGGAGCCCCAAAGGGUCAGCCGAACUAGGGGUGGAGGAGUCGACCUCCAAUCCUAGUCCAACUAGGAUUGGAAGGUGGAGUCCUUUCCUUCCUUCCCACUUCCCCUUUUUUCUCUUUGAUUUCUUUAUCUCCUGUGCAUAGGGCCUCUUGGGCUGCCCCACCAGCCCACUAAAGGAUGGUGCGGCACCCCUAAGGACUAUGGGCUUCCCUCGGGUGGGUUGCCCCCCCCCCCCCCCCNNNNNNNNNNNNNNNNNNNNNNNNNNNNNNNNNNNNNNNNNNNNNNNNNNNNNNNNNNNNNNNNNNNNNNNNNNNNNNNNNNNNNNNNNNNNNNNNNNNNNNNNNNNNNNNNNNNNNNNNNNNNNNNNNNNNNNNNNNNNNNNACAUUCCUGGUAAUGUCCGAAAACUUUCCGGUAAUCAAAUGAGGUCAUCCUAUAUAUCAAUCUUCAUUUCCGGACCAUUCCGGAAACCCUCGUGACGUCCUUGAUCUCAUCCGGGACUUCGAACAACAUUCGGUAACCAACCAUAUAACUCAAAUACGCAUAAAACANNNNNNNNNNACAACCCCUUUGUAGCGUUGGGUGCAAGUUUGCUGUUUUUGCGCACGUACAUUGGUGCCUCAUCUUGAUACUCCUACUGGAUUGAUACCUUGGUUCUCAAAGUGAGGGAAAUACUUACUGCUACUAUGCUGCAUCACCCUUUCCUCUUCAAGGGAAAAAACCAACGCAAGCUCAAGAGGUAGCUGUUGGGGAACAUCGCAUGGGAAACAAAAAAUUUCCUACGCGCACGAAGACCUAUCAUGGUGAUGUCCAUCUACGAGAGGGGAUUUCUGAUCUAGAAACACUUGUAGAUCGCACAGCAGAAGCGUUAGUGAACGCGGUUGAUGUAGUGGAACGUCCUCACGUCCCUCGAUCCGCCCCGUGAACCGUCCCACGAACCGUCCCGCGAUCCGUCCCACGAUCUAGUGCCGAACGGACGGCACCUCCGCGUUCCGCACACAUACAGCUCGACGAUGAUCUCGGCCUUCUUGAUCCAGCAAGAGAUACGGAGAGGUAGAUGAGUUCUCUGGCAGCGUGACGGCGCUCCGGAGGUUGGUGGUGAUCUAAUCUCAGCAGGGCUCUGCCCGAGCUCCGCAGAAACGCGAUCUAGAGGUAAAACCGUGGAGGUAUGUGGUCGGGCUGCCUUGGAAAAGUUGUCUCAAAUCAGCCCUAAUAGCUCCAUAUAUAUAGGAGGAGGGAGGGCAGGCUUGCCUCGAGGCUCAAGGAGCCCCAAGGGCUGCACACCAAGGGGAGGAGGAGUCCUCCUCCAAUCCUAGUCCAACUAGGAUUGGAAGGUGGAGUCCUUCUCUCCUUUCCCACCUCCCUUUUUUUUCUUUUCUCUUUGAUUUUCUAUCUACGGCGCAUAGGGCCUUCUUGGGCUGUCCCACCAGCCCACCAAGGUCUGGUGCACCAACCCCAAGGCCUAUGGGCUUCCCCGGGGUGCCCCCCCCCCCCGGUGAACACUCGGAACCCAUUCGUCAUUCCGGUACAUUCCCGGUAACUCUGAAAACCUUCCGGUAAUCAAAUGAGGUCAUCCUAUAUAUCAAUCUUCGUUUCCGGACCAUUCCGGAAACCCUCGUGACGUCUGUGAUCUCAUCCGGGACUCCGAACAACAUUCGGUAACCAACCAUAUAACUCAAAUACGCAUAAAACANNNNNNNNNNCGAACCUUAAGUGUGCAGACCCUGCGGGUUCGAGAACUAUGUAGACAUGACCCGAGAGACUCCUCGGUCAAUAUCCAAUAGCGGGACCUGGAUGCACAUAUUGGAUCCUACAUAUUCUCCGAAGAUCUUAUCGGUUGAACCUCANNNNNNNNNNUCAUCGGACCUUCAGUGUGCAGACCCUGCGAGUUCGAGAACUAUGUAGACAAGACCCGAGAGUCUCCUCAGUCAAUAUACAAUAGCGGGACCUGGAUGCCCAUAUUGGAUCCUACAUAUUCUCCGAAGAUCUUAUCGGUUGAACCUCAGUGUCAAGGAUUUAUAUAAUCAUGUAUGUCAUUCCCUUUGUCCUUCGGUAUGUUACUUGCCCGAGCUUCGAUCGUCGGUAUCCGCAUACCUUUUUCAAUCUCGUUUACCGGCAAGUCUCUUUACUCGUUCCGUAAUACAAUAUCCCAUGACAUACACUAAGUCACAUUGCUUGCAAGGCUUGUGUGCGAUGUUGUAUUACCGAGUGGGCCCCGAGAUACCUCUCCGUCACACGGAGUGACANNNNNNNNNNNNNNNNNNNNNNNNNNNNNNNNNNNNNNNNNNNNNNNNNNNNNNNNNNNNNNNNNNNNNNNNNNNNNNNNNNNNNNNNNNNNNNNNNNNNAGCCUUUGGAGACGGCAAAGGAGCUCCCCCUAACGGCCCCCAGCCCCCACCCCCCGCCCCCCUAACGGCGAACUCGCGCACUACACGCACCCCAGCGCAACUCCUCCCCGCGCACUGCCCACUCCAGCGCCGCCGCCCCUCCUCCCCGCGCAACUCCUCCCCUCGCCGGAGCUCGCCCUCCCCUCCUCCCCGCGCCCGUCCUCCACGCGCCCCUCCUUCCCGUGCCCUGCCCACCCGAGUGCCGCCGCCGCCACCACCGGAGCCGCUCUGGCCCACCACCGCCGUGCGGCCGGAGGUCGCCCUCCCCUCCUCCCCCCGCACCUCCUCCCCGCCACCCAGGGCCGGAGCUCGCCCUCCCCUCCUCCCACUGCCCUCCACCCCGGCCGCCCACUACCCCUAGGCAGGUAAGGUUUUUUUUUCUUUUUCGCUUUAUUUCUUGUUUUUUCUUUUAAAUUAGAUAGUUAAUUUAGAUAGUUAGUUUAUUUUGUGUUUUUUCUGUUAAAUUGGAUAGUUAGUUUUUUCUUCUUCUGUGUUUAUGUUAAAUUAGAUAGUUAGUUUAUUAAGUAGAAAAAGUAGAUAGAAAAGAAAAAAAAUAGAUAGAAAAAAUAAAUGAUAGAUGAAGAAGGGUAUGGCCCCAAAAAAGAAAUGAUAGAUUUGCAUUUGAAGUAAAUGUGCAUUUUUGACAGAAGUUGCAUGUUAAGCUUUUGGUCUGAAGAUAGGAGGUGUUGACAUAAACCUCAUGCAUGAAGCAUUGAUGUAGUUUUAUUUGCACCUCUUAGAUCUUAGCCUUUUGAGGUUCUAUUGUGAUAGAAACAUGUAUAUUUGCUGAAUUGUAUGUUAUGCUCCUACUCUACAUGCUUUAUCUAGUCAAACUUAGAAGAAGAUAAGAGAAUAAUAAACUAGAAGAAGAAAUAAGAAGAAGAAGAAGAAGAAAGAGGAGAGGAGGAGAAAGAUAAAAGAAAGAAGANNNNNNNNNNNNNNNNNNNNNNNNNNNNNNNNNNNNNNNNNNNNNNNNNNNNNNNNNNNNNNNNNNNNNNNNNNNNNNNNNNNNNNNNNNNNNNNNNNNNNNNNNNNNNNNNNNNNNNNNNNNNNNNNNNNNNNNNNNNNNNNNNNNNNNNNNNNNNNNNNNNNNNNNNNNNNNNNNNNNNNNNNGGAGGAGGAGGAGGAGAAAGAAGAAGAAGAGGAGGAGAGAGGAGAAGAAGAAAGAAAAGGACCCCGACCCCCGGCCCACGACCCCCGACGCCCGACGCCACCAACCCCCGACCCUCGACCCCCGACCUCCGACGCCAUUGAGACCCGACCCCCGACCACCGACUCCACUAACCCUCGACCCCCGAUGCCCGACGCCAUUGACCCUCGACUACAGAAGCCACUGACCCUCAACCCUCGACCCCCGACGCCCGACGCCACUGACCCUGGACUCCCGACGCCACUGACCCUCGACCCCCGACCCCCGACGCCCCUGACCCUCGACCCCCGCCCCCCUACACCCGACCCCCGACACCAUUGAACCCAACCCCCGACCCCCGACACCUCUUCGGCCUCUUGUUGACCAAAGAGACCCCAACCCCCGAUGCCAGUGAUCCUCGACCCCCGACAACACUAACCCCCGACCACCAACACAACUAACCCCCGACCGCCNNNNNNNNNNNNNNNNNNNNNNNNNNNNNNNNNNNNNNNNNNNNNNNNNNNNNNNNNNNNNNNNNNNNNNNNNNNNNNNNNNNNNNNNNNNNNNNNNNNNUGUCAUCUUGCUUAAGGCGUUACUCUGUUCGUCAUGAACUCAAUACACUAGAUGCAUGCUGGAUAGCGGAGGAUGUGUGGAGUAAUAGUAGUAGAUGUAGAAAGUAUCGGUCUACUUGUCUCGGACGUGAUGCCUAUAUGUAUGAUCAUUUCCUUAGAUAUCGUCAUGACUUUGCGCGGUUCUAUCAAUUGCUCGACAGUAAUUUGUUCACCCACCGUAAUACUUGCUAUUUUGAGAGAAGCCUCUAGUGAACACUAUGGCCCCCAGGGUCUACUCCACACCAUAUUUUCAGCCUUACACUUUUUACUUCGUUGCACUUUCCGCCUUCAGAUCUCACUUUGCAAAAAAUCUUGAAGUGAUUGACAACCCCUUUAUAGCGUUGGGUGCAAGCUCUUUUGUGUUUGUGCAGGUACUCUGGACUUGACGAGAUUCUCCUACUGGAUUGAUACCUUGGUUCCCAAACUGAGGGAAAUACUUACUGCUCCUGUGCUCUAUCACCCUUUCCUCUUCAAGGGAAAAACCAACGCAAGCUCAAGAGACGACAGAAGGAUCUCUGGCACCAUUGCCGGGGAAGGUUUGUUGACGUAGCACAAGGAUUUCUGGUGCUGUUGUCGGGGAGGAUCAAGUCAAGAACUCAUCCAAGUAGGUGUCGCAAACUCAUCUCUUGCAUUUACUUUGUUUGCCAGUUGCCUCUCGUUUUCCUCUCCCCCACUUCACGAAUUUGCCUUUUUCGUUUGCCUUUUUUGUUGUGUUUUUCGUUUGCCUUUUCGUUUGCCUCUUUCUCGCUUGCUCUCUGCCCGCUUUUCUGCCUGCUAAAUCCAGCAUGGCCCAAACAAGGGAUUUUGAUGCUCACUAUGCAAAGUUGGAAGAGAUUGAAACUAGUGUUGAAGGCUUCAGGUCUACAUAGUUUGAAUACAAUAGUUACUGUCAUAGAGAACUAAAGGAGCAAAAUUCUUUUCUGGCCUUUAUGAGUAGAGAAGUUGAUGAUAUGGCCAAAAAUUUCCUUGCGCUAAAUUCUAAGUUUGCUCGUCUUGAAAAGUUGGUAGGCCAGAUUUCUAAUAAGCAAGCCACCUUGGUCAAUAAAAUGGCCGCUAAACCCGAAACUCGUGACAAGAAUCACGAAGAUCUUAAAGUGCUUGGUGUGACUCCCAUUGAAUCUUUGUUUUAUUGUGUCAAACCUAAUGAUUAUGGGGCUGGAUAUGAAUCCACUUUGGUUGAAAAGUGCCCCAACGAUUCGGAGUCCAUCUAUCUUGAAGCUAAAAGCAUUGAAAGUGGAGUAGAAGAUGUUAAAACUUUGAGUAGUAAUGAAAUUACUACCGUGGAUUUCAAGGAAUUCAAUUAUGGUAGUUUCUCCUUGAUUGAAUGCAUUUGUUUGAUGCAAUCCAUGUUAAACUCUCCACACGCUUAUAGCCAAAACAAGGCCUUUACCGAUCAUAUCGUCAAAGCUAUGAUAAAAUCUCUUGAAGAGAAACUUGAAUUGGAAGUCUCUAUCUCUAGAAAGCUUGAUGAUGAGUGGGAACCUACCAUCAAAAUCAAAAUCAAAAACUAUGAAUGCAAUGCUUUGUGUGAUUUGGGUGCUAGUGUUUCUGCGAUUCCAAAGUCUUUAUGUGAUGUUCUGGGUUUUAAUGAGAUUGAAGAGUGUUCUCUUAAUUUGCAUCUUGCUGAUUCUACUUCCAAGAAACCCAUGGGAAGGAUCAAUUAUGCUCUUAUUUUUGCAAAUAGGAACUAUGUACCCAUGGAUUUCAUUGUGCUUGACAUUGAUUGCAAUCCUACAUGCGCUAUUAUUCUUGGUAGACCUUUCCUAAGGACUAUCGGUGCUAUUAUCGAUAUGAAGGAAGGGAAUAUUAGAUUUCAAUUUCCUUUAAAGAAGGGCAUGGAACACUUUCCUAGAAAGAAAAUAAGAUUGCCUUGUGAAUCCAUGAUGAGGGCCACUUAUGGUUUGAGCACCAAAGACAGCGAUACGUGAUUCUAUCGCUUUCAUGCCUAGCUAAGGGCAUUAAACAAUAGUGCUUGUUGGUUGGCAACCCAAUGAAUUUAUCUUUUUCUUUCUGUUUUGUUGCGUCCACAUCAUCACAAUUCUGUUGUGAUUGUGUUUUUUGUGUUUCUUUUUGUGUUUGAGCCAAGCAAAACCUUUAUGACUAGUCUUGGUAAUGGUUGUUUGAUCCUGCUGGAAAAAGACAGAAAACUUUUCGCUCACGAGAUGAUUUUUCAUUUUUAUUCUGAAAGAGAUUUUGAGUUGAUUCUUUUUGCUGCUGGUUAAUAUGCCUUUUGCCCAGGCCUUCGUAAUGUUUCAGAUUUUUUGAGGUACCAGAAGUAUACGAAGUAUACAGAUUGCAAUAGACUGGUCUGUUUUUGAUAGAUUCUGUUUUUGUUGAGUUGGUUGCUUGUUUUGAUGAAACUAUGGUUAGUAUCGGGGGGUAUUAGCCAUGGAAAAGUGAGAAUACAGUAGGCCAACAUCAAUAUAGAUAGAAUUCAAGUUUUCUACAGUACCAAAAGAAGUGGUAGUUUGUUUUCUUGUGCUAAUGUUAUCACGAGUUUCGGUUUAAGUUUUGUGUUGUGAAGUUUUCAAGUUUUGGGUGAUGUUCUCAUGGACAAAGAGACAAGGAGUGGAAAGAGCUCAAGCUUGGGGAUGCCCAAGGCAUCCCAAGCAAAAUUCAAGGAUACGAAAAAGCCUAAGCUUGGGGAUGCCCCUGGGAAGGCAUCUCCUCUUUCGUCUUCAAUCCAUCGGUAACAUUACUUGGAGCUCUAUUUUUAUUCACCACAUGAUAUGUGUUUUGCUUGGAGCGUCUUGUAUCGUAGGAGUAUUUUCUUUUUGUUGUGUCACAAUCAUCCUUGCUGCAAACCUUUUUUAGAGAGAGAGACAUGCACUCAUCGUGAUUUUUGCUAGAAUGCUCAUAGUGCUUCACUUAUAUCUUUUGAGCAAGAUACUUUUGCUCUAUGUGUUUCACUUAUAUCUUUUAGAGCACGAUAGUGCGUGACUUGGUAGUUGUCUUAUGCUAUGAAAGUAAUCCCAAAUGUGAUAGGUACCCAAAGAGGAUGCAAAAACCUCCAUCUUCAUGUGCAUUGAGUAUAAAGAUAAGUCUUGAUUCCUCUCAAUUAGUUUUGAGACGUGGAUUUGGUAAUAUUUAGAGUUAUGUUAGUAGGGUGUUGUGAAUAUAGAAAUACUUGUGUUGAAGUUAGUGAUUCCCGUAGCAUGCACGUAUGGUGAACCGCUAUGUUCGGAAUUCGGAGCAUAAUUGAUCUAUUGAUUGUCAUCCUUUGUGUUGAGGUCGGGAUCGCGUGAUGGUUUACACCUACCAACCCUUCCCCUCGGAGUAUGCGUUUAGCACUUUGUUUUGAUUACUAAUAAAAACUUUCGCAACAAGUAUGUGAGUUCUUCAUGAAUAAUGUGAGUCCAUGGUAUAGAUGCACUUUCACCUUCCACCAUUGCUAGCCUCUCUAGUGCCGUGCAAUUUUCGCCGAUGCACAAACCCACCAUAUGCCUUCCUCAAAACAGCCACAAUACCUACCUACUAUGGCAUUUUCAUAGCCAUUCCGAGAUAUAUUGCCAUGUAACUCCCACAGUUCUGUCUCAUGACUUGUGCCGUCAUUCUCAUAUUGACAUUGCAUGAUCGUAAGAUAGCUAGCGAGAUGUUUCAACGUCAUACGCCAAGCUAGAUCAUUGCACAUCCUGAUACA
rnacentral:lncRNA from 1 species